GUACUACAGGCUGUUCUGUUUUUGAAAGAUUCUGUUUUUCGUGUGUUGUUUGCUUAUUUUGAUGAACCUAUGGCUAGUAAAAUAGUUUAUAUACCAUAGAGAAAUUGGAAUACAGUAGGUAUAACACCAAUAUAAAUAAAUAAUGAGUUCAUUACAGUACCUUGAAGUGGUCUUUUAUUUUCUUUCGCUAACGGAGCUCAUGAGAUUUUCUACUUUAAGUUUUGUGUUGUGAAGUUUUCAAGUUUUGGGUAAAGAUUUGAUGGAUUAUGGAACAAGGAGUGACAAGAGCCUAAGCUUGGGGGUUCCCAUGGCACCCCCAAGAUAAUCUAAGUACACCUAAAAACCAAAGCUUGGGGAUGCGCCGGAAGUCAUCCCCUCUUUCAUCUACUUCUAUCGGUAACUUUACUUGGAGCUAUAUUUUUAUUCGCCACAUGAUAUGUGUUUUGCUUGGAGCGUCUUGUAUUAUUUGAGUCUUUAUUUGUUAGUUUACCACAAUCAUCCUUGCUGUACACACCUUUUGAGAGAGCCAUACAUGAUUUGGAAUUUGUUAGAAUACUCUAUGUGCUUCGCUUAUAUCUUUUGAGUUAUAUAGUUUUGCUCUAGUACUUCACUUAUAUCUUUUAGAGCACGGUGGUGGAUUUGUUUUAUAGAAACAAUUGAUCUCUCAUGCUCCACUUAGAUUAUUUUGAGAUUCUUAAUAGCAUGUUAAUUUGCUUAAAAUCCUAAUAUGCUAGGUAUUCAAAGUUAGUAAAAUUUUCUUAAGAGUGUUUUGAAUACUAAGAGAAGUUUGAUGCUUGAUGAUUGUUUUGAGAUAUGGAGGUAAUAAUAUCAAAGUCGUUCUCGUUGACUAGUUGUGAAAUUGAGAAAUACUUGUGUUGAAGUUUGCAUGUCCCGUAGCACGCACGUAUGGUAAACGUUGUGUAACAAAUUUGAAACAUGAGGUGUUAUUUGAUUGUCUUCCUUGUGAGUGGCGGUCGGGGACGAGCGAUGGUCUUUUCCUACCAAUCGAUCCCCCUAGGAGCAUGCGAAUAGUACCAAGGUUUUUGAUGACUUGUAGAUUUUUGCAGUAAGUAUGUGAGUUCUUUAUGACUAAUGUUGAGUCCAUGAAUUAUACGCACUCUCACCCUUCCAUCCUUGCUAGCCUCUUCGGUACCGUGCAUUGCCCUUUCCCACAUUGAGAGUUGGAGCAAACUUCGCCAGUGCAUCCAAACCCCGUGCUAUGAUACGCUCAUUCACACAUAAACCUCCUUAUAUCUUCCUCAAAACAGCCACCAUACCUACCUAUUAUGGCAUUUCCAUAGCCAUUCCGACAUAUAUUGCCAUGCAACUUUCCACCAUUCCGUUCAUCAUGACACAUUCAUCAUUGUCAUAUUGCGUAGCAUAAUCAUGUAGUUGACAUAGUAUUUGUGGCAAGGCCACCGUUCAUAAUUCAUUCAUACAUGUCACUCUUGGUCCAUUGCAUGUCCCGGUACACCGCCGGAGGCAUUCAUAUAGAGCCAUACUUUGUUCUAGUAUCGAGUAGUAAUUAUUGAGUCGUAAAUAAAUAGAAGUGUGAUGAUCAUCAUUAAUAGAGCAUGGUCCCAAAAAGAAAAAAAAGGAAGGGCCAAAAAAAGGCCAAAUAAAAAAAUAUAAAAAAGGGGGCAAUGCUACUAUCCUUUUUUUCCAAACUUGUGCUUCCAAGUAGCACCGUAAUCUUCAAGAUAGAGAGUCUCUUGAUUUGUCACUUUCAUAUACUAGUGGGAAUUUUUCAUUAUAGAACUUGGCUUGUAUAUUCCAACAAUGGGCGUCCCCAAGUUCCCUAGGUCUUCGUGAGCAAGCAAGUUGGAUGCACACCCACUUAGUUUCUUUUGUUGAGCUUUCAUACAUUUAUAGCUCUAGUGCAUCCGUUGCAUGGCAAUUCCUACUCCUUGCAUUAACAUCAAUCAAUGGGCAUCUCCAUAGCCCAUUGAUUAGCCUCGUUGAUGUGAGACUUUCUCCUUUUUGUCUUCUCCACAUAACCCCACUCAUUAGAUUCUAUUCCACCCAUAGUGUUAUGUCCAUGGCUUGCAAUCAUAUAUUGCGUGAAAGUUUAUAGGUUUGAGAUCACUAAAGUAUGAAACAAUUGCUUGGCUUGUCAUCGGGGUUGUGCAUGAUGAGAGCAUACUUGUGUGACGAAAAUGAAGCAUGACUAAACUAUAUGAUUUUGUAGGGGUGAACUUUCUUUGGCCAUGUUAUUUUGAGAAGACACAAUUGCUCAGUUAGUAUGCUUAAAGUAUUAUUAUUUUAUGUCAAUAUGAACUUUUGUCUUGAAUGUUUCAGAUCCGAAUAUUCAUACCACAAUUAAGAAGAAUUACAUUAAAAUCAUGCCAAGUAGCACUCCACAUCAAAAAUUCUGUUUUUAUCAUUUACCUACUCGAGGACGAGCCGGAAUUAAGCUUGGGGAUGCUUGAUACAUCUCCAACGUAUCUAUAAUUUUUGAUUGCUCCAUGCUAUAUUAUCUACUGUUUUGGACAAUAUUGGGCUUUAUUAUCCACUUGUAUAUUAUUUUUGGGACUAACCUAUUAACCGGAGGCCCAGCCCAGAAUUGUUGUUUUUUGCCUGUUUUAGGGUUUCGAAGAAAAGGAAUAUCAAACGGAGUCCAAACGGAAUGAAACCUUCGGGAACGUGAUUUUCUCAACGAACAAGAUCUAGGAGACUUGGACCCUCCAUCAAGACAUAAAAGAGGAGGCCACGAGGUAGGGGGCGUNNNNNNNNNNNNNNNNNNNNNNNNNNNNNNNNNNNNNNNNNNNNNNNNNNNNNNNNNNNNNNNNNNNNNNNNNNNNNNNNNNNNNNNNNNNNNNNNNNNNNNNNNNNNNNNNNNNNNNNNNNNNNNNNNNNNNNNNNNNNNNNNNNNNNNNNNNNNNNNNNNNNNNNNNNNNNNNNNNNNNNNNNNNNNNNNNNNNNNNNNNNNNNNNNNNNNNNNNNNNNNNNNNNNNNNNNNNNNNNNNNNNNNNNNNNNNNNNNNNNNNNNNNNNNNNNNNNNNNNNNNNNNNNNNNNNNNNNNNNNNNNNNNNNNNNNNNNNNNNNNNNNNNNUGGGCCCCCCUGUUGCUCCACCGACGUACUCCUUCCUCCUAUAUAUACCUACUAUUGGGGAACGUAGCAGAAUUUUAAAAUUUUCUACGCAUACCAAGAUCAAUCUAUGGAGUCAUAUAGCAACGAGGGAGAGAGGAGUGCAUCUACAUACCCUUGUAGAUCGCGCGCGGAAGCGUUCAAGAGAACGGGGUUGAUGGAGUCGUACUCGUCGUGAUCCAAAUCACCGAUGACCAAGUGCCGAAUGGACAGCACCUCCGCGUACAACACACGUACGGUUGGGAAGACGUCUCCUCCUUCUUGAUCCAGCAAGGGGGAAGGAGAGGUUGAUGAAGAUCCAGCAGCACGACGGCGUGGUGGUGGAUGCAGCAGGAUCCCGGCAGGGCUUCGCCAAGCGCAAGCGGGGAGGAGAGGUGUUACGGAAGGAGAGGGAGGCGCCAAGAGCAAGGGUGCGGCUGCCCUCCCUCCCCCCCCUCUUUAUAUAGGGGCCUUGGGGGGGCGCCGGCCCUAGGAGAUGGAUCUCCAAGGGGGGCGAAGGCCAAGGGGUGGCUUCCCCCCCAAGCCAAGUGGGGGGCGCCCCCACCCCUAGGGUUUCCCAACCCUAGGCGCAUGGGAGGCCCAAGGGGGGCGCACCAGCCCACUAGGGGCUGGUUCUGCUCCCAAUUCAGCCCAUGGGGCCCUCCGGGAUGGGUGGCCCCACCCGGUGGACCCCCGGGACCCUUCCGGUGGUCCUGGUACAAUACCGGUGACCCCCGAAACCUUCCCGAUGGCCGAAAUUGUACUUCCUAUAUAUAAAUCUUUACCUCCGAACCAUUCCGGAACUCCUCGUGACGUACGGGAUCUCAUCCGGUACUCCGAACAUAUCCUUGGUUACUACAUACUAAUAUCUCUACAACCCUAGCGUCACCGAACCUUAAGUGUGUAGACCCUACGGGUUCGGGAGACAUGCAGACAUGACAGAGACGCCUCUCCGGUCAAUAACCAACAGCGGGAUCUGGAUACCCAUGUUGGCUCCCACGUGCUCCACGAUGAUCUCAUCGGAUGAACCACGAUGUCGAGGAUUCAAUCAAUCUGUGUAGAAUUCCCUUUGUCAAUCGGUACGUUACUUGCCCGAGACUCGAUCGUCGGUAUCCCAAUACCUCGUUCAAUCUCGUUACCAGCAAGUCACUUUACUCGUGCCGUAAUGCAUGAUCCCAUGAUCAACCACUUGGUCACAAUGAGCUCAUUAUGAUCAUGCAUUACCGAGUGGGCCCAGAGAUACCUCUCCGUCAUACGGAGUGACAAAUCCCAGUCUCGAUUCGUGCCAACCCAACAGACACUUUCGGAGAUACCUGUAAUGUACCUUUAUAGUCACCCAGUUACGUUGUGACGUUUGGCACACCCAAGGCACUCCUACGGUAUCCGGGAGUUGCCCAAUCUCAUGGUCUAAGGAAAUGAUACUUGACAUUCGGAAAAGCUACAGCAAACGAACUACACGAUCUUUGAGCUAUGCUUAGGAUUGGGUCUUGUCCAUCACAUCAUUCUCCUAAUGAUGUGAACCCGUUAUCAAUGACAUCCAAUGUCCAUAGUCAGGAAACCAUGACUAUCUUUUGAUCAACGAGCUAGUCAACUAGAGGCUCACUAGGGACGUGUUGUCGUCUAUGUAUUCACACAUGUAUUACGAUUUCCGGAUAACACAAUUAUAGCAUGAAAAAUAGACAAUUAUCAUGAACAAAGAAAUAUAAUAAUAACCAUUUUAUUAUUGCCUCUAGGGCAUAUUUCCAACAGUCUCCCACUUGCACUAGCGUCAGUAGUCUAGUUACAUUUUGAUGAAUCCAACACCCAUGAAGUUCUGGAGUUGAUCAUGUUUUGCUCUAGGGAGAGGUUUAGUCAAUGGAUCUGCCACAUUCAGGUCCGUAUGUACUUUACAAAUCUCUAUGUAUCCAUUUUGAACACUUUCAUGAAUGGAGUUGAAGUGACGCUUGAUAUGCCUGGUCUUCCUGUGAAAUCUGGGCUCCUUGGCAAGUGCAAUAGCUCCAGUGUUGUCACAGAAUAGAGUCAUCGGGCCCGGUGCAUUGGGUGUGACUCCUAGGUCGGUAAUGAACUCCUUCACCCAGAUUGCUUCUUGUGCUGCCUCCGAGGCUGCCAUGUACUCUGCUUCACAUGUAGAUCCCGCCACAACGCUUUGCUUGCAACUCCACCAGCUUACUGCCCCACCAUUCAAAAUAUACACGUAUCCGGUUUCCGACUUAGAGUCAUCCAGAUCUGUGUCGAAGCUAGCAUCAACGUAACCCUUUACGACGAGCUCUUCGUCACCUCCAUAAACGAGAAACAUAUCCUUAGUCCUUUUUAGGUACUUGAGGAUAUUCUUGACUGCUGUCUAGUGUUCCAUGCCGGGAUUACUUUGGUACCUUCCUACCAAACUUACGGCAAGGUUUUCAUCAGGUCUGGUACACAGCAUAGCAUACAUGAUAGACCCUAUGGCCGAGGCAUAGGGGAUGACACUCAUCUUUUCUCUAUCUUCUGUCGUGGUCGUGCAUUGAGCCUCGCUCAAUCUCGUACCUUGCAAUACAGGCAAGAACCCUUCUUUUACUGAUCCAUUUUGAACUUCUUCAAUAUCUUAUCAAGGUAUGUACUCUGUGAAAGACCAAUGAGGCGUCUCGAUCUAUCUCUAUAGAUCUUGAUGCCUAAUAUAUAAGCAGCUUCUCCAAGAUCCUUCAUUGAAAAACACGUGUUCAAGUAGGCCUUUAUGCUUUCCAAGAAUUCUAUAUCAUUUCCCAUCAACAAUAUGUCAUCCACAUCCAAUAUGAGAAAUGCUACAAAGCUCCCACUCACUUUCUUGUAAAUGCAGACUUCUCCAUAAGUAUGCGUAAACCCAAACGCUUUGAUCAUCUCAUCAAAACGAAUGUUCCAUCUCCGAGAUGCUUGCACCAGCCCAUAAAUCGAAUGUUGGAGCUUGUACACCUUGUCAGCAUUCUUAGGAUCGACAAAACCUUCCGGCUGCAUCAUAUACAAUUCUUCCUUAAGGAAACCAUUAAGGAAUGUUGUUUUGACGUCCAUUUGCCAUAUUCAUAAUCAUAGAAUGCGGCAAUUGCUAACAUCGUAGUCAACCCCUUGAACUUGCCGAUAACCCUUAGCGACAAGCCGAGCUUUAUAGAUGGUCACAUUACCAUCCGCGUCUGUCUUCUUCUUAAAGAUCCAUUUAUUUUCUAUGGCUCGCCGAUCAUCGGGCAAGUCAGUCAAAGUCCAUACUUUGUUUUCAUACAUGGAUCUUAUCUCGGAUUUCAUGGCUUCCAGCCAUUUGUUGGAAUUCAGGCCCGCCAUCGCUUCUUCAUAGUUCGAAGUUCACCGUUGUCUAACAACAUGAUUUCCAAGACAGGGUUGCCGUACCACUCUGGUGCGGGACGUGUCCCCGUGGACCUACGAAGUUCAGUAGCAACUUGAUCUGAAGUUUCAUGAUCAUCAUCAUCAAUUUCCUCUCUAGUCGUUGCAGGCACCUUAGGAACAUUUUCUUGAGCUGCGCCACUUACCGGUUCAAGAGGUAAUAAUACUUCAUCAAGUUCUACUUUCCUCCCACUUAUUUCUUUCGAGAGAAACUCUUUCUCUAGAAAGGACCCAUUCUUGGCAACAAAGAUCUUGCCUUCGGAUCUGAGGUAGAAGGUAUACCCAAUAGUUUCUUUAGGGUAUCCUAUGAAGACGCAUUUUUCCAAUUUGGGUUCGAGCUUUUCAGGUUGAAGUUUCCUUACAUAAGCAUCGCAUCCCCAAACUUUUAGAAAUGACAUCUUAGGUGUCUUCCCAAACCAUAAUUCAUACGGUGUCAUCUCAACGGAUUUCGACGGAGCCCUAUUUAAAGUGAAUGCGGCAGUCUCUAAAGCAUAGCCCCAAAAUGACAGCGGUAAAUCGGUAAGAGACAUCAUAGAUCGCACCAUAUCUAAUAGAGUGCGAUUAUGACAUUCCGACACACCAUUACGCUGAGGUGUUCCAGGCGGCGUGAGUUGUGAAACUAUUCCACAUUUUCUUAAGUGUGUGCCAAAUUCGUGACUCAAGUAUUCUCCCCCACGAUCUGAUCGCAAGAACUUGAUUUGCCUGUCACGUUGAUUCUCAACCUCACUUUGAAAUUCCUUGAACUUUUCAAAGGUCUCAGACUUGUGUUUCAUUAAGUAGACAUACCCAUAUCUACUCAAGUCAUCAGUGAGGGUGAGAACAUAACGAUAGCCACCGCGCCUCAACACUCAUUGGACCGCACACAUCAGUAUGUAUGAUUUCCAAUAAGUUGGUUACUCGCUCCAUUGUUCCUGAGAACGGAGUCUUGGUCAUUUUACCCAUGAGGCAUGGUUCGCACGUGUCAAAUGAUUCGUAAUCAAGAGACUUUAAAAGUCUAUCUGCAUGGAGCUUCUUCAUGCGUUUGACACCUAUGUGACCAAGGCGGCAAUGCCACAAGUAUGUGGGACUAUCAUUAUCAACCUUACAUCUUUUGGUAUUCACACUAUGAAUAUGUGUAACAUUAUGCUCGAGAUUCAUUAAGAAUAAACCAUUCACCAAUGGAGCAUGACCAUAAAACAUAUCUCUCAUAUAAAUAGAACAACCAUUAUUCUCGGAUUUAAAUGAGUAGCCAUCUCAAAUUAACCGAGAUCCUGAUACAAUGUUCAUGCUCAAAGCUGGCAGUAAAUAACAAUUAUUGAGGUUUAAAACUAAUCCCAUAGGCAAAUGUAGAGGCAGCGUGCCGACGGCGAUCACAUCAACCUUGGAACCAUUCCCGACGCACAUCGUCACCUCGUCCUUCGCCAGUCUCCGUUUAAUCCGCAGCUCCUGCUUUGAGUUACAAAUGUGAGCAACUGCACCGGUAUCAAAUACCCAGGAGCUACUACGAGUACUGGUAAGGUACACAUCAAUUACAGGUAUAUCACAUAUACCUUUAGUGUUGCCGGCCUUCUUGUCCGCUAAGUAUUUGGGGCAGUUCCGCUUCCAGUGACUACUUCCCUUGCAAUAAAAACACUCAGUCUCGAGCUUGGAUCCAUUCUUUGGCUUCUUCCCGGAAACUUGCUUAGCGGGCGCGGCAACUCCCUUGCCGUCCUUCUUGAAUUCUUCUUACCCUUGCCUUUCUUGAACUUAGUGGUUUUAUUCACCAUCAACACUUGAUGUUCCUUUUUGAUUUCCACCUCUGCUGAUUUCAGCAUUGAAUAUACCUCAGGAAUGGUCUUUUCCAUCCCCUGCAUAUUGAAGUUGAUCACAAAGCUCUUGUAGCUCGGUGGAAGCGACUGAAGGAUUCUGUCAAUGACCGCGUCAUUCGGGAGGUUAACUCCCAGCUGAGUCAAGCGGUUAUGCAACCCAGACAUUUUGAUUAUGUGCUCACUGACAGAACUAUUUUCCUCCAUCUUAUAGCUGAAGAACUUGUCGGAGACUUCAUAUCUCUCGACCCGGGCAUGAGCUUGAAAAACCAUUUUCAGCUCUUCGAACAUCUCAUAUGCUCCAUGUCUCUCAAAAUGCUUUUGGAGCCCCGGUUCUAAGCUGUAAAGCAUGCCGCACUGAACGAGGGAGUAAUCAUCAGCACGUAACUGCCAAGCGUUGAUAAUGUCUUGGUUCUCUGGGACAGGUGCGUGACCUAACGGUGCUUCUAGGACAUAAUAUUUCUUGGCAGCUACGAGGAUGAUCCUCAGGUUCCGGACCCAGUCCGUAUAGUUGCUGCCAUCGUCUUUCAGCUUGGUUUUCUCUAGGAACGCGUUGAAAUUGAGGACAACGUGGGCCAUUUGAUCUACAAGACAUAUUGUAAAGAUUUUAGACUAAGUUCAUGAUAAUUAAGUUCAUCUAAUCAAAUUAUACAAUGAACUCCCACUCAGAUAGACAUCCCUCCAGUCAUCUAAGUGAAACAUGAUCCAAGUUAACUAGGCUGUGUCGGAUCAUCACGUGAAACGGACUAGUCAACAUCGGUGAACAUCUUCAUGUUGAUCGUAUCUUCUAUACGACUCAUGCUCGACCUUUCGGUCUUCUGUGUUCCGAGGCCAUGUCUGUACAUGCUAGGCUCGUCAACUAAACCUAAGUGUAUUGCGUGUGUAAAUCUGGCUUACACCCGUUGUAUUCGAACGUUAGAAUCUAUCACACUCGAUCAUCACGUGGUGCUUCGAAACAACGAACCUUCGCAACGGUGCACAGUUAGGGGGAACACUUUCUUGAAAUUAUUUCGAGGGAUCAUCUUAUUUAAGCUACCGUCGUUCUAAGCAAAUAAGAUGUAAAACAUGAUAAACAUCACAUGCAAUCAAAUAGUGACAUGAUAUGGCCAAUAUCAUUUGCUCCUUUUGAUCUCCAUCUUUGGGGCUCCAUGAUCAUCGUUGUCACCAGCAUGACACCAUGAUCUCCAUCAUCAUGUCUUCUUGAAGUUGUCUCGUCAUCUAUUACUUCUACUACUAUGGCUAAUGCUUUAGCAAUAAAGUAAAGUAAUUACAUGACGUUUAUGUUGACACGCAGGUCAUAAAAAAAUAAAGACAACUCCUAUGGCUCCUGCCGGUUGUCAUACUCAUCGACAUGCAAGUCGUGAUUCCUAUUACAAGAACAUGAUCAAUCUCAUACAUCACAUAUAUCAUUCAUCACAUCCUUUUGGCCAUAUCACAUCAGACGGCACAUGCUGCAAAAACAAGUUAGACGUCCUCUAAUUGUUGUUGCAAGUUUUUACAUGGCUGCUAUAGGUUUCUAGCAAGAACGUGUCUUACCUACGCCAAAACCACAACGUGAUAUGCCAAUUUCUAUUUACCCUUCAUAAGGACCCUUUUCAUCGAAUCCGAUCUAACUAAAGUGGGAGAGAUAGACACCCGCCAGCCACCUUAUGCAAGUAAUGCAUGUCAAUCGGUGGAACCAGUCUCACGUAAGCGUACGUGUAAGGUCGGUCCGGGCCGCUUCAUCCCACGAUGCCGCCGAAUCAAGAUAAGACUAGUAACGGCAAGCAAAGUGACAAUAUCCACGCCCACAACUGCUUUGUGUUCUACUCGUGCAUAGAAACUACGCAUAGACCUGGCUCAUGAUGCCACUAUUGGGGAAUGUAGCAGAAUUUUAAAAUUUUCUACGCAUCACCAAGAUCAAUCUAUGGAGUUAUCUAGCAAUGAGGAAGAGAGGAGUGCAUCUACAUACCCUUGUAGAUCGCGCGCGGAAGCGUUCAAGAGAACGGGGUUGAUGGAGUCGUACUCGUCGUGAUCCAAAUCACCGAUGACCAAGUGCCGAACGGACAGCACCUCCGCGUUCAACACACGUCCGGUUGGGAAGACGUCUCCUCCUUCUUGAUCCAGCAAGGGGGAAGGAGAGGUUGAUGAAGAUCCAGCAGCACGACGGCGUGGUGGUGGAUGCAACAGGAUCCCGGCAGGGCUUCGCCAAGCGCAAGCGGGGAGGAGAGGUGUUACGGAGGGAGAGAGAGGCGCCAAGAGCAAGGGUGCGGCUGCCUUCCCUCCCCCCUCUUUAUAUAGGGGCCAUGGCGGGCGCCGGCCCUAGGAGAUGGAUCUCCAAGGGGGGCGAAGGCCAAGGGGUGGCUCCCCCCCCCAAGCCAAGUGGGGGGCGCCCCCACCCCUAGGGUUUCCCAACCCUAGGCGCAGGGGAGGCCCAAGGGGGCGCACCAGCCCACUAGGGGCUGGUUCCCCUCCCAAUUCAGCCCAUGGGGCCCUCCGGGAUGGGUGGCCCCACCCGGUGGACCCCCGGGACCCUUCCGGUGGUCCCGAUACAAUACCGGUUACCCCCGAAACCUUCCCGAUGGCCGAAACUGUACUUCCUAUAUAUAAAUCUUUACCUCCAAACCAUUUCAGAACUCCUCGUGACGCCCGGGAUCUCAUCCGGGACUCCGAACAACUUUCGGCUUACUACAUACUAAUAUCUAUACAACCCUAGCGUCACCGAACCUUAAGUGUGUAGACCCUACGGGUUUCGGAGACAUGCAGACAUGACUGAGACGCCUCUCCAGUCAAUAACCAACAGCGGGAUCUGGAUACCCAUGUUGGCUCCCACAUGCUCCACGAUGAUCUCAUCGGAUGAACCACGAUGUCGAGCAUUCAAUCAAUCUGUAUACAAUUCCCUUUAUCAAUCAGUACGUUACUUGCCCGAGACUCGAUCGUCAGUAUCCCAAUACCUUGUUCAAUCUCGUUACCGGCAAGUCACUUUACUCAUACCAUAAUGCAUGAUCCCGUGAUCAACCACUUGGUCACAUUGAGCUCAUUAUGAUGAUGCAUUACCGAGUGGGCCCAGAGAUACCUCUUCAUCACGCGGAGUGACAAAUCCCAGUCUCGAUUCAUGCCAACCCAAUAGACACUUUCGGAGAUACCUGUAAUGUACCUUUAUAGUCACCCAGUUACGUUGUGACGUUUGGCACACCCAAGGCACUCCUACGGUAUCCGGGAGUUUCACAAUCUCAUGGUCUAAGGAAAUGAUACUUGACAUUCGGAAAAGCUACAGCAGAUGAACUACACGACCUUUGAGCUAUGCUUAGGAUUGGGUCUUGUCCAUCACAUCAUUCUCCUAAUGAUGUGAUCCCAUUAUCAAUGACAUCCAAUGUCCAUAGUCAGGAAACCAUGACUAUCUUUUGAUCAACAAGCUAGUCAACUAGAGGCUCACUAGGGACGUGUUGUGGUCUAUGUAUUCACACAUGUAUUACGAUUUCCGGAUAACACAAUUAUAGCAUGAACAAUAGACAAUUAUCAUGAACAAAGAAAUAUAAUAAUAACCAUUUUAUUAUUGCCUCUAGGGCAUAUUUCCAACACCUACGUACCCCCAAACGAUCAUAUACGGAGCCAAAACCCUAAUUCCACCGCCGCAACUUUCUGUAUCCACGAGAUCCCAUCUUGGGGCCUGUUCCGGAGCUCCGCCAGAGGGGGCAUCGAUCACGGAGGGCUUCUACAUCAACACCAUAGCCUCUCUGAUGAAGUGUGAGUAGUUCACCUCAGACCUACGGUUCCAUAGUUAUUAGCUAGAUGGCUUCUUCUCUCUUUUUGGAUCUCAAUACAAUGUUCUCCCCAUCUCUUGUGGAGAACUAUUCGAUGUAAUCUUCUUUUUGCGGUGUGUUUGUUGAGACCGAUGAAUUGUGGGUUUAUGAUCAAGUCUAUCUAUGAAUAAUAUUUGAAUCUUCUCUGAAUUGUUUUAUGUAUGAUAGGUUAUCUUUGCAAGUCUCUUCGAAUUAUCAGUUUGGUUUGGCCUACUAGAUUGAUCUUUCUUGCAAUGGGAGAAGUGCUUAGCUUUGGGUUCAAUCUUGCGGUGUCCUUUCCCAGUGACAGUAGGGGCAGCAAGGCACGUAUUAUAUUGUUGCCAUCGAGGACAACAAGAUGGAGUUUUCAUCAUAUUGCAUGAGUCUAUCCCUCUACAUCAUGUCAUCUUGCUUAAGGCGUUAAUCUGUUUUUAACUUAAUACUCUAGAUGCUUGCUGGAUAGCGAUCGAUUAGUGGAGUAAUAGUAGUAGAUGCAGGCAGGAGUCGGUCUACUUGUCUCGGACGUGAUGCCUAUAUACAUGAUCAUACCUAGAUAUUCUCAUAACUAUGCUCAAUUCUGUCAAUUGCUCAACAAUAAUUUGUUCACCCACCGUAGAAUAUUUAUGCUCUCGAGAGAAGCCACUAGUGAAACCUAUGGCCCCGGGUCUAUCUUUAUCAUAUUAAUCUCCUACUACUUAGUUAUUUCCUUUGCUUUUUACUUUGCCUUUAUUUUACUUUGCAUCUUUAUCACAAAAAUACGAAAAAAAUUAUCUUUAUCAUAUCUAUCAAAUCUCACUCUCGUAAGUGGCCGUGUAGGAAUUGACAACCCCUAUUCGCGUUGGUUGCGAGGAUUUAUUUGUUUUGUGCAGGUACGAGGGACUCGCGCGUAGCCUCCUACUGGAUUGAUACCUUGGUUCUCAAAACCUGAGGGAAAUACUUACGCUACUUUGCUGCAUCAUCCCUUCCUCUUCGGGGAAAACCAAGGCAGUGCUCAAGAGGUAGCAAGGGUUCCUUUUUGUCGACGAUCCGAUGUUUCAACCCUGUUUUCCAGGUGGCCAACGCGUCGCUAAACUUGGUGACGGCGUGUUUGUUUAUCUUCUUCAUUGCCAGGUCCUUAUCUGGAUCUUUAUUAUCCUUUUCACUGCGGUCUGGGAACAAGAUUAUCUGGUGCAGUUUCUUAAGGAGGGAGGGCCUCAUAUUAUCUAUCUUCUGUAGUUUCCCAUCGUUGAUCGUGGCAGUUGUCCGUACGAUGCAACCUAUUUGAUUGCCGUAGCACGAUCGCGCUUCCUCGGGCGCUAUUGUCUCAAAAAUACCGCCGUCCAUCUCCGUGACCGCCAGUCUACUACUCAUGAGCUGGUUUGGGCGCUGUGGCCUCUUUGCUUUCGGUUCUAGACCAGCUCCGCUAGUCUCGGCGCCUGUCUCAGUUUCAUCAUCGGUCCGCAUGUCGGUAUCAGUCCCCGAUGCGACACCACAGUUGCUGCAACAUGGGUAAGGGAGACCACGUCAGUGGUGGGGGGUCUGAAAAUCAGAACACACUUUCGCGCGUCGCGGGCCGCCUCUCAGACAGCUACUGGGGAGGCGGUGGAGUACCUGGGUGCGCGGCGAAUCCCCGGGAACUCGGUGACCAACUUCCUUCCCGUGUGGCGCAUGGAGACGACGGCGACCCCGGCGAAGAGCAGCUUAGCCGCGAGCUGCACAGCCUCGUCCACCUCCUAAGUUGGGACCUCCGCGCGAGCGUUGCGGGGCCGCCACUCGGAUGGCUUCUGGAAGGCGGUUGUACAUGGGCACAUGGUGAAUCCCGGCGAGAGCUGGCCAUUGGCGCGCGCAAGUAGACGACGAUGUCCUCGAAGAAGAGCAGCCCGGCCAGCUCGCCUCACUAUCCUUUGAUUAGAAAUGAAAGAUUGGGAAGAAGCAGACUUGAGCCUGCAGGGAAAGGAUAAGGUGACGAUGCAGUCUCCACUCGUUCGGGGCGACACUCGUACUGAAUGUAUGAGAAACGUGACGUGGCAGAGACCCCAAGAUACUCCCUCCAUUUAUUUUUAGUCUGCAUAUAAAGUUUGGUCAAAGUCAAGAUUUGUAAAUUUUAACUAACUUUAUAAUAAAAAAAUAUCAACAUUCACAAUAUGAAAUCAAUAUUACCAGAUGCGUCAUGAAAUGUAUUUCCAUACUAUAUAGUUUUGGUAUUGUAGAUGUUCAUAUUUUUUUAUAUAUAUGGGAAGUAGAGGCACUCUUCUAUAUAAUGAAGUUUAUAAUAUAUGUGCUUAUAUUGUACUAUAAUUGUUUGAAUAACUUAGCAUAUAUUCAGAUGUAUGAUAUCUGUAAUUUAAACGCUUGAAUUUUACAUAUGAAUAUUUAUUAAUAAAUAUGUACCCCUAUAAUAGCUAGGCCGUGCAGUUGCACGGGUAGAUGACUAGUGAUUACAAUCUUGCUUGUGUGCAAGUCAAGCUUAUCUAGUUUACACGUAACAACUUAUAGAACAUUACAAAAUUUAUGCUUGCUAAUAACUUCUAGAACACUACAACACUUGACAUGUAAAAGGAAUUUGAUGAGUCAUGGCCUACUAAAGCAAGUUACAUUACUAGUCUUAUCUAUCUUAACAGACCACACAAGAUUACAAACUAUGUACCGUGACAGCCAUGCUUAUCUAGUUUAUGCGUAACAAUUUGCAGAAAAUUACAAACUUAGUUUCAGAAAGAUAGGCAAUCUAGAUUAGUGUUUGAGCUGUAAAGUGAAUAAGAUGAGUCAUGCAUGUCAUCACACCUUUUUGGUGGUGGAAUGAUAGUGCAACAACAAGGAACUUUAAUGACCAGUCCAAGAAUACACUUGUAAGUAGUGCCACCAAACAGAACAUACCAAAUGAUGAUUUUGAGAAGCAUCCAAGCACUUUCCACACAAACAAAUGCCAAUUGUGAAAGAGAUCAUUCCAUGGCAGCUAUAAAUAGCCCCAUAGCAUGACGAUCAUCCUUCCUCAUCCAUCAUUCUCAUAAGUAGAGCACAUCAUUUAAGCCAAGCAAGUUGUGGUCAAUACAAAUCCACCAUGAAGACCUUUCUCAUCCUUGCCCUCCUUGCUAUCGUGGCGACCACCGCCACAACUGCAGUUAGAGUUCCAGUGCCACAAUUGCAGCCACAAAAUCCAUCUCAGCAACAGCCACAGGAGCAAGUUCCAGUGGUACAACAACAACAAUUUCUAGGGCAGCAACAACCAUUUCCACCACAACAACCAUAUCCACAGCCGCAACCAUUUCCAUCACAACAACCAUAUCUGCAGCUGCAACCAUUUCCGCAGCCGCAACUACCAUAUUCGCAGCCACAACCAUUUCAACCACAACAACCAUAUCCACAACCGCAACCACAGUAUUCGCAACCACAACAACCAAUUUCACAGCAGCAGCAGCAGCAGCAGCAGCAGCAACAACAACAACAACAACAACAACAACAACAACAACCACAACAAAUCCUUCAACAAAUUUUGCAACAACAACUGAUUCCAUGCAUGGAUGUUGUAUUGCAGCAACACAACAUAGCGCAAGGAAGAUCACAAGUUUUGCAACAAAGUACUUACCAGCUGUUGCAAGAAUUGUGUUGUCAGCACCUAUGGCAGAUCCCUGAGCAGUCGCAGUGCCAGGCCAUCCACAAUGUUGUUCAUGCUAUUAUUCUGCAUCAACAACAAAAACAACAACAACAACAACAACAACAACAACCAUCGAGUCAGGUCUCCUUCCAACAGCCUCAGCAACAAUAUCCAUUAGGCCAGGGCUCCUUCCGGCCAUCUCAGCAAAACCCACAGGCCCAGGGCUCUGUCCAGCCUCAACAACUGCCCCAGUUCGAGGAAAUAAGGAACCUAGCGCUACAGACACUACCUGCAAUUUGCAAUGUCUACAUCCCUCCAUAUUGCACCAUCGCGCCAUUUGGCAUCUUCGGUACUAACUGAGAAGAAAAUAACUCUAGUACUAGAUAUAUGAAACACCGUUUUCUCAGUCCAUGGUUUGGUCGUUGUAGCGGUGAAAAAAUAAUGUGGCAUGCACUAUCAUGUAAGAACCCAAACUAUACUAGUUCAAACUUGGGAAUAAAAGACAAACACAGGUCUUGUCUACAUAUUUAUGUCGCAUCUAUUUAUAUAUUAAAAGUAAUAUAAGGUGAACCAGGAGCAAGGUAAAUAUGCUAGAAAAUUGCACGUUAAUUAGAAAUUACUAGCCCUCAAUCCGGUAAAUCUUAACAAAUAGAAUUAUCUUGACCGUUAGAUUUAUGUAACAUAUAUAAUUCUCUGGGCCUCCAACGACUGUACGUGACACAUCUGAACGCACAUAUGUUAAAGAAAAUAUAUUUGGUAAAUGGUGGGCCUCUUUAAAAAGAGAACUCACGUACAUGCACCAACUAAGAAAAACACAUACAUGUAAACGGGAAAAGGGCUCCACCCCGUUGAAAAAAUAUACAUCUGGAGGCCACUUUGUUUCCUCAUAAAAAAAAACUUACGUUAAAAAGAUUGCAUGCAUCCCAGGGAAAAUAGUCAAGAAGAAGUCGGACUCUUCCUUACAAAAACAAGGAACGUGUUAAGUUGACUUCAAAGAAAAAAGGAACAUGUUAAGUUAAAAAAAACAAGAAACCUGUUAAGUUAGAAAAAAACAAGGAACGUGUUGUCCUAGGAAAGAUAUGUGUCAAAUCUUACAAAAAAAAGAAUACACACACGUACGUUCAUGCACUUGGAAAAUAGAAAAAAAAAGGAACAUCACGUAUGUAUACACUUCGGAAACUCAUUACAUGACCAUGUCUGAUAUACUCCUCUAAUGCUUAAUAUUAGUGCCUAAUAAUUUAUAUUUAAAAUUUAAUUUACUGAUCAAAUAUCCCCACUGUUUAAAUUUUAAUUUGGCACAUUGUUUGGCUAUAGUAUGAACCUAAAUUUCCUCUUAUUAUUAUAUAUCAUGAUAAUAAUCCAAAGGCGACUAAUCUGCGCCGGCGCACCGGCGCAAUCAAUUCGGCCCGACACAGCGCGGCCGUUUGAUUAAAUUGCAUUUAACCGUCAGAUCUAGAAUCAUUUUAUUUCCAAUUAAACGGAUUCAACCAAACAGCAGAGGGGAAAACAAAGCAGCACCGCCGCCAACACUAGUCAUGGACGACCGAUGUAGCAAAACCUUGAAGAACCGCCGCCGGUCGCCACCCUCGCCGCUGGUCGCCGCCCUCGCCGCCUGCGUUUCUCAUCGGCUUCAUGCAUGCAACAACAUGCACUCGUGAUUGCAGGCUUGCAGCUCCGGCUCCGGGGGACAUGGCCGCAUCUCCGGUAGCGCCGGCCGCCAGCCGCAGCACCUGUCGUUGUGGUCACGCUGUACCUCGCCGUGUGCCCUCCCAAGGCUCUUGCUGGUUCCAACAAAAAACGAUACCUAUUGUAGCAAAAAAGUUUAUCGCUUCCAGCAAAAAAGCUUACCGCUAUAGCCCGCCAUCAUCAUUGUAGCAAAAAUGUUAACUCGAUGUAGCUUCUGUGGUUGCCGACUGCGGCCAAAAAUGACGUGGUUGUAGCAAAACACAAAAGAAAAACGCCGGCCGUCCGCUGUGUAUGGUGGUAACAAACCCUAUAGCCGGUGGUAGCGAAAAACUUCACUGUUUGCAGCAAAAAAAUGUUGUCGCCCGUCGUCGAGGUUGCAUCAUCUUCAUGAAUUAUGUCGCAAAAAAACGUUGUCGCCGGUAGUAGCAAAUGAAGCCGCCGGUAGUAACAAAACAAGACACUGGUUCCAGCCAAAAAAAUCAGCGACAGAACCUUUUGUUGGUUCCAACAAAAAAACUUGUCGGUUGUAACAUCCCUCGCCGCCGGAUGUAGCAUCUCCCAGGGCUAGUUGCAACACUCCAUAAAAAAAGUUGUCUAUGAGCGCAUCCAUGGCAACUGCUGCACCGUCAGCAACGAGGGGAAGAGGAGGCAAUGAAAAUCGUUCGAGUCGUAGCUCCACUGGACACGGCUGCAGCAUGGGGAGUCCAAAAAUCUGUCACAAGCAAGAUGCGCCUCGCCAUCCUCCUGCGCAGGAGAGAGAAGAAAAAGGAAUAAGAGGAAGAAGAAACGAAACGGGAGAAAGAAAAAAAGAAACGAUUGGUUGUGGGCUCAGGCAAUUAGUCAAAUGAGGGGCACGCGGGGCCGUAGGAUACAGCGCAAUCGAACGAAGUGCGCGCGUCCGGCCGAAGACUCAGCUGGACUGCCGGUCCAGCUGGAAAUGUUUCCCUAAUACAAAGGCUUUUCUGAAUGACAAGUCGUCUGAGUUAUCGGCUAACUAGAAAAAAGAUAAAUAUGCUAGAUAAUUCCAUAAUAAUUAGAAAUAUCUAGCCUUUAAUUAUGUAAAUCAGAAAAUCACAACCGUUGGAUUUACUUUAAAGGUAAAUUUCUCUAAAUUCCCACCAUUGCCAGUAUGUAGAAACAUGUGCUGCUUCAAUUCUCCCUUAAUCACCAAUCAAUCAACAACUGAAAACAUACCUCAGUUAAAAAAACUGAACAAAAAAAAGAAAAAAAGAAGAAAGGACAAGAUACACGCAUGUACACGACAGCCUUGGCUUGAAACACAUCAGUAGAUCAAGUGUCCGCCUCCCUUACACAGAAUAAAUUCUAGGGAAGAAAAUAAUAGUGCAACCUAACCUUAUACGUACUAUUCUAUCCUCACGUCCCAUGAGGUUUACUAGCCUACUGCCGCCGCAUCAUGCCAUCCUCUCCUUUCAGCUCCCUCCUUGCGGCGCCACUACUCGCCUAGGGAUAUUGCUGCUCAGACCGUGGAGCUUAACCUGCUUCUUCUUCAGCAAAUAUGGAACUGCUUUAGGAUCCUUCUGACAUCAGCGCGUAUGGGCCUCAUUAUACUGCAGCUCCUGGACCUCCUACAAUUGGUUGGCUAUGGCCAGUUGAUCGAUGUGCUGAAGUCCAGGUCUGUUUGCUGGCACAUAUGCUUUGGAAAUAGGCCACUAUGUUUGUACUUCGAAAUUGUUUCUGUAUUCUUCAGUGGUACAUCCUUUUAAGCGCCAGUUUUUUAUGUUAAUUCAUGCUGACAACACUUAACCUAGCCUUUCAUGUUCACGUACUAAAUACAGGAGCAAGUAAAAACAACAGACCACCUAAUUGCUCUGCAAGUUCUACAUAGGAAAAUUUGUCAUGUUCUACGAUCGCACCAUCCCACCCUUCUCUCUUGGUAUGGGCGCCAAUUGAGGGAUUGAUAAAACUGAAACGAAGACGUCACAGGGCUGGAAGUACCGCUAGCCUGGUUCGCACUGCAACCUACCCAACGCCAUCAGAAACUAGCAACUGAGUCAGGUGUUGAUCGAUUCUCUCAAAUUGCUCUCAUGUAAGUACUACCCCUUGCAUGUGCGUACAUACCUUUGUUGCAUUCUCAAACAGAUAGAACAUGUAUGAUCGGUGCAUGGCUAUUUUUCAUCACAUGACAUCCAGAUAACAAGCAUGAAAGGACUACAUUGGAGAUCAAAAAAUAUUGGUUCCUGGCUAGAGUACCACUACCUAUGGACUUGUCUCCAUAGAAUUUGUUCCCAAGAUGUUAUUUUAAUUAACCUCUUUAGCUUUCUUCCGUUGCAAACGGUGAUGUGCAUCAUGGUAUAUACGUGACCAUCUUGCACAUGUAUACACAAGAGGCUCAGACGGAGGUGCUGGAUUCUGGACGAGGGAAUAUGAAGCAGGAGUGAGCGAAGAGUAAAUAAUGGUGGGAGUACCGAUUGGUGUUAUGAAGAAAAAUGCCAUCCAAAGAUUGAUUAGUGUCAUGGAAGAUUAAUUUCUGAAUGCGAAUAUAUAUGUUACAUUGGUUUGGAUCUUUUUGAGAUAAUUGCACCUAAAUUAGGUUCUUUCUUAUUUCAUAUGUAUACCUUAUUUCAGUAAAAGUUCACAACGAACUUAGUAGGACAAAUAUAAUUUUGUUUGUUCUUUCUGUUGUCCGCCACCAAAGCUCAGUUUGAACUCUCUAGAAAUGGACAAUGAUUUAUGCAUUCUAUAUCUUCUUGAUUGAUUAGCCAUGACAAGGAAAUAAAAGGAUUGACUGAUAUAGCAUAACUUUGGAACGAUCUGUUCGUAGAGGUUACUACAAAUUAGAGUAGUGUCUGUUGGAAUUUUGCUAGUAGGCCUUUGGCCCAAAGCCCAACUAAAAUUCUGAAAUUCUCUUCGCUCAUUCAUGCACACAUGUGAGUGGAGUGAGUGAGACUAAAGUUUAGAGAGAGUUGCACCUCUUUAUAAGGUGAGCUCUUCUACCACUUGUAUGAGCAUGAGAAGAGGAGACCUAUACACGCGCUCCUCCUCCUCGCUCACCACGUCUCGUCACGCCGCGCCGCGCCGCGGAUUGCGGGAUUGAGCCGAGCCGAGGACGUUGUCUAUAUUUUUGCUGUUUGGGAAAAAUUAAUAAGUCAUUAAUUAAUAAUUAAUGGAUGCGUUAAUUACUGAACCAUUUUCGAUUCUUUUGGAUCGUGACGACUCGGACGUGGGGUUUACUCCCACGAUCUACCCGGCCCACACUAUAUAGUCAGGCAGACGUCUACCCUAGCCGCCGCCACUUCGUAUGGUUUCUCACCACCGUUACAGAUCGUUGCGCCGCCAAGCAAGUUUUCUCCAUUCCUCCUGUCGGCAUGCACUGGGAGAAGGGACAGCAGGCCUCCGGAACCCCGCCUCUCGUGAUCCUGUACGGGAGAGGGGCGAUCAGAUUUUUGGGGAGCGCACUCGCACGACUGCUGGCAGCGACGACUUCGCAAACGACGACUUCUUCCCCGACCUCGGCAACCUCAUCCUCGACUUCUGCACCGUAUGUUAUUCUAUCCUUCUUGUUCGAGAUCGUGGUAGAAUUCAGAUUUCUAGCAUGUUCCCUAGAUGUGAUUUGUUCAUCUACUAUUCUAAUUCGCAUGAUUAGUUUAAUCUUUGCUAUUGCUGUCAUGAUCUAUUUCCUAUUUAUUCGGAUUAAAUCUCGUAGUAAUUUGCUCAUUUUUCCAACAGUGCCAUCUAAUAGAUGAUGUAAAUCUCCUCAAGUUUGACGUUGUUGAGCUAAUUUACAAAAAAAACCUCAUCAUUAUUGGAUGUCCUUAACAGCUCAAGAACAAGUUGGGGUCGAAAUAAUGGAUUUUACACUUUUACAUUAAAGGUUUAGCUAAAGCAAGCAGGUGUUUUUAAACCUGAAUUUUUUUCCUCCUGAAUUUCUUUGUAUUUUCUUAUUGACACUAUUUAUACAAUCAUCUGACAAAGAUUAGCUAAAGCUGUUUGUAGAUACGUUCAAACCUGAAAAGCUUCUUUGGUUAUCCUUUUAAUAGUUCUACGUUUAUUUUCUCAUAGGUCUUAAUUCUUAUGUAAUACCAAGAUGCAUUGUGGUAGUGUACAUGUGUUAAAUUCAGGUUGUUAUUCACAAUUUGCGACAAAAUUUAGCUCACGCUACAUUUAAAUAUGUUGAAAUGUGAAAGCUCUUUUUCUUCUCCUUUCUACACCUUGCAUCGGAUUGCAUCCCUUUAGUUAUCCAACAUUUUGUACAACAUGUAGAGAUUAGGAAGUUCAUCAUAGUUUGUCUAUUUCCGUGCUAAUAAAUGUAUGAAAUCUGCAUUUCCAAGCUACUAGGACAAGUAAAAAAUAAUAAUUUUACUAUAGGAUUCAAAAACAGCAGUUCUGAAGUGCACUUUAUUUAUUUGUGAAAGUGAUCACAUUUUGUUUCAUUUUUCUAUAGACAAAUCUACUAAUACAUACUCACGAUAAAACUAUAAAAGUUCUAGUCCGCACAUUGGGCGGGCCACCCGGCUAGUUAGUCUAAAGAUAACAAAAUGAGUCUGGAAUUUGAAUUAAAUUGAAGUAUUUUCUUGGACUAUCCACAUCCUUGGCUUGCCCCUGAUCAAUUAUUUCCAGAGAAGCAUUCAAUUCAUCAAUCAAUUACAUUGAUUUUAGUGGCUGGUACUUCUCCUCGACAUCAGUAUAUUCACCGUGGCCACUCCAAAUCGGCAAGAAUGAGGUACCAGUGCUCUGGAGCAGUGCAAGCUAAUUGCUUCUCAUGUGAAGGGGUGCGGGCGCGGGAGAGGUAUUUCUGGUGGGCCAAGGGAUAAGAAGCGACCGUGGCAGCGGUACAGACGCCCGCAAAGCCCCAUAAUUUGUUUUUGGUUUACAGGAAAAAUGCACAUCCAUACCGGCCUGGGGAAUAUAGCACUGUAUUGCAUGGAAAACCAUGUCCGGAUGGUUGUGAGCGGUUUGAGGGUUAGCUUUUGUAACGCCCGGUUAGUUAUGCUAUAGCAAUUCCCUGCUAAUGAUGUCACGUCACCACGAUUACUGUUGUUAACCUCACAAUGAUUCAAUCCCGUUCAAAUUCAAAUUUGAAAUAAAGGUAAACAUCAAAAGUUUUCAAACAUUAAAACUAAAAUCUUUGAGAGGUGACAAAUAAUGCAUAAGUAAUUAUGGUGAAGAAACCACACUUUAAUCAAAUGUUUAAAUACUCUAAAAUGAAAAAAAAACAGUGACUUAAACUAUUAUUUAAAUGCUUUUAAAAUAGUAAAAAUCUUCUAACUAAAUUAUUUGGGUACCAAACUUUUGGUGGCAGUGGUAUAUUUAGUAGAACUAAUUUAGAUGCUAAUUAUAUAAUUUACAAAAUUAGAGUAAAUUGAAAAAUAGGAUAAAACGGAAAAAGGAAAGACAAAACAAAUAAAAGCAAAAGGGGGCAACCCCUCGCUGGGCCUCGGCCUAGCUGGCCACUAGACUAGCUAGGCUGGCCCCGCCGCCUCCCUUAACCCCCCACUCCCCAUCGAACCCAAGCCCGAUCGCCCCAUUUCCCACACACCCCCUCGCUAGUCUCCCCACCUCUUGAUCCCAUCUGGAUCGGGGAGGGUAUUGCCCCCAUCAACCCCGUUGCCGUCGCCGGAUCGCCCGCCGACGUCGGCAGGCCUCCUCCCCGUCGCCCGUCUCCGGCUCACCUCCCCUCUCGCUCCUCUUCCCCGACCCGAUCUGGAUCGUGAACGAGCAAUGAGCUCGAAGCCCCCCUUCACCAGCGCCAUCACCGUGCGCCACCACCACCACCUGAAGACCUCACCGUCGCUGAACCUUGCGUCGCCUCCUUGUAUCCCUCCCCUACUCGCAUCCUCAAGCCAGGCCGAGCCCCUUCUCGGCAACGCUGUGAGACGCCCCCGUUUCCCUCCUCUUUCCACCGCGUUCACCGCGCCGCCCGCCGUGCCCCUCGCCGUGCAUGAGCCCACCACCGCACCAGCCCCCGCUCCGCGCACGACCCUACCCGCGCCCGCGCCAUGAUCCCCUUUUCCGCCCUACCUUCACGCGCUCGCCGCGAUCCCCAUGCUCCCCCGCGCCCUCUUUCGGGGGCGCCGACUGCCCCUGUCCCGGUGCUCGCCGCCGUGCCUCGCCACCGCUCUACUGCUACGUUACUACUGCGCUGCGGCCGCCGCCUCUUCCCGCUGCUCCGCUAGCGCCGAAGCUCCCGGUUGGCUCCACCACUGCUCACGUUAAACCGCCGGCCUAAAUGGCCUAACCCUCGGCUAAUGAACCCCCACUAACCCACUGACACCGGGACCCACAUUCCCUAAUUAACCAUUUAAUAAAUUAACAUUAGUGUAUGACAUGUGCGUCCCCUGUUAAUUAAUAAUUUUACUGCUAGUUUUAUUAGUUUCUGUUUUUCUGCAUAUUUCUUUUGUAUUUGAACAGGCUUUAUACAAUAAUAUUUAGCGUAUCAUACACAUACAAAUGUAAUCAUAGCAUAUACAUACAAAUAGUCUCAUCAAAUCAUGUCAUCAUCAUAAUCAUCAUCCAUCACAAAGUGGUCUCUGGUCAUCAUCUCGAAAAUAGCGAUACAAGUCUCGAUUACUUGCAACUACAUCGUCAUCCAUCUAAACAAUGAUAUACACGAGAAGAGCUCUCACUAUGAGUGAGAGCGGAACUAUGCAGUACAUGAGUUUGUAUCCCUCUCUCGCAUUAGCGUGAACCUAAACUAACGACUGGCUGUUGCUCGGAAACCGGAAACCGGUACACCUGGGCCUGACACUCCGGCCACUCAUCGUAUACUCCUGGCGUAGCACUUCUUCGCCAUCGAUGAUCUAUGCACCUGCAUCGUCACAUGAGUCGAUGAUAUGCAACAUAUAUAGUUGAGCAACAGAAAGAGACAGACUUGGCAAAAAUAGAAGCAACAUAUCACAAGUAUAAAUAACAAAGUUAAUGUUUUGCAGGAUUACAACUCAACCCAUUGCAGAUUAGAAAACAAGCCCGUAUGAAUGCACAGGCUGACGACUAGUCUAUCUAUACCUAUACCUAUACCUAUACCUAUACCUACCUAUACUAAUUACAGACUCCCAAGGAAUUCCCACGUUAAUUAGUAAUUAGGAGUCGUUAAUCUUGUGGGACCAAAUUAUUACGACAGUCCACGAUCUCUUUUCUCUCUGUGUAAAAAAAGGUCCACGAUCUCUUUUCUCGGUUGUAAAAGAUAAAGGCAACUCAGGUCCACGAUCUCUUUUCACGGUUGUGAAAGAUAAAGACAACUCCCGUCUUCUUCUAAUCUAUAGUUCUAUACCUCCACGACCCCUUUCUCUCCCCAUUUAAAAGGAACAAGCUGAACCAAUAUCUAAGCAUGCAAUUGGUUCCUGUGCGGUCUUGACCUUCCAUCCGUCCACUGCUCGAUCGGCCCUCCCUCAACUACAAGCUGACAAGCCACCAUCGCCAUCCAGCGGCACGCCACCGUUCAUGCAUGUGUUUUUGCCCUUCAAUCUGAAGGAGAUGCGUUGGCUACUCAAGUAACUCUGUUUGUUUUGUUCAAACCAAUUUCGUUAAUUCGGUUCUUUGAUUAUCUAAUUGACAUGGCCUGUGAGUUUUGUGCUAGUGAUACAGGGCCUGUCUACUAGAUUCUCUCCUUGCAACUUCUAUUGUUGUCUCGAUUUGGUGUGGUCAAGAUCCUUGCCCCACCACAAGCAGCACCUUUGCACCAUCGGGGAAAUCUGUCAUAGCAAACAGAGGUAUGUAACAUGCUUUGGUGUUUUCCUCUUUCGUUUAGAUCACUAGAGUUGCUCAACCACACCAUUCAUUGAUUAGUAGUUGGCCUGAGAAGUUGCUCGGUCACCUGCAGCGUCUGAUCCCCUUCUUGACCCUCUCCUUCUGGUCAUUAUCCACCGGCAGGUCAAUGCAAAACGGAUCGUUCGUUGCCGCCACCUUGCGGAGACCGAUGUUUGGCUGCCCUCCUGCCAUCCUGGCACUCUGGUACCGGUCACUGUGCCGUUGUUCUAGAAGAACUAUGUCACACGAAGCGAGAUAUCUUCUUACUAAUCUGGAACAUAAGUGUUUCUUCUUACUAGGAUUCGCUCACCGGUGCAUUCAUCUCUUUUUGGAAAAUACGGCCUUCAUAUUUCACACGCCUAUACAUGGGUGCUGUCCCAACAAUAAUCCAUCUAAUCCAUGAUGCACAUUCAUGAAGACUGAUGUGACUGAAUUAAUAUAUCAAUCUGGUGCUUCCGGAUCAGCACUUGAAGAAGCAACCCCUUUAGUUCAUAAAUUUAUCAUACGAAAGUCAGGGGAAAAAUCAACUAAGUCAUGUGUGCUUUUCUAAUUAAUUACUAUACACUAAUUCCAUUUUUUUCAGUAGCAGGCUAGGAUACGUGGAUUGUGGCAGCACAGAAGUAAACCGAUGAGCUACAUUGGCCGUUCACCAGUCAUCGGAUCAGAAGCCAUGUCGACCAGAGGGACGGAACAGUUCUAUAUUAGGCGAUGGAUACAUGUGGAAGCAACUAAGCAUAUGUGGAUGCAUGUGAUCGCAUAGGUAAGGCCAUAGCUGUUCAAGCCCUACAGGAUCUUUAUUGCUGGUUUUAAUUAUGAGUUUACAACACCAUCUAUACAUACUACUUAUCCAUUUAUUUCCUUACCUUCUUUGUUUCUUUCUCUCCUUGAUCCCCUGUCAAAAGGGCAUCAACAUCCAUAUGCGCAACGGCACACGCAACAAACUAUGACUUCGGUUGCACGUCCAAUGGCAACCACAGUACAUGAUGAUAUCAUGUUUGCUGCAAGACGAAGUACAAGUUCAUAAUUUGGUCUUUUGCAUGGUCCCUUAGUAAAUUAUAUUUGUCCACAUACACCACAUACAUAAAAACAGGUAGAAGCGGUUGCAUGAUGAAAAUGUCCUCUCAAUAUGCAUGCCUAUGAAUACUAUCACCAGAAAGCCAAGGACUAACAAUUAUUCAGGGGUCAAGAUUGAAGACAGACGUCCAAGAUUGGCAGUCGGCCGGCCUAAGAGGGGCAAAACCGUUGUACAUUAUAUUGUAUGGACCUAGCAAGAUCCUAAAGAUAAGUGAUAAUGGAGAUCAUGGGGGCCACCCUUAUAACCAUAUGUCCAAAUGUUCUUAUUUGUUUAUUUUUCUUUUCUCUUUUCGGAAGAAUCCAUCCUGCCUCUAUGGUCAUCCUGACCACUUCGUAUUGUUAUCUAAUCUCCUCCCUUAAUUAAUAUAAAGAAUUACCGCAGCUGAAUUCACUAAAAAAAGUAUUCAGUUUAUUUUAAUUUAUUCAACUAUUAUGGCAUAUCAAUUGGAUUGCAAGUUCUUGGCGGUUGCAUUUGAAUCAUAUUUGAUGUGCACAAAGGCUUCAGUGUCAAGGUGGUCGGACGAGUAUUUAUGUCCAUUAUAUAUGUGUUAGCUUGAGAUCAUCAGGCACCUGUUAUGCAUCUGUCCAGUUAAAAGGAUGUUCAGACUCAGGCUUGCCCUACCAUAUAUGGCUGUGACACUCUGAACCAAGCAAGUUGGUCAUAUGUGUCGAGCACUAUUAACUCUUUGGAAGAGGAUCCACCAAGUACAGGAAACAAAUCAAAUAUCUUCUUAACCUUAUCACCAGAAAAAUUAGCAAGAGAUGAAUAGUAACAUUUUAAAGAAGAAAGAUAUGUUUGAAAAGGGAUAUAUAUUAUGGCGACGAUUAGAAGAGCCCUUGACGAAUGGUGCCUAGCCUGCGAAAGUUUCUUAUGAAUAUAGUCAACACUCUAUAUCAACUGUUGUAAGAUUUUAGAAAUAUUUUUGGGGACAUAUGAUACAUGUCUAUUAUACAUAUGAUUCAACAGAAGUUUGAUUGAAUACAUAUUUAAAACGUGACUGACUUCUAUAUGGACGGAGUAUUUCACAAAGGACUCACUGCCAACUGUGUGAAUAUUCCAAGAUAGUUAGUGCACAUAAAUGUUCAAAUCCAUAGCCUGCAUAAAUAUACAAAAGCAAUGUGUUAGACCACUACACAUGCUUCUGAAAGGAGGCAAAAAAAUGUAUGCUUGAUUGAUGACCGUUCAUGCAUGAAAUUAAUUUCUGAUUUCUAAUUAUUUUGGUCAUAUAAUGGAAAUAGAGACAUUAUAAAGAUCCAACAGCAUGCUAUCACACACGUGUGAACACAGACACACACAAAUAACAUUUGCCGAGCACUCACAAAUAAAAGGUGUGGCUACUCUUGGGUGUUCUACAGCUGGCUUAAAAAAACACGUAUGAAACAUGAUCCCCAAAAAUCUGAAAUUCGCAACAUAUGAAAAUCCACCCUCAAACAUAUUUCUGGUGUCUCAAUUCUUUUAGUUUCAGAUGGUAUGUCCAGCCAAAGUAGUUGUACACAUACAUUACUAUGUUCUAUUAUUUGAGAUUCUAAGACAACAUUUAGUAACUAGCCCGUGCGAUGCACGGGUUCACGACUAGUAUAUAUAAAGCUUAAUGGUGCCUAAGAAAGCUCGCACAAUUUUACAGUGGCUGUGGAGAUGUGUUGCCAAACUGAGACAUAAGAUUUUCGUUUGGCAUCCAGAGUUGCAGACCGCUUGUGUUAUCCUUAAUCCAUGGCCACUCUAAUUUUUCCGGCUGGGCCUUCCCUGUGGUACGGCAGCAAGGCUUGCGUGUGUAUAUGUUUCCUUUAACUACCACUAGCACAUAUGCCCGUGCGUGCGUUGCAAGGGGAGAGAUAAUGGCGUAUCCACCAAUAUAUCUAGCAGCAUGACCCAACAACAUCCGAAUGAUGUCACCCGACGACGGCAGGAAGGCACACACAGAGGUCUAGUAAAAACUCAACAAUUGUACGGGCAUGGUUAAUUCGCGUGAAUUCAAGGGUGUGAGAUUAGUUAGUGUUGGUCCCACAAUUGAAUUCGGGGGCUGAUUAGUUAGUGUGGGCCCACCCUUGAAUUCACCGGGGGAGACAAAAUAAUUAGGGUGAGGAGAGAUUUACGGGGCUUGGUCCCCAGAUGCGUUGCGGCAGUCAUUAUUCGAGCAUUGCAAUGCUCGCACGUGAGGAGCUCUUUUUCCAAUUGUAUAUUGAGAAGCAUUGCUACAGAUACAAUGUUUUUGAUACGUUUUUGUACGAUGAUCCUGAUCUUAAAGGGCCUUCUAAUUUUUAAAUCUUAAAGGCAUUAUUUGUAAGUUGUCGUGAAAAAAAUCUCGCUAAAAGGGUUAUGUUAGACCAUCUUCAGUACAUUAGAAAUAACGAAUUAUAAUUCCUUGGCAUUUGAACAAACAAUCCCUACUUAUUUACACAUACAAUACUUUUGGUAUGAUUUUGAAAUCUUGAAGGCAUUAUUUGUAAGUUGAAGCAAUUUUGAAAUCUCACUAAAAGGUCUGUUAGACCAUCUAUAGCUUUAGAAAUAACUAAUUAUAAUUUUGCAAAAAAAAGAAAUAACUAAUUAUAAUUCCUUAAGCAUCUGACCGAAACGACCCCGAUUUAUUGUCUGGGUAGUAAUUCCUUUGCAACAUUAUUCUCUCCUUUCUUGAAGGAACUCUUGCCUGGGUAGUAAUUCCUUUGCCCACGUAUUUGCAAGGUUAUUCUCUCCUUCAUUUUUACAGGAGCUCUCCUUCCUUAUACUAAUUGGUCAUUAUCCUCUCCUUCCUUUUUCUUUUUGCCAAACUCUCUUUCCAUAUUUAUGCCGCUAACCACGCCACUCUUUUUCCUUAUUUAUGCCCUUUGAUCACGCCACACAUCUCAUGAAAUCUAAGCCAUAUAUAUCACCCAUCUUUUUUCCUUAUUCCGGUGCUUUCCUCACAAACAGUAGUUCUCUAGGAUGCUUAACGAUUUUGAAACAGAAACAUAUAUAAAUCGGUAGAACGGGUUGUAAAGCAGCGAGGUGGUACUAAUUUAUAAAGAAACAAACCUUUUCUUUUUGUGUAAUGAUGCCUUGGUUCGGCUGGUUGCGUUGGGAAAAGGACCGGCGAAGUGGGCGAACCAAAAACGGAUAAAAUUACGGUGGUAAGAAGCGAUAGCCCUUUUAUUAGUAGGUAUGAGGAUGUCUAGGAUGUCUAGGAUGAGGAUUUACUGCACACAAGUGCGGGGGCACUCAGGUCCUGAUGCCGCCUUUUUAUUUUGGCUUCCGAUUUUCAAACUUCUAUAUCUUUUAAACAAAAAAUUCAAUUUAAGUUACGUUUUCAUAUUCGUGCUUCUCGCGGCCAGCGCUUUCAAAUAAGAUCCAUUUUGCAUACAUUUUGGUGGCUUUUGGAAACGGGCGAAUAGCUCCUAUGCGACGUUGUUGGUGUGUAUUGUCUCUCAUGCGACGUUGUUGGCUGUAAUAGCUCUCAUGCGACAUCUGCGUUGGAAAAAAUAGCUCCCAUGCGACACACCAUUUACGCGGCUAGUUGGCUGUUAGUUAGGCUGAGGUUUGGUUAGGACACUGGGGGUUAUGUGCUCUGACUGGUGGGGUCCACCUAUGGUCACGUAGACAAGAGUCAACCGUCCACGACUCGACCUGGGACUGUGUGACCGUGCUCGACUCACCCGUGCUGGACUGAGUGAGCGGUGCCGCCGUAAGCAUCUUCUCCGACAGCGGUUUCUUCUCCGCGGUGGUGGAGCGCAUUUCUCGGCAGCGGCAGAGCUAUUGCGAGGUGAGCCCGAAACCCUAGUCCCACUCCCCAGAAUUUUGGGGGAUCUGUGGCCUCAUGCUGCCCUCUGUUUCUUGGCGAUUUAGAAUCGGGCUCCAUUGGAUCCGGGGGUUGUUUCUUCUCCGUGGCCCGGUGGUGGAGCGCCUAUCUCUGUAGCGGCUAUUGCGAGUGAGUAUUUUCCAAACACUACUCGCAUUCCACUAAAUUUUGGAUAAAUCUGUGGCCUCAUGCUGCCCCUAUUUCUUGGCGUUUUAGAAUCUCGAUUGGAUAGGAGAUGGAGCGAGGGCUGGAUGAGAUGGAGCGAGGAGACAGUGCUUCAAAUCGGUAAUGCCACACUCUUUUCUUGGCGAUUUAGAAUCGAACUCGAUUUGGUAGUGACUGCCGCCGCUGCCUGCCAUUGACAAAACAGGGGAGGUUCAAGUUCUGCCACCACAUUCACAAUUAUAGUGGAAUUUUUUCCCUGUAAAGCCAAGCUCAGUGAUGGCAGUGUCCAAGACAUUGAUAGAGAUACCACCGUGAGGUUCGAUGUCGAAUUUGCAGAUGUUGAUCCCCAGGAAUUGGAGAGCAUGAAGGAGAAGGCCGUGGGCAAUUUGGUGGAGAGAAUUGGGGAGAAUAUUGUUUGGGGUCCAGAACAAGAGGUAUGUCUGCAACGUUUCGAUAACUAUAAUGGUGAAUAUGUGAGAAUUGAAGAUGGAGAAUCCAUGGUUGCUGAAAUUGAUCAGCAAGAAGGGUGGGCAACUAAACAAGUAACAUUUUAUGCAGAGCUAAUUGAUCUACAAACUCAUUCCAGAGUUGGUUAUGUGCAAUCAAAGAGGGCUGCACAGAUGGAAGAUGAUGAGUGGGUUUCACAAAAGAAGAUGUUGGCAUUGUUGACUGAACCGACUGUAGUAGCUGAAGAUACAGGGAUUGAUGCAGAUGGAGAGGAGGGAACCCAUGGUGCUAGGAAGAUUGUUGUUGACUGGAAUGUAGUAGAGUUGAAUGAAAAAACAGAUUUGGUCAUUACACCAAUAUCUGACAUUGAUAUGGCCGAAAUGUUUGGCAUUCAAGUUGAUGACAAAGAUAAGGAGAAGGAUGACAGUUCUUUGCCUGCUGAAGGAACAUAGGCCCUAGAAAUGCAAAUGAGGAUGAAGAACAGCUGAUGAGAGAGGCUGCAGAUGAUGUGGAUGAUGCAGAUGAUAAUGAGUUGGUUUGUUUGUAUGACAAAGAGAACCCAGUUAUUGAGGUGGGAAAGUUGUGGCCAAGCAUGAAGGAGUUUAGGAUGUCUUUCAGGACCUAUGCAGUGAAAAAGAGUUUGAUGCCAAGACUAUGUGGACUGAUUGAAAGAAAUUUUAUGCUCGGUGCAAAGGUUAUGAUGGUGGUGGCAAUCCUUGCAAAUGGUACUUGUCUGCCAGACUACAACCUGAUUGAAGUACAGUAAGGGUAAAUCAAAUACCACACCAGCAUACAUGUAUGACCACUUCACAGAGAGUUUCAAAGAUGACAUCACAGCUUUGGGUUACAGAGAAGAUUACUCCUAUUUUAGCCAAGACUCCAAACACUACUGCAAAGAGGCUUAAAGUUGACUUGGAGAAGCUGUACCCCAUCCAGCUGCAAUAUACCACAGUGUGGAAAGCAAAACAAAGGGCCAUGAAAUCAUUGUAUGGUGACUGGGCAAAUACAUUUAGGAUGUUGUAUAGUUUUAAAGCAGAGGUGGAGAAGAGGUCACCUGGGAGUGUGGUGGAGAUAGAUACAGAGGUAACAGAGGAUGUCAUGGUUUUAUUCAGCAAGUUUUUUAUGUGUUUGAAGCCAUGCAUAGAUGGAUUCAAAGCAGGUUGUCGUCCAUAUUUGAGCAUAGACUCAUCUUUUUUGACUGGAAAGUGGAAUGGUCAGUUGGCUGCAUGCAAUGCUCUAGAUGGACGCAACUGGAUGUUCCCAAUUGCAAUAGGAAUGUUUCAAUCAGAGACAGAGGCAUCAUGGAUAUGGUUCAUGAUGCAACUGAAAAGAUGUAUAGGGCCAGUUUCUCCUUUAGCCAUCCACACAGAUGCAUGUAAAGGGUUCGAAAAUGCAGUAAAAAAUGUUGUCCCCCAUGCUGAGCAGAGGGAGUGCUUUGGACAUAUGUGGAUGAAUCUGAUAAAAAAAUUAGAGGAGAUGAAUUUGGGCGCAUGUGGCCAGCAGCAAGAUCCUACACCAGACAGACACAUUCCUAUCACCUUGGUAAGAUAUUGGCAUCAUGUAGUGAUAAUGAAUUUGCUUCAUGGUUGAACACCCGCCAUUCUCUGUUGUGGUAUAGAUCAGGUUUUAAUACUGCCAUAAAAUGUGAUAAUAUCAAUAACAACUUGGCAGAAAGUUUUAACAACAAAGUGAAGGAUUUGAAAGACUUGCCUGUGCAUGACAUGGUGGACCAAAUAAGGAUCAUGAUCAUGCGUUUGUGGGAGUUGAGAGGAAAAAUUGCUAAUAUUUUGGAAGGGGACAAGCUUCCAGCAGUGGUACAAUAGGUGGUCAACAGGAGUAGAAAUCUUUCACAUCUAUCUGUUGAGAAAUCUUCCUUGUGGGGUGCUGAAGUUAGAGAUACAAAGAGUGGCAAGAGGCAUGUGGUAAAUACUGAGUUGCAUGAGUGUACUUGCCGAGAGUGGCAACACACUGGAAAACCAUGUGAGCAUGCCAUACUUUUUUUGGCAUCUAAACCCAGGUUAAAUAUGCACCCAUAUUUGCAUGAGUAUUAUUCAGUACAAAAAUUCAAAGCUGCAUAUGCAAGUCCAAUUCCUGCACUGACUGACCAAUCUCAGUGGCCUGAGGUGGAAAUAGAAUUUACCUUGUGUCCCCUGUCACUAGAAGAAAGGCUGGGAGGCCUAAACAGAGCAGAUUCAAAGCUUGGUUUGAGAAAGGUGGUUGUAGUAAGAAGGGGAAAAAAGAAAAGAAAAAGAAUGAUAAGCCCAAAAGGGCUCAAAAAGGUAAGAAAAAUAGGUGCAAGUUGUGUGAGGUACUUGGGCACAGAAUUGGUUCAUCCAAGUGCAUCUAUACUCCUCAGAGGACAAAGUAUGUUCAUGUUACUGUUUUUACAAGUUUUUGAUUUUGUUACUUGUUCUAGUAUCUAACCAAGUCAAAUGCUUUAUUUUUUAGGAGGAAGCGUGCAGAAAAAGCCCCACCUCUUGUUGUUGAACAAUGCUGGCCAGUGAAAAAAGCAAGACUCAAUGGCUAUAUAGAAGGAAGAGCACUAAGCAGAUAAUGUUUGGUGACAAAGAUAUGGAGCUAACUGAAACUGUUACUGCUGAACAUGAGCUAAGUGUUUCUGUUUUGGACGAUGUGAUGCAUACUGAAUCUGUUUUGCAGACGCUAGGGCAAUCUGAAACUGUUGCAGAUGAAGCAACGGUUGUGCUGCCAUGCGAAUCUGCUUUGACAACUGUGUUGCCAUGUUUGGAGGUUGUGCUGCCAAGUGUUGAGUUGCAAACUGAAGUAGUUGAACAAUUUGUGCCAUCUACUCAAUCUGCAGAAGUGCAAACUGAAGAAGUGCAAACUGAAGAAGUGGGACAUGGUCAGGUGAAAAAGUUGAGGGGGCCUAGUGGAGUUUGCAAGGGGCCAAAAAGCAAGAGCAUCAACAUCAACAAACUAUGCGCCGUGGAACCAAACGAUGGAAAAAAGCAGAAGAAAUCGAGUGGUAGAAAGAAGCAAAAGAAAUAGAGUCGAAAUCAUUCAAAUUUGAUGUGAAAACUUAAGUUUGUUGUCAUUUGAUGUGAAAACUUAUGUUCUUUCAUGUGAAAACUUAUGUGCUAUGAUGUUGAUUUGACUUGAAAUAAAAUUCAAAUUUGAACCGACAUUCAAAUUUGAACCUAUCUCCAAAUUUUUUUGAGUUCAUUUGUUUGUUCUGUGAUGUUGCAUCGUUUUAUGUACUACUAUGCACUUUGUGAAGUCCAACUCAUAGUCACUGAAAAUGCUGUACAAACAGGCUCCAAAGUAAGGGAAAACGGCCCCAUUUCUAAGCAAGUUUUUUUCGAUCUUCUCAAAAUCACCCAAAAAAGAUUUUCUUAGCUUAUAUUAUACCUAUAUAGGAUCAAUACAAAGUCUCACCUUUUUUGAAUAAGUAUUCAUAUUAUUUAAUUUAUUUUUGAAAAAACACCCUUUAAUACAAAGUCAGCAAUAAAACAAGUUUAAAAAUUUUAAAUGCAAAAAUAACUUCAGAUCCUCCUUAGUCACUCUAAAAUGAAGCUAAGGUGAUGUUUUUUGAUUUUUUUGCAUUUUCAAAACCUCAAACCCUCUUCUCACUCCUUUGAACUCUAUGCAACCUCAGUCGAGAUAGUCCAAUUUGUGAAGGUUUUUUCAUGCAAAGAUCAUUAGAUCAAGUUUAUCAUUUUAUAUCAUAACUAUGUAACAUAAAAAGGCUAUAUGCGCAGGUUUUUCAUUUUUUAGAUUUUUUUGAAUUAGUUAUACACAUUUGAAUGUUCGGUCAAACCUUUCAAAACCCCGUUGACUGCCUCAAAACCCCAUGUAACCCUAGCGCCAAACGUCCACCGUCGAUCUAACCCUAACGCCAAACUGCGGCCGUCGGAUGGGACUUCUAGAAGGAUUCCGCGGGGGCGAUCCAUGGGCUCCAAUCUGAUUGGCCAUUGUUUUUUCUCUCUGACGAACAGAUAACGUUGAGCGGGGGAGCAUCUAAGUGACCGUUGGGCCGAGUGGAUUGGGCCUGGCAAAGCCUGGCGUGCGUGCACACGGCUGUUGAGAGGGGGGAUGGGCUGCAUGCGAGCGGGUCAAUGACAUGUGGGCCAUCCUUGUCCCAUGCAUGCCAUGCAACGUCGCAGCCUAGCUAUUCUUUGCUCGUGAAAGCCUAGCCAUUUGCAUGCGGGCUUGCAUGCACGCAUCGACGCAGAGUACGGCAAGGGUGCAGCGUAUAGGUACGUCGCAUCUAAGCUAUUUUAACAAAUGCAUGUUUGAACGAGAUGGACGCGUCGGUGGUGCAGCUCCUUUUUCAGUGUCACGCGCGGAUGAACGGGCCUGUUUCCCAUGCGGCAUCACCGCCGAUGCAAGUGCCCGUGCCUCUUUGGAUGCUCUGGCCGCCGUUUUUUGAAUUAAUGCCCGCAAUUACUUAUGCCAUGCGAACGGAGAAGAGAAAAAGAUCGAGAAGGGGCACCGUGUACACAUUGACCAUGGUUGCAAUGCGGCUAUAAAAGGGCACCAUUUCCUCAUCCUCUCACACUCAUCUCUCAAGCCUCCUCCCCUUCUUCUUUUCGAGCCAAAUCCACCACUCGAGCCACCAUGCAGUUCAACGGCCCUACCUACCGUCGCCCUUGCACCGUGCCGGAGAGGCAGUACCCAGCCGGAGUCGUCGUGGAGAACAGCCUGAGGGUGUGGGCCAUCUCUAGGUGGAGGGGCCCUAGAGAGUUGGCUCGCUUCUUCCUCCAAGCUGGCUACCGCCACCUCCCUCCGGGCACUCCGCCCAUGUUCCACCUCCACGAGCAGUACGAUGGCAAUGCCGGCCCCGACGGCUUCGUCAUCGGCCUCUAUGUCACCUUCACCAACCCCUACGACGCUCACCACCUCCCCGGGGAGGUGUUCUGGUGUGGAUGCGAGUUUAUCGCGUUCACGACCUACAACAUCUUCACCAACUUCCACCACAUCUUCCCUCACCACAACGGCAUGCACACCCUCCCCUAUCAGAUGCCGGAGGACGACGAGUGAGGGGCCCAAGGAGGAGGGUCCAAGGAGUGGCAAGGAGGAGGGGCCAAGGAGUUGUUCAAGCGGCGAGUCUUCUAUCUAUCUAGUUUGGGGCUCUAGUUUGUGUUUGUGUUGGUUCGGGCGUGUGUGCCCGUGUCUUUUAUAUAUCUAGUUUUAAUUAUUUUACUUUCAUGUUUUAUGAACUAUAUGUAGUGGGGGGAUGCCCCUCUAUAAGUUUUAUCUAUCUAUGCUACUAGGGUACCCGAUGCCCCUCUAUCUAUCUAUAUGUUUUUUCGGUCCUAAAGUUUCUCCAUUGCAUUUUAUUUAUGUGGCCAUGUGUACUAAAAAACAAUUGAUCUGGUAUCUAAAAUGUACGUUACCAAGAAAUUGACAAUAAAGAUUAUAUACUGUACUACAUAAUCAUACAGUUGGUAUACAAUGCAUUUGAAGACAAUGGGCAAGAAAAAUGCUAAUUAUCUGGUGCUGGUGACAUGCGUAAGUGUUGUCUGAUGUUUAAAUCAUGCUUGCUAUGUCAUUUUUUGCUGCCAAACAUGGCAUUAGCGAGAAAGGUCAUUUGGGCACUGAAUGUAUUAAAGUAUACACCAUAUAUAAAAAUGUCUAGCCAAAAGAUUUGGGUGUACAACUGUACACCAAUGACCAAGUAUGGAUCCGCCCCUGGUUGUAAGGGGAUGCCCCUCUAUGUUGUAAGGAGAUGCUACUAGGGGCACACUAGAUGUCUUCUUUUUUUGAGAGAGGCACAACCUUUUUCGGUUGAAACACACGAGUAAAAACUUUGAAAACACCAUAGCACAAGUAAAAAAAUAUAUUAAGAAAUGGUGCUUGGUUGAAAUAAACUAGAACCAAACAAUUGCAACUUUCUUGGUUCACAAAGACUGCUCAAAUAAUUAUCUCAAAUAGCUUAUGCAUAAAAAUAUCUCAAAUAAUUAUUAGAUGAGUUAUCUCAAAAAAGGUGACUGCAGGAAACUUAAAAUUUGUGAAAUGAUCUAAAGCCGAAAAGAUAUAUCGAUGAAUUAUCUCAAAUAGCUUAUGCAUAAAAAUAUCUCAAAUAAUUAUUAGAUGAGUUAUCUCAAAAAAGGUGACUGCAGGAAACUUAAAAUUUGUGAAAUGAUCUAAAGCCGAAAAGAUAUAUCGAUGUCAAUGACCGUGUGCACUUUUUUUGCACUCCUUUUAUCAAUGGGCCUGGAUAUGUUCUAUUCGGCCCUGCCUAACUUCUAUAUGGGCCUGGCCUUUUCGGGCAACUAUGGACGAACCUUUUUUUUCCUUUUCUCCCUCUACCACUGAAACUGAAACUGAUGACGAACUGAAGAACUAAAAAACGGGGCCGAAACAGAGUGGAGAGGACAUGCUGAAUUCGUACAACGCAACACUUUUAUUCAAAUAUACAUAUCAUUAGGAUUACAAAUGAUGCCCAAUCUAUUCACUUACGACUAAUUAUCAUCACAUAAACAAAUGCGAGAGCAAUUACACAAACAUAAAAAAGUCCGGCCAUCAGCCCCAUCAAAUUGCCCUGCUUCUGCAAUUUGAUGAGUUUCUUCAUCUGCUUGUUUAGCUUCUUCAGCUCUGCCGUCACUACUGCAUCCCCCACAGUAGCCCCAAUGGAAUGGGCACAUCCAGGGGCCCCAGAUCCAGAAGCGCCCGAUCCAAACUUGCCCAACUUCUCCACCUCCAGCGGUAAAUCGAGCUCCCCUGAUGCACCCUCCAGUUGAAUCCGCUCUAUGUACUCAUUUAGCCACUCAAAAUGGGUGCAUUGCUUCAAUUUCUGAAAUUGGAAAGAUGAACCCUAAAUCCCAAAUCCGAUGAAAAAUGGGGAAAAAUUGUGAUAUGAAAUUGGGAUACAAAAACCAAAAUUGGCAUAUUGAGAAGUAAAAUCUCACCUUUCCCUGCUCUGGUUUGCUCUCGCAUUUCACGAAUUCCCGCCCAAGGUUGCCAUUCUUGUCGGUCGUUGUGACUAGCCGCUUCAGGGGUGUGAUACGUGGGCCUGCAGGGCACCUUGUCAUGGGCACUGCGCCAUAGCGCGGCCAUGAGCGGCGGGAGGCUGAAGCGGAGCUCGACAUUGCUAGGUCGCGGCCCGGAACGGCGUUGCUGCGCGUCGUCGCCGGAGAAGAAGAACAACAACGGUCGGGGAGGGGGGGUGGGGGCGGGGGCGAGGAUGGGCCACGGCUCGGGCCACGGCUCGGUGUCCUCUUGUACCAAUGCUGACCUGGAUAAGUUAGUGGGUCCCACGCAGUGGGUCCCGCUCACCUGACCAAUGCUGAGUUGGAUAAGUUAGUGGGUCCCGCGCUGUGGGUCCCGCUCACCUGAUUCGAGUUUUAAACAUGUGUCUUUGGAUUAGACAGCAGUGUCGCAUGGGAGCUAUUUUUUCCUAUGCAGAUGUCGCAUGAGAGCUAUUACAACCAACAACGUCGCAUGAGAGACAAUACACACCAACGAUGUCGCAUAGGAGCUAUUCGCCCUUUGGAAACAUUGCUAAGUUUCAUUGUUUGAAACUUAGUACGAGCGACCGAUAAAAUUUAAUUAUUUUGUGUCUACGACCAACAGGAGAAAUUGCUUAAAAUUACAUCUUUGAAACUGGUCAUUUUUUGAUGCAAAAAUGUAAGUUUCAUCAUUGAAACUUAAGGGCAUGUCCAAUGCUGGAUGCUUAUCCAGGCGCUUAUCGUGUGGAAAAAAAAAAUGCCACGAAGUUAGCUCUCGCUUGUCCAACAGCCAAUGCUAACAACGGGCGCUAACCACGGCUGGAGCUAUAGAUUAGAAAGAAAGAUCUGGUUCACUUGUACGUGAAAAAAGGAGCAAGCGCUCGAUGCCUUGCUUUGCAUCGAUGCCAGACUGAGGUGCUGGGAAUCGACAAGAUAACCGCCAAUCUACCAGGAUUAAAUUCCUAGCGCCUUCUUCUAGCGCCUCCCACUGAAAAUGCCCUAAAGGUUUUUGAGGGAUUUUUUUACUGUGUCCUACUUCACGUAUCACGAGGCAAAUCAAGUAGGCGGCAUGGCCUGGCCGGUGAGUGCCAUUGCACUUACUUGCCCCAGCGAUUUUCCGCCUGCAUUGUAGAAUUCUUUCUCCGAGUCCUGUGAAUUAAAGAUGGUGCAGACAAAAGUAUAUCCUAUAUGCGUACAUGUGCAUGAUCAGAACAUGUUUUUACGUGCGUCUACUAUAAAUCAUGACCAUUUUUAACACAAAUCAUGACCAUUCAUGAUUAGUGAAUCAUACUGUCUUAACUUAUGUGAAAUCAUGUGGAGUAAUAUAAUAUAAUAUAAUAGAUAGAUAGAUCCAUGUUGUAUCAUUACACAUUUUGAUUUAUGCAUUUGUUUACAAAAAAAACAGUAAAAUUUCAUGGUGAAAAGUUUGUAUUGUUUCAUACUGAACACCAAUGUUUUCCCGUAAAAGAAAAUAAUGCCUACGCAUAUGCUUUUAUAUUAUUAUUAUUCUUUCAAACUUAUUCAUAUAGUAUUUUUGAUUGUGCAACCAUAAUUUUUAUUAUCUCUCUUGUUCCACUACAUGCUCUUACUCAAUGAUUUUUUUAUAAUGGGUGUUUUUAUUAACUCAAAAUAUAGCAUCAAGCGGAUACAAAACAUAACGAGCCACGUCCGGUCUCUGCAUAACUAAGAUGCACACAGCCAAAAGCAGAAGUCUGACAAAAAUAAGAUAAGAAAAUCAACAUAUCGACAACAGUGAGUCAUAUAGUUCCGACACUAUGCCUCUGUUGAAGGACGGGGUGGAGCGAUCUGGAGAUUAUGCUUCCCUCCAUUUUGAGUAAAUACCUCCCUGGCCACUUGUUCCAACCGCAUAGACGCCGCCACGAAUAAUGGUUGGUACUCUGUUCGGUGUAGCAUACACCAUGUAGGAAGUGAGUGCUCACUCCUAGUUACUAAAUUAUGUACACACUAGUAGAAAAAGGGCCAUUUGUCCCGGUUCGUAAGGCCCAUUUGUCUCAGUUAGGGAACCGGGACUAAAGGGUCGGUACUAAAGCCCUACACCUUUAGUCCCGGUUCUUACACCAACCGAGACAGAUGGGGCUCCACGUGGCCGCUGCGGCUUGCCAUGGCAGGGGGGCCUUUUGUCCCGGUUGGUAGCACCAACCGGGACCAAUAAGCUACCACGCGUCAGCAUUUGAGGGGCUUGGGUUUUUGUUUUUUUCUGAAGGGGGGGAGGGGGGUUGGGGGUUUUGGGGGGUUUUGUAUGGUUAAUUUUGGGGGGUUUCAUAUAUAGUGUUAGGUAGUAAUUAAUUAAUAGAGAGAAGUGUCCUCUCUUAUCUCCGUGCUUGGUCGACGCUACGUACUAUACGUAUAGAGAGGCCCUCGACACGCUUGCCAGUAAGCAAAUGAAGGAAACCAUUAAGUACAGAAGUUCGUCAUGAACAUAUGCAUACAAACAUAAGUGAUAUCGACCUCUCCUUCUCCGAGAGAUAGGUCGAAGAACAAGUUUCCGUAUAUCUAUCCGGCGCUACUAGCUACAUAUAUACAAUAUUAAGAUCUCUUACAAUAUAAUCCCCUAAUUAUAUAUGAACUCAGCUUCCAGAUGGUAUUCUCCGGCUUUAUUGAUGACGUGGUCAAGAAAGAAUCCCUCCAAUUCCUCUUGAAUUGCUUUGAUGCGAUCUUGUGGUAGGAGUUCAUCCUGCAUCUGCCACAUCUAAUUUGAAGAAGGGGGUCAAUCACUAGUGGAAUAACAGCCAUUUGUCUAGGUUCGUAAGGCUCAUUUGUCCCGGUUGGGGAACCGAGACUAAAGGGUCGUUACUAAAGCCCUACACCUUUAGUCCCGGUUGUCGGUGUCAAAACCGGCGGAUCUCGGGUAGUGGGUCCUGAAUUGUGCGUCUAGGCCGGAUGGUAACAGGAGGCAGGGAACACGAUGUUUUACCCAGGUUCGGGCCCUCUUGAUGGAGGUAAAACCCUACGUCCUGCUUGAUUAAUAUUGAUGAUAUGGGUAGUACAAGAGUAGAUCUACCACGAGAUCAAGGAGGCUAAACCCUAGAAGCUAGCCUAUGGCAUGAUUGUUGUGUAUGGAGUUGAUUGCCUACGGACUACAACCCUCCGGUUUAUAUAGACACCGGAUAGGGUUAGGGUUACAUAGAGUCGUUUACAAUGGUAGGAGAUCUUGAAUAUCCGCAUCACCAAUCUUGCCUUCCACGCCAAGGAAAGUCCCAUCCGGACACAGGACGAAGUCUUAAAUCUUGUAUCUUCAUAGUCCAGGAGUCCGGCUGGACGUAUAGUCCGGCUACCCGAACACCCCCUAAUCCAGGACUCCCUCACCGGUUCUUACACCAACUGGGAGAGAUGGGCCUCCACGUGGCCGCUGCGGCGAGCCCAGGUAGGAGGUCCUUUGGUCCCCGUUAGUGACACUAAUACGUCUCCAACGUAUCUAUAAUUUUUGAUUGCUCCAUGCUAUUAUGUUAUCCAUUUUGGAUGUUAAUGGGCUUUAUUUUACACCUUUAUAUCAUUUUUGGGACUAACCUACUAAUCGGAGGCCUAGCCCAAAUUGCUAUUUUUUGCCUAUUUUAGGUUUUUGAAGAAGAGGAAUAUCAAACGGAGUCCAAACGGAAUGAAACCUUCGGGAACGUGAUUUUCUCAACGAACAUGAUCCAGGAGACUUGGAGUGUGCGCCAAGAAAUAAGGGAGGAAGGCACGAGGCAGGGGGGCGCGCCUACCCCCCUUGAGCAUGCCCUCCACCCUCGUGGGCCCUCCACUGCUCCACCGACGUACUUCUUCCUCCUAUAUAUAUCCACGUACCCCCCAAACAACCAGGAGCACCACGAAAACCUAAUUCCACCACCGCAACCUUCUGUACCCGAGAGAUCCCAUCUUGGGGCCUUUUCCGGAGGGGGCAUCGAUCACGGAGGGCCUCUACAUCAACUGCAUGGCCUCUCCGAUGAUGUGUAAGUAGUUUACUUCAGACCUACGGGUCCAUAGUUAUUAGCUAGAUGGCUUCUUCUCUCUCUCUUUGGAUCUUAAUACAAAGUUCUGCUCGAUUUUCUUGGAGAUCUAUUCGAUGUAAUCUUCUUUUGUGGUGUGUUUGUCGAGAUCCGAUGAAUUGUAGGUUUAUGAUCCAGAUUAUCUAUGGACAAUAUUUGAUUCUCCUCUGAAUUCUUUUAUGUAUGAUUCGUUUAUCUUUGCAAGUCUCUUCGAAUUAUCAGUUUGGUUUGGCCUACUAAAUUGAUCUUUCUUGCAAUGGGAGAAGUGCUUAGCUUUGGGUUCAAUCUUGCGGUGUUCGAUCCCAGUGACUGAAAGGGAAGCGAUAUGUAUUGUAUUGUUGCCAUCGAGGAUAAAAAGAUGGGGUUUAUAUCAUAUUGCAUGAGUUUAUCCCUCUACAUCAUGUCAUCUUCCUUAAAGCAUUACUCUGUUCUCUUGAACUUAAUACUCAAGAUGCAUGCUGGAUAGCGGUCGAUGUGUGGAGUAAUAGUAGUAGAUGCAGAAUCGUUUCGGUCUACUUGUCUGGGACCUGAUGCCUAUAUACAUGAGCAUACCUAUAUAUUCUCAUAACUAUGCUCAAUUCUAUCAAUUGCUCGACAGCAAUUCGUUUACCCACCGUAAUACUUAUGCUCUUGAGAGAAGCCACUACUGAAACCUAUGGCCUCGGGGUCUAUCUUCUAUCAUAUUAAUCCUCCAAUACUUAGUUAUUUAUAUUUCUAUCUAUUUUACUUUCCAUCUUUUAUUUCUCUUUAUCAUAAAAAUACCAAAAAUCUUAUCUUAUCAUAUCUAUCAGAUCUCACUGUUGUAAGUGACCGUGAAGGGAUUGACAACCCCUUUAUCGCGUUGGUUGCGAUGUUCUUAUUUGUUUGUGUAGGUUCGUGGGACUUGAGCGUGAUCUCCUACUGGAUUGAUACCUUGGUUCUCAAAAACUAAGGGAAAUACUUACGCUAAUUUACUUCAUCACUCUUUCCUCUUCAAGGGAAAACCAACGCAAUGCUCAAGAGGUAGUGUCGGUGUCAAAACCGGCGGAUCUCGGGUAGUGGGUCCCGAACUGUGCGUCUAGGCCGGAUGGUAACAGGUGGCAGGGAACACGAUGUUUUACCCAGGUUCGGGCCCUCUUCAUGGAGGUAAAACCCUACGUCCUACUUGAUUAAUAUUGAUGAUAUGGGUAGUACAAGGGUAGAUCUACCACAAGAUCAAGGAGGCUAAACCCUAGAAGCUAGCCUAUGGUAUGAUUGUUGUAUAUGGAGUUGAUUGCCUACGGACUACAACCCUCCGGUUUAUAUAGACACCGGAUAGGGUUAGGGUUACAUAGAGUCGGUUACAAUGGUAGGAGAUCUUGAAUAUCCGCAUCGCCAAGCUUGCCUUCCACACCAAGGAAAGUCCCGUCCGGACACGGAACGAAGUCUUCAAUCUUGUAUCUUCAGAGCCCAGGAGUCCGGCUGAAGGUAUAGUCCGGCUAUCCGAACACCCCCUAAUCCAGGACUCCCUCAGUAGCCCCUGAACCAGGCUUCAAUGACGACGAGUCCAGCGCGCAAAUUGUCUUCGGCAUUGCAAGGCGGGUUCCUCCUCCAAGUCCUUCAUAGAAGAUUGUAAGCACCAAGAGUAGUGUCCGGCUCUGCAAAAUAAGCUUCCACAUAUCGCCAUAGAGAGAAUAAUAUUAACACAAAUCAAAUCUGCUGACGUAUUCCGCAGUGCGUCAUCACACUACAGCCAAGUCCUUCACUCGAAUCGUUUUCACUUUUCCACCUCAGCGUGUUUUGCGAGGCGGUUUCCUUGGCACGUCUUGUCAAAGCAGAGAUCGUGUCCCCCUUGUUUACGGGAUUCUCGUUAAUACGGACGUGGGUAACCCAACCGCGCCACUUAUCACGGCGCUUGGGAGGCAAGCGAGUUUUACUAGGCUGGUGGGGACGCAUAGUCGCAUCCGCCCAUAUAAGGGGAUAAGGAUCCACCUUUUUACCUACGCCUUCUUCCUCCUUUGCCUAGCCAUCUUCUGCGCACCCGAGCUCUAGCGCCCCAGCCCGCGCUUCCUACCUCAACCCUCUCCAACAAUGUUCGGAGCGGGAGGCAAGUGGAUGGUCUCCUCCGUCACGGAGGGCCAUGUCAAAAGGUUAAGGAAGGCCGGAUACUUGUCCAAAGACAUCGCGCACCGGCUUCCUGAGGAGGGGCAGCUUCUCCCCACCCCAAGGCCCCAUGAGAGGGUAGUAUUUCUUCCCCACUGCCUCCGCGGACUGGGUUUUCCUCUCCACCCAUUUGUCCGCGGGCUCAUGUUCUACUAUGGCCUAGAUUUCCACGAUCUGGCCCCGUACUUCAUCCUCAAUAUCUCGGCGUUUAUCAUCGUGUGCGAGGCUUUCCUCUGCAUUCGCCCCCAUUUCGGCCUCUGGCUCACGACCUUCAACGUCAAGCCAAAGGUGGUGCGCGGUAACCAGGCGGAGUGCGGAGGUGCCAUGGCGGGCAAAAUUGCCAACGUCCUAUGGCUCGAGGGCUCCUUUGUGGAGACCUUGAAGGGGUGGCAGUCAGGGUGGUUUUACAUCACCGAGCCACGCGAUCCGAAGUGGAUCGCAGCCCCUGAAUUCCGAUCCGGACCCCCUACGCGGCUCAUGUCCUGGAAGGAGACGAGCUUGUCGUGGGGCGACGAAGGAGAGUUGACCAGACUGCAAAAAUGCAUCCAGUCCCUGGUGAACAAGCAGCUCAAGCUUGUCAACGUAAUCUAGGUCAUGCUCGUCCGCCGGAUUCUUCCGUGUCAAGAACGGGACUUCAAUUUGUGGGAGUUCAACCCGGCGCAACACCGAACUCUGAGAAGGCUCUUCAACACGACGUACGAAGAUGUCUGGAGGGGGCUAACCAAAGGCGCCGAGACUCCCACAUCCGCCUCCGAAGACCGCGGAUUCAGCUCGCAGCGUCCUGCUGGCGAGGUAAGAUAUUUCCAUCUUUUACAGGAUGUUAAGCUUUUUCAUAGUUGACUCUAUGCGGGAUCAAAACUCCCUCACCUUUGACAGGAUUGGCGGGAGAAGUCCGGACAGAUUAAAUGCCCGGCUCCCUUGCCCGAAGACCUAGCCCCUGCUCUCCUAGAGAAGCUGCUGGUUUCGGCACCUUAUGUGGUGCCGGAGAAGAGGGCCAAGAAGAAGAAGGCCACGGGGACUCGAAAGAGUUCCUGGCAUAUGGUGGUGUCGGACUCGUCGUCCGACCAGUCCGAGACGCACUCCUCCCGUGAAGACGAGGAGGAAGAGUGUCGGACUCGUCGUCCGACGAGUCCGAGACGCACUCCUCCCGUGAAGAGGAGUGGCCGGACUACGUCCCCGACGCCGACGAGGACGAAGAGGAGUGGCCAGACAGGGCCAAGCAUCCGGCGAGAUCGUAAGUGUUCGGAUACCAGAGUAACUCGUGAUAUUCCUUUUGUUGCACAGCUUUCCCUAAUGUCGGAUAUAAUCAUGCAGUCCGCCCAAGGAUGGGCUCGACGAGUCGUCGAGCGGCUCCCUGGAUUCAUCGGACGUGAAUUCAGUUCCGCCUACUGCUUCCCCCUGUGCUGCAGAUGACGCCGAAGUGGCGUCGCGACAAGCUCCGGGACGAGAGGAGGUGGUCCAGGAGGAGUCGCGAGGUGACCUCCCGGACUCCAGGAGUGAAGGGGACAAGACCCCCCUGGGAUCCAAGUUCGGCUUUAAGCCGGACACUGAGAUGGAAUCAUCAACAGUUCCGGACUGCGGUAGGCGAACUCCUACCAGGAGGAGCAAGCCUACUGAGCCGGCAUCCUCCGUCCAGCCGGAGGCGCCGGACAAUCUGCUGGAGGAGCUUAAGGGCGCCUCCACCGACGAGGAGCACCGUGCCGUCAUGAGUACGGUGAUCCAGAAGGUUCGGUCCGCCAAAAGCGGACUGACUGAAGCUUGUGCUGGCCUUCUAACAGGCUUCGAGGUAAGUAAAAAUAUGUAAAAAUAUUACCGUAUAGACAGUAGCCCCUGAUGCUCUGUUUGGCGUUUGUAAAGAAAAGCCAAAUAGAGGAUCUAUUAAAUAUCGCAGGAGUCUAACUAAAAAGGAGUCAAUAUAUGUAUGCAGGCUUCGCUGCUGGCCACCGCCGCACUGACUGCGGAGGUGGGUGCCCUGAAGGAGGGCCUCCAGCGGACCGAGCAAGAGCUCGGCCUUGCCAAACGGCAGCUCGAGGAAAAAGAAUGUAAGAGAUACCUUACAGAAAAAGUGCCUAUAAAAAGGCUUGAUUGCAAAAAGAGUAGCAGGAUUGUACUGCUUAUUGUAGGGGCCACGACUGAGGUGGCGACCUUUAAGCAGGUGUUGUCUGAGGCCGAAAAGAAAACGGCCGCGGAGCGCACCGAGCGAGACAGACUUGGGGCUCAGGUCAGCGAGGUGCAGCAAGAGCUUCAGGCUCUCAUGAAAAAACAUGAGAGUUUGAAGCUGGAGUCGAAGGCGCAAGCAUCCGAGCUUGCAACGGCCCUAGAGGCUGCCAAGUCUACCAAGGCCGAUGCCCUAAAGACCCUCCAAGAGUUGGAGGAGAUGAGGAAGAUAGCAACGGGUAAGGCAUUCUUUAUGCAAAGCAGAAAUAUAAAAGUGAACUACCUGUUACUUACCCGAAUCCGAAGCUCUCCAGGGGCAUUCGCAGAUCUUCCCUGCAGCGUAUCCGAUGCCGCCGCAUUAUACCAAGCUGAAGAGGGUAGCUCGACGGAGAAGGUGUUCUGGUUUCAGUAUUCUGAGGCCGGACACCCUGUGCCCUUGAGCAACCAGCUGAAACAGCUGGUUGAGCUCCACAAGGCGGCCAAGCAGGCCAUGAAGGGCUUCAUAGUUCGGCUGUGGCCUGGAGAGGCCCUACCUGGGAGCUAUCUCGGGCUGGUGCGGCGGCUGGUGGAGGCCUGUCCGAGGCUUGAGGUCAUCAAGUGCUCCGUCUGCAUCGAUGGUGCCCGUCGGGCCCUUGCCCGUGCAAAGGUGCACUGGGGUAAGCUGGACGGUGAGAAGCUUGUGAAGGACGGGCUGCCGCCGGGGAAGGAGCAUCGCAAGCCCGAGAACUACUACAAGGAUGUUCUUGCAGGUGCCCGCCUUAUGGCGGAUCAAUGUACCAAGGAUGUGAUAUUUGAAUGAACUCGCUCGUGUUUAUCUUGUGCGCUGAAAACUUGUUCAUAUGUGCUAAGCAAUGCUUAUUGAAUUUAAAAUAUUACUUUCUGUGCGGCCAUUUAUCAAAAAUUGAGAGAUGGCCAGUCGUCGGCUUCUGCCCCCGUGCCACUAGUGCUGGGGUGUUCGGGAUAAACCUGAGCGCUCUUUUUCCCAUAGUUGGGUCCUUCGAGGGAGGCGCUCAGCACAACGAACCAGGCAAUCGGACUAUAAUGCUUGAACACUCUCACUUAGCCAUAGAGCUCUAUAAUUUUAAAUUUCGGUGAAGCCCGUAGUUCGGAAGACCGAGUUCGGGGCGCUAUCCACGCCUUGGCCGGACAAAGCCGGCUCCUCGCUCGAAGCGGCAUAAGCCUUUAGGGACUCGAAAAACCUCUCGAACAGCGAUCGGUCUCUCGCCACAUCAUGACAGUCAGUUUUAGCUUUCUCCACUCAGGUGCUUAACCCAGGUGAACCGGGGCACAAUCGCAGUGGUUCUCCUAGUGCUACCUUAGCCGAUAGAGCGGAACGUAAGGCACCAAAACAUAGGAGCCACGCAAACCCAACUAUUGACCCAAAUCAUGAUUCGGAGCCGAUGCAUAUAGUGCUAUAAGUUCGGGGUGCCGCACUUGUGAAAGUGUACGGACUUCUCACACCAUUAUGAGCGGUACUGAAGCCCCUGGCAUGUUUGCCAUACCAUGGUGUACGGGUGCAAUCAUGUCAUUUAAUAAACAUAAAUGUGAAAAGAAGAUAAUGCAAAAAAUAGACUAGAAGCUAAGCAUUGUUUAUAGAGAGGCUAUUUAUCAAAGCCGAACGAUACAAAUAGUGCGGUAAGCAAAAGAUAUUGGACUAUUCAGUAUGUCCUGACCAGGGGCAGGCCGCGGAAUUGUAUUUAAAACAGGUAUACCGCUCGUAACAGAGACCACCUGGGAGUUCCAUAAUGCGUCAUGGCUUGUCUGCCUCCCUGGAUCUUGCAUCGUUUGUGCGGCAGUCGAAUUGCCGAACAGGUCGUCCGAAGUAUGGAGUCCUGAAAGAAGAAAAAAUUAAAAAAAGAAUCCGGCAGCCCCUAGUACGUAUUAAGCCGUAUUUUGGGCGUGUUGUUAUUGUGCCCCUUCCCCUGUGCCCAUGGUAUUUCAAGGGCGUAGUUAUGUACGUGAGGUACUGGUUUCGCUAUGUUGCGAAAGCUGGGGUUGGGGCCGCAUUGCUACGCUUGCUUAGAGUGUGCCAGGCAGUGUCUGGCUUUUUAAUGGCCGGACUGGAGAAUUGCCUGAGAAGGCUACUUUGUACCUCCGCUGCGAGAGCCGCCGUAUGCUCCUCCAUAUGGAGGGAGCGUUCGGUGUUUCCGUUGAACGUAAUUACUCCUUGAGGGCCUGGCAUCUUGAGCUUGAGAUAUGCGUAGUGCAGCACCGUGUUGAUCUUUGCGAAUGCGGUUCGUCCGAGCAGGGCAUGAUAGCCACUGCGAAACGGUACUAUAUCGAAGAUUAACUCUUCGCUUCGGAAAUUGUCCGGGGAUCGGAAGACCACAUCAAGUGUUACUGAGCAUGUACUGUUGGCUUCUACACCUGGUAUAACGCCUUUAAAGGUCGUUCUUGUGGGCUUAAUCCUUGAGGGAUCUAUGCCCAUUUUCUGCACUGUAUCCUGAUAAAGCAGGUUCAGGCUACUGCCGCCGUCCAUGAGGACUCUUGUGAGAUGAAAUCCGUCGAUGAUCGGGUCGAGAACCAAUGCGGCGAAGCCGCCAUGACGGAUGCUAGUGGGAUGGUCCCUUCGAUCGAAAGUGAUCGGGCAGGAGGGCCAUGGGUUGAACUUUGGGGCGACUGGCUCCAUCGCAUAUACGUCCCGUAGCGCAUGCUUCCGCUCCCGCAUGGGAAUGUGGGUUGCGUAUAUCAUGUUCACCGUCCACACUUGUGGGGGAAAGCCCUUCUGUCCAUUGUUGUUCGGCGGCUUGGGCUCCUCGUCGUCGCUGUGCAGCCCCUUGUCUCUGUUUUCGGCCCUUAACUUGCCUGCCUGCUUGAACACCCAACAAUCCCUGUUAGUGUGAUUGGCUAGCCUUUCGGGGGUGCCAUGUAUCUGGCACAAGCGAUCGAGUAUUCGGUCCAAACUGGACGGGCCCUGAGUAUUCUUUUUGAAUGGCAUUUUCCGCUGACCGGAUUUAUAGCCUUUGAAUCCGGCAUUGACUGCCGUGUCUUCAUUGCUGUCGCUGCUAACGCGGCGUUUUUGCUUAUUCCGAUGUGUCCUACCACUUUUGUCCUUGGUAUCCGAAUUACCAGGGUGCUUUGAUAAGUUGUUACUGCGAGCUAGCCAGCUGUCUUCUCCCGCGCAAAAGCGGGUCAUGAGUGUCGUGAGGGCUGCCAUGGAUUUCGGCUUUUCCUGUCCCAGGUGCCAGGCAAGCCACUCGUCGCAGAUGUUGUGCUUCAAGGCUGCCAGGGCCUCUGCGUCCGGACAGUCGACUAUCUGGUUUUUCUUUGUUAGGAACCGUGUCCAAAAUUGUCUGGCCGAUUCCUCUGGCUGCUGAAUUAUGUGGCUUAAGUCGUCGGCAUCCGGUGGUCACACGUAAGUGCCCUGGAAGUUGUCGAGGAAUGCGGCUUCCAGGUCCUCCCAAGAACCGAUUGAGUCUGCUGGCAAGCUGUUAAGCCAAUGCCGGGCCGGUCCUUUAAGUUUGAGCGGGAGGUAUUUGAUGGCGUGUAGAUCAUCGCCGCGUGCCAUGUGGAUGUGAAGGAGACAAUCCUCGAUCCAUACCGCCGGAUCUGUUGUGCCAUCGUAUGAUUCGAUGUUUAUGGGUUUGUAGCCCUCUGGGAUUUUAUGAUCCAUUACUUCAUUCGUGAAGCAUAGCGGGUGUGUGGCGCCUCUGUAUUGGGCUAUAUCACGACGUAGCUCGGAAGAGCUAUGUCUGUUGUGUUCGGCCCGGCCGGAUUUGUUGUAUCCAGAGUGAAGAUCAUUUUCCCGUGCCUUAGUUGAGAGGUGUCGGGGCAUGGCUUGGGUGGAGGGCCGAGACGCCUCUCUGUCGCGGCCGCGAGGUGGCCGGUCUGCCAUGUCAUGCGCUGGUGAUGUAGGUGCUUCCUCCUCUGAUCGGGGUAGCGGCCUAUGCUUCGGGUAACUCUUGGAGGGGCGUUCGAGUUCAUACUCUUCGGCCGCAAGGACUUCAGUCCAUCUGUCAGCUAGCAAAUCUUGGGCAGCUCUAAGUUGUUGCUGCUUUUUCUUGAGGCUGCUUGCCAUGGCUAAAAGCCUGCGUUUAAAAAGCUCUUGUUCGGCGGGGUCUGAUGGUAUGACGAAUUCGUCGUCAUUGAGGCUUGCCUCGUCUUCGGAGGGAGGCGUAUAGUUAUCAUCCUCGACCUUUCCGUCUGCCGCUCUCUCAUCAGGGCUGGCUUCUCCAUCUUCCUGUGCCGAAUCUUGCUGAGGUGGGUGUUCUUCGGCGCUAUCCGGGGUAGUAUUAUCUCUCAUGUCGGAAUCACCGUUUUUGCUUUGGCGGGAUUUAGAGCGGCGCCGCUGGUGCCGGCGCUUUGGCUGUUUCUUGGGGGCGUCAUCCCCCACUGUUCCAUCGCCAUCUCCAUCUUUUGGAGUAUCCACCAUAUAUAUGUCAUAUGAUAAGGUGGCCUUCCAGCGCCCUACAGGUGCUGGUUCCUGUUCGUCUCCUACAUUGUCGUCCAUGCCGUCGAUGUCUUUGGAGCUGAAGUCAACCAUGUAGGUUAGACCGUCGAUAAUGGCUACAAAGUGGGUGGUGGGUGGGCUUUGAAUUUCCUCAUCGUAUGUAUCCCACCCUCGCUGACCGUAGUCCGGCCAGGGCUCUCCUGAUAAAGAGAGAGACUUAAGAGAAUUCAGGAUGUCGCCAAAAGGCGAAUGCUGAAAGAUGUCUGUAGCGGUGAACUCCAUUAUCGGCACCCAAUCGGAUUCGAUUGGCAGGGGCGCGGGGGGUUCGGAGUCCGGGGAGGAGUCCGGAUCCUCGGAGUCACGGGUCGUGCAGAGUGCGGGGCUAGCGUUCGGCUCGAUCGCUUUCGGGAUCGCAGCCCCCGAGGUGACGUCCAACCGCUCAUCCUCGAUUGGCGCAAUAGGUUCCGAGUUAGGGGUCGGAACCGAUGCGUGUGCGGCCUCCAGGACACUGGCCGGGGGCAGAGCUAGAUCAUGCCCCUCGGGAUAGUGCGGCGUGCUUGGCCGUGGCUCGAGCCCGUCGAAGAUCAAGUCUCCGUGGAUGUCAGCCGUGUAGUUUAAGCUUCCAAACCUGACUUGAUGGCCAGGGGCGUAGCUUUCGAUCUGCUACAGGUGGCCGAGCGAAUUGGCUCAUAGAGCGAUGCCGCCGAAGACGAAGAUCUGUCCGGGGAGAAAAGUCUCACCCUGGACCGCAUCGUUGUUGAUGAUCAAAGGAGCCAUCGGGCCUAAAGGCGACGAGACAGAGGAACUCUCAAUGAAAGCACCAAUGUCAGUGUCAAAACCGGUGGAUCUCGAGUAGUGGGUCCCGAACUGUGCGUCUAGGCCGGAUGGUAAUAGGAGGCAGGGAACACGAUGUUUUAUCCAGGUUCGGGCCCUCUUGAUGGAGGUAAAACCCUACGUCCUGCUUGAUUAAUAUUGAUGAUAUGGGUAGUACAAGAGUAGAUCUACCACGAGAUCAAGGAGGCUAAACCCUAGAAGCUAGCCUAUGGUAUGAUUGUUGUAUAUGGAGUUGAUUGCCUACGGACAACAACCCUCCGGUUUAUAUAGACACCGGAUAGGGUUAGGGUUACAUAGAGUCGGUUACAAUGGUAGGAUAUCUUGAAUAUCCACAUCGCCAAGCUUGCCUUCCACGCCAAGGAAAGUCCCGUCCGGACACGGGAUGAAGUCUUCAAUCUUGUAUCUUCAUAGCCCAGGAGUCCGGCUGAAGGUAUAGUCCGGCUACCUGAACACCCCCUAAUCCAGGACUCCCUCAGGUAGCAAGAUGGAUUUCUGGCGCCAUUGCCGGGGAGAUUCGCGCCAAGUCAAGACAUACCAAGUACCCAUCACAAACCCUUAUCCCUCGCAUUACAUUAUUUUCCAUUUGCCUCUUGUUUUCCUCUCCCCCACUUCACCCUUGCCAUUUUAUGCGCCCUCUCUUUUUCCGUUCCCCUCUUUUCCACUUGCUUUGUCGUUAUGGCUAGUCCUUUAUCUACUCCUUUGUCUCCCGAGAAUGAAGUUCUUAAUUUUAAACAAAGGGAGGGAGAAAAUCUAAAAGAUGCUUGGUACAGAAUUUGCAACACACAAAUUAGAUCUACUAGGAAACAAUCUACUUUUGUUCUUCUUCACGAUUUUUAUGUAGGCAUCACACCUUGGAAUAGAUAUAUUCUUGAUGCCAUUACCGGAGGGAAUUUCUUGGGUAGCCAUACUUUUGAUUCUUAUAAUGCUAUGAUAGAUCUGUUUGGCCCACCACCUCUUUUGGUUAAUGGAACUAUUUUAACUUUGGAACAUGUGAUGCAAUGGCUUGAAAUUAGUGAAAAUAAAGUUGCCACCAUAGAGUUAAUUGAAAAUUUGGAUAGAAAGAUCCAUAACCAAAUUACCCAAUACGGAUCUAAGUUAGGAGUUGCUCUUAAAAGUUUUAAAGAAAAGGGACCUAUGGUUAAUGAAAAGAUAGAAAAGGAUUCCACUAGAAUUGAUAAAAUUGAGGAUAUUAUUACCAACCUUGGGUCUUCCUUUUCUUCUAUUAUAAAUACUCCGCCUAAUGCUAAGAUUGCCAAACUAAUGUAUGUUACAAAAAAUAAGGGUGAAACUUCUAAUAAGGAAAAUGCGGAUCUCAAAUCCAUAAGUGUUCACCCCAAUUUUCUCACUAUCCUUAAGGAACCUUUUGCUACAAAUGAUUUUCUUGAUUUCAUACCUAGGAGUUUGAUAAUUAAUAAAAACAAAGAAACUCCUAAAAGUUAUUGGUGUGUUAUUGAAGAAUCACCUUCCAAAGACGGCAAUACCUAGGUCUAUCUUCGCUUUUAUGCCUAGCUAGGGGCGUUAAACGAUAGCGCUUGUUGGGAGGCAACCCAGUUUUACUUUUAUUCCUUGAUGUUUGCUCCUAUUUAGUAAUAAAUAAUUUAUGUAGCCUAUGUUUUGGUUGUGUUUUUUGUGUUUAAUUUGUGUUUGUGCCAUGUAGAACCAUUGGGUAGACUUGGGGAAAGUCUUUUUGAUCUUGCUGUAAAAAACAGAAACGUUAGCGCUCACGAGAAUCGCUGACAUUUUUAUUUGGAAAGUGAUAUUUAGAUAAUUCUUUUUGCGGAUGAUUAAUAGAUAAAUUCCUCACGUCCAGCAAUUUAUUUUAUAAUUUUUGGGGUUACAGAAGUUCGCGUUAGGUACAGAUUACUACAGACUGUUCUGUUUUUGACAGAUUCUGUUUUUCGUGUAUUGUUUGCUUAUUUUGAUGAAUCUAUGGCUAGUCAAAGAGGUUAUAAACCGUAGAGAAGUUGGAAUACAGUAGGUUUAACACCAAUAUAAAUCAAGAUUGAGUUCAUAACAGUACCUUGAAGUGGUGUUUUGUUUUCUUUCGCUAACGGAGCUCACGAGAUUUUCUGUUUGAGUUUUUUGUUGUGAAGUUUUCAAGUUUUGGGUAAAGAUUUGAUGGAUUAUGGAACAAGGAGUGGCAAGAGCCUAAGCUUGGGGAUUCCCAUGGCACACCAAGGUAAAAUUAAAGGACACCAAAAAGCCUAAGCUUGGGGAUGCCCCGAAAGGCAUCCCCUCUUUCGUCUUCGUCUAUUGGUAACUUUACUUGGAGCUAUAUUUUUAUUCACCACAUGAUAUGUGUUUUGCUUGGAGCGUCUUGUAUGAUUUGAUUAUUUGAUUUUUAGUUUACCAAAAUCAUCCUUGCUGUACACACCUUUUGAGAGAGACUCACAUGAUUGGGAAUUUAUGAGAAUACUCUAUGUGCUUCACUUAUAUCUUUUGAGCUAUAUGGUUUUUGUUCUAGUUCUUCGCUUAUAUAUUUUAGAGAAUGGCGGUGGUUUUAUUUUAUAGAAAUAAUUGUUCUCUCAUGCUUCACUUAUAUUAUUUUGAUAGUCCUUUAGAACAACAUGGCAAUAAUAAAACUGUCAUACAAGUGCAUUGAAUACUAUGAGAAGUUUGAUACUUGAUAAUUGUUUUGAGAUAUGGAGAUGGUGAUAUUAGAGUCAUGCUAGUUGUGUAGUUGUGAAUUUGAGAAAUACUUGUGUUGAAGUUUGUGAUUCCCGUAGCAUGCACGUAUGGUGAACCGUUAUGUGACGAAGUCAGAUCAUGAUUUAUUUGUUGAUUGUCUUCCUUAUGAGUGGCGGUCGGGGAUGAGCAAUGGUCUUUUACUACCAAUCUAUCUCCCUAGGAGCAUGGGCAUAAUACUUUGCUUUGAUAACUUAUAGAUUUUUGCAAUAAGUAUGUGAGUUCUUUCUGAGCAAUGUUGAGUCCAUGGAUCAUACGCACUCUCACCCUUCCACCAUUGCUAGCCUCUCUAAUACCGUGCACUUCUCGCCGAUAUCAUACACCCACCAUAUACCAUCCUCAAAACAGCCACCAUACCUACCUAUUAUCACUAGUGCAGAACCGGGCAAUAGCACCGGUUCGUAAGGCCCUUUAGUGCCGGUUUAGGAACCGGCACUAUUAUUUCGGCACUAAACCCCCCCCCCUUUAGUACCGGUUCAGCACGAACCGGUGCUAAAGGGGUACCACGUGGCACGAGCCAGCUCCGGGGGCCGGGAGCCCUUUAGUACCGGUUGGUAAAACCAACCGGUACUAAAUGGUUGUGGGUUUUUGUUUUAUUUUGUAUUUUUCAAUUAAAUUUGUGUUAUCAAUUUAAAUUAGGAUUGUUUUACGUUAUAAUGAGUUGUAGUCGUCAUCAUCAUCAUCAUCAUCGCAUAUUAAUAAAUAAAUAAACUCUAGCUAGCUAAAAAUCAUCGUGGUCGUCUAAUUACCACUAUUUAAUCAUCAUAGUCAUUACCGCUAGCUAUGUAAUCAUCAUCAACGUUGGCUAGCUUAAAGAGGAAACAUUCACUUUGUAACAGAAGCAAAGAGAUAUCAUCAAGUUCAACAUAAUCAUCACCAACAUCGAAGUUCAGGACACGGAUCCAUGAGACGAGUACUAAUUAAGAGCAUGAAGUAGUAGCUACUGAUCCUGCUUCUCCCUCUCAGGUAGAAUAGCACAGAACAUGUAUAGCUCUCCUGAUUCAUCAUACUGAAGCAUGCAGAUGAAUCUGUCUCCUAAUCUUGGGUUGCGCUUCUCCUUACUGCCCCCUAGUACUUCUCUGCGAUCGUUAACAAUUUUGCUCCAAUCUUUCACUAUUAAGCAUUCUUCGCUUUUAGAAAUCCUGAAUGCACUCAUGUGCAAUGUAGGAAAUCUUGGUCGUAAGCUAACCAUUGACAUGCGACCUUUUGUCUCGAUCCACUAAGGCACAACUGUCAUCGGAAGUCCCUGUUGAACAACAUCGUAUAGUAAUUAAUAUACUAAGCAAUGAAAGUUUAGCUUUAAAAAUAAUGUACGCAAAAGAUGCACUAAUUAAGGACAAAUAUUUAAAAUCUUACCAUCUUUUGAUUAUAGAUGUGACCGUAGUUCAAGGCGAUCACCAUUGGUCGCACGUUUUGAGUACUAACAUUUCUAAGUUUAGAAAAAAAAUUGUCUUGACAGUAUUAAGAUCCUCAAGCCAUGAAACACAAUGACUUAUUUCCUCGCAGUUUAGUUGAGCCCCGAGGUAGUAGUAGGUCCUGUCUACCAAGCGCCGGACAUGUUUGCUUGAACCGAAAUAAGCUGACAAUACACAUCAGUUGUCAACUAUUUUUGAAUAAACUGUACGAAAGACAUAAACGUAUAUAUGCAUGCAUGGUUGAGAAAAACUCACCAAAUGGUAGAACUGGAGGCGUUUGCACAUCGACCCAGAUGUCUAUAUUACCUUCAAUAUCAUCUUCCGGACGAAUAUCAAAGGUGAUAACCAUAUCAGGCUCAAAUGCAUAAGCCUUGCAUAGUGCUUGCCAAGUUUUGCAUUCAAAAUGGGUGUAUGUGCCUCCAUUAUAUAAUUUGACGUUGAAAGUAUACCCAUGCUCCGUCUUCAAGUAAACUCUCUUUACCUCCAUAUCAUCUAUAGCACUAAAACCUAUCUUAUAUAAUACAAAAAUUCUUGUAUGGCAGGGGAUGCGCUAGUAGAAUAGUGAAAAUUUAAAAUUAUAAGUUGAAGCAAAUGAAGCAUAAGUUUUGCAUUCAAAUAAUAAUUGACAAAGUGGCUUACUGUAUCAACUUCAAAUGUCUCAUCCAGCUUGAUGUUGAAGCGCCUACCAUCAACAAGGAAAUUUUGGUCGCACAGGCCGCGCUGGUCUUCACAGUGUUCGCACAUAAUAAAAUCUUUUUAGUUGUCAGAUGACAUUUCCUAUGUUCAUAUAGGUGAAACAUUAAACACCUAUAUCUAGCCAAAUAUAUAUUCAUCUAACAUUUGACAUUAAUAUAUCUAACUAUAUAUUCAAUUGACAUUACUAUAUAUUUAACUUUUCUAUCUAAUUCAUCUAACAUUCGACAUUAAUCUAACAUUUAUAUAAACUCAAAAUAUAUAAAAAAUUAAAUAAACAGAAAAACUCAUUAACAAAUAAUAUUUUAAUUAGAUCAUCAAAUCUCAUAUACCUAAAUUUUCUUACUAAAAAUAAACUAGUUAUAUUAAUUAUUCAACUAGUUCUAAUCUNNNNNNNNNNNNNNNNNNNNNNNNNNNNNNNNNNNNNNNNNNNNNNNNNNNNNNNNNNNNNNNNNNNNNNNNNNNNNNNNNNNNNNNNNNNNNNNNNNNNNNNNNNNNNNNNNNNNNNNNNNNNNNNNNNNNNNNNNNNNNNNNNNNNNNNNNNNNNNNNNNNNNNNNNNNNNNNNNNNNNNNNNNNNNNNNNNNNNNNNNNNNNNNNNNNNNNNNNNNNNNNNNNNNNNNNNNNNNNNNNNNNNNNNNNNNNNNNNNNNNNNNNNNNNNNNNNNNNNNNNNNNNNNNNNNNNNNNNNNNNNNNNNNNNNNNNNNNNNNNNNNNNNNNNNNNNNNNNNNNNNNNNNNNNNNNNNNNNNNNNNNNNNNNNNNNNNNNNNNNNNNNNNNNNNNNNNNNNNNNNNNNNNNNNNNNNNNNNNNNNNNNNNNNNNNNNNNNNNNNNNNNNNNNNNNNNNNNNNNNNNNNNNNNNNNNNNNNNNNNNNNNNNNNNNNNNNNNNNNNNNNNNNNNNNNNNNNNNNNNNNNNNNNNNNNNNNNNNNNNNNNNNNNNNNNNNNNNNNNNNNNNNNNNNNNNNNNNNNNNNNNNNNNNNNNNNNNNNNNNNNNNNNNNNNNNNNNNNNNNNNNNNNNNNNNNNNNNNNNNNNNNNNNNNNNNNNNNNNNNNNNNNNNNNNNNNNNNNNNNNNNNNNNNNNNNNNNNNNNNNNNNNNNNNNNNNNNNNNNNNNNNNNNNNNNNNNNNNNNNNNNNNNNNNNNNNNNNNNNNNNNNNNNNNNNNNNNNNNNNNNNNNNNNNNNNNNNNNNNNNNNNNNNNNNNNNNNNNNNNNNNNNNNNNNNNNNNNNNNNNNNNNNNNNNNNNNNNNNNNNNNNNNNNNNNNNNNNNNNNNNNNNNNNNNNNNNNNNNNNNNNNNNNNNNNNNNNNNCGGCGGCGGGGACAGCGACGAUGACGACGGACGACGGUACGGGCGACGGGCGGCGACGACGGGAUCGAGCGGUCCGCGCGGCGGAGGUGGGAGACGAAGUGGGGAGUUGAAACUGAAAUUUUCGUAAGUGCUAUAUAUAUAUAUAUAUAUAUAUAUAUAUAUAUAUAUAUAUAUAUAUAUAUAUGAUUGGCCUUUAGUACCGAAUCGUGGCUCCAACCGGUACUAAAGGCCUAUUUUCGCCAGGCCAAGCGGCGGGAAACGAAGGCUUUUAGUACCGGUUGGAGCCACCAACCGGUACUAAAGGGGGGCCUUUAGUACCGGUUGGAGCCACCAACCGGUACUAAAGGCCUUGCGCUGCCACCCCAAAAUUUAGUCCCACCUCGCCCGGCGAAGGGCAGCCGCACUGGUUUAUAAACCUAGCCGCGGCUACCUCUUCGAACUCCUCUAUAUAGCAGCCUUCUGGGCCUAAUUAAUUAGGGCGCGCUGCCAUGUGAGUCUGCUGGCCCUUCUGGGCCUGCAUUUGCACACCCUAGGUCUGGUAGACCCACAGGGCAGUGCGCCAACAAAUUUUUUAUAUAGUUUUAUCUUUUCUGCAUUACUUAUUUUCUUUUAUUUAUUUUUGAGUAGUUUUUUAUAUAGUUUUUGUUUUCUGCAUUAUUUAUUUUCUUCUAUUUAUUUUUGAGUAAUUUUUUUGUAUAGUUUUUUUAUUUUCUGCAUUACUUAUUUUUGCAUAGUCCGAAACCCUGAUACUCGGAAAGAGUUUGUCCAGUUUGUACACGAAGUGCGUCCAGUUUUUGCCGUGACCCUCUCUACUCUUUCGCGCAUGCUAUGCGGGUGAUACGAUGAUACCAUGCCAAGUUUCAACAUUUUCAGGAUUCAUUUUGUAGUGAUUUUCAAUUUCACGGUCAUUUAGCUCUCUAAACAAUUAGGUAAAUGACUGAAAAACAACAAAUGAUGUCAGAACAUGUUGAAAAUUGAUGACGUCGCUUUAAAUGCUGCAUACUGAACACAAAAGAAGUCCGGAGUACAAAUAAGUUUAAAAAACAUUGAAGUGGCCAUGUAACAGAUGAGUUCUCGUCCGAAACCCUGAUACUCGGAAAGAGUAUGUCCAUUUUGUACACGAAGUGCGUCCAGUUUUUGCCGUGACCCUCUCUACUCUUUCGCGCAUGCUAUGCGGGUGAUAUGAUGAUACCAUGCCAAGUUUCAGCAUUUUCAGGAUUCAUUUUGUAGUGAUUUUCAAUUUCACGGUCAUUUAGCUCUCUAAACAAUUAGGUAAAUGACCGAAAAACAACAAAUGAUGUCAGAAUAGACUGCACUGCACAUAGCUCAGUGUAGACUACACUGCACAUAGCUCAGUGCAAUCUAUGUUAUUCCGCAAGGCUUGAAGCUAAUCAACAUGUAGAUGAGCAUUGCAAUUCUUCGUCAUUGUCUGUGCACUCACGGCUUAUAAACCGCUCAUACUGCCUCUCUCUUGGCGAGGUGGGACUAAAAACAACUUGCCAUAACCUCAUCAAUUUCCUCUUGAAGCUUGUCCUUGCCUUUUUGCUUGUAUUCUUGUGGUGGAAGAUCAUCUUGAGCUUGUGUCCCCUUGAAGGAAGUAGGAUACUUCUCUUGUUGAGGAACAAACUUUGUCUUGGGGUAUUGAUCUUCUUCCCACUCAACUCCAUUGGCAUUGAACUUUCGUUCAAAACCAACACCUUGAUUCUUCCAGUGCCUUCCUUGCUUGCGCACAAUUUCCUCGAAUUGCUUACUCCCGGCAAGGCUUUUGUACAUUCCUUUCUCUAUAAUUCCCUUCAAUAAGCUAUUUUCUUGCUCAAGUGUAACUUGGCUAAGAGAAUCAUUAGUGGAAUCAAGAGAACUACUAGAAGCAACAAUGUUAGAUCUUAUGUCACAAAAAAGAAGUCGUAUCAAACCUUUUAUGUCGGAUCUAGAACAAACCAAUCGGUAUCGCCAUCAUACAGCCCUACCGUGGCUUGUGAUGCAUAUAUAUAUGCAUAUCAAAUGCACGGUUGGGCGUAUGAUGGCGAAUCCGAAUGAUUUGUAUUCAGUCGAUGAACUGGUAGAUGUAUGCAGUCGAUGAACUGGUAGAUGUAUGUAGUCGAUGAACUGAAAGACUUAUGCAGGGAAGGCGAGAGAUGGGCUAUAUAUAGGGUCGUCUGGCUCACAAAGUGAUUGUGGUAGUUUCGAUCCAACGACUCACAUGAGCUAGGAAGAAGCACACCCUUGAUCCAACGACUCGCAAGAGCUAUAAAGAAACACACGAUCCAUGUGAUUCUUCCUGAUUGGUGGGAUGCACAUUAGUAUCGGUUUGUGCCAUGAACUGGUGCUAAAGAUUGGCAAUGAACCGGUACUAAUGGUAGCAGCCCGCCUAGCCGUUGGAAUCGGCACUAAUGGUCACAUUUGUGCCGGCUCAAAUUCAAACCGGCACUAUAAUGUGCUUCACAUUUGACUGUUUUUCUACUAGUCAAUAGAGUUUGCCAAACUUGAGUUUCCCAAGUCACUUACACAAAAAGCUAUGAUUCAUGGUUGUCAAAUCCAUAAUUUACAAACCACAACAACCUUGAGGCAUAACAAGCUUUAAAUGCUGCAUACUGAACACAAAAGAAGUCCAGAGUUUAAAUAAGUUAUUAAAAAUAAAAAAGAGGUGCAAUGCUGGUUAAUUUGCUUCAAGCUAUUCGGAAUAGUGUAGAUUGCACUAAGCCACUGCACAUAGCUCAGUGCAAUCUAUGCUAUUCCGCAAGGCUUGAAGCUAAUCAACAUGUAGGUGAGCAUUGCAACUCUUCGUCAUUGUCUGUGCACUCACGGCUUAUAAACCGCUCAUACUACCUCUCUCUUGGCGAGGUGGGACUAAAAACAUCUUGCCAUAACCUCAUUAGUACUGGUUCAUGGUACGAACCGGCACUAAAUGGUGAUGGUGGGGCCAUAGCCUGACCGCAGGCUGACACAGCCUCUUUAGUACCGGUUCGUGGCAUGAACCGGUACUAAAGGUUCGCCACGAACCGGUACUAUUGAUCGCCGCCACGAACCGGCACUAAUGUACACAUUAGUGCCGGCUCUAAUUCAAACCGGCACUAAUGUGCUUCACAUUUGACCCUUUUUCUACUAGUGUAUGGCAUUUCCAUAGCCAUUCCGAGAUAUAUUGCCAUGCAACUUUCCAUCGUUCCAUUAUUAUGACACACUUCAUCAUUGUCAUAUUUGCUUGCAUGAUCAUGUAGUUGGCAUCGUAUUUGUGCAAAGCCACCAUUCAUAAUUCUUCAUACAUGUCACUCUUGAUUCACUGCAUAUCCCGGUACACCGCCGGAGGCAUUCACAUAGAGUCAUAUUUUGUUCUAAGUAUCGAGUUGUAAUUCUUGAGUUGUAAGUAAAUAAAAGUGUGAUGAUCAUCAUUAUUAGAGAAUUGUCCCAAGUGAGGAAAGGAUGGAGACUAUGAUUCCACAACAAGUCGGCAUGAGACUCCGGACGAAAAUAAAAAAAGAGGGAAAAAAGAGAAAGGCCAUAAAAAAGAAGGCCCAAAAAAUGAGAGAAAAAGAGAGAAGGGGCAAUGUUACUAUCCUUUUUCCACACUUGUGCUUCAAAGUAGCACCAUCAUCUUCAUGAUAGAGAGUCUCCUAUGAUAUCACUUUCAUAUACUAGUGGGAAUUUUUCAUUAUAGAACUUGGCUUGUAUAUUCCAAUGAUGGGCUUCCUCAAAUUGCCCUAGGUCUUCGUGAGCAAGCAAGUUGGAUGCACACCCACUUAGUUUCUUUUGUUGAGCUUUCAUACACUUAUAGCUCUAGUGCAUCCGUUGCAUGGCAAUCCCUACUCAAUCACAUUGAUAUCUAUUAAUGGGCAUCUCCAUAGCCCGUUGAUACGCCUGUUCUGGAGCUCCGCCAGAGGGGGCAUCGAUCACGGAGGGCUUCUACAUCAACAGCAUAGCCUCUCCGAUGAAGUGUGAGUAGUUGACCUCAGACCUACGGGUCCAUAGUUAUUACCUAGAUGGCUUCUUCUCUCUUUUUGGAUCUCAAUACAAUGUUCUCCCCCUCUCUUGUGGAGAACUAUUCGAUGUAAUCUUCUUUUUGCGGUGUGUUUAUUGAGAUCGAUGAAUUGUGGGUUUAUGAUCAAGUCUAUCUAUGAAUAAUAUUUGAAUCUUCUCUGAAUUCUUUUAUGUAUGAUUGUUUAUCUUUGCAAGUCUCCUCGAAUUAUCAGUUUGGUUUGGCCUACUAGAUUGAUCUUUCUUACAAUGGGAGAAGUGCUUAGCUUUGGGUUCAAUCUUGCGGUGUCCUUUCCCAGUGACAGCAGGGGCAGCAAGGCAUGUAUUGUAUUGUUGCUAUCGAGGACAACAAGAUGAGGUUUUCAUCAUAUUGCAUGAGUCUAUCCCUCUACAUCAUGUCAUCUAGCUUAAGGCGUUACUCUGUUUUUAACUUAAUACUCUAGAUGCAUGCUGGAUAGCGGUCGAUGAGUGGAGUAAUAGUAGUAGAUGCAGGCAGGAGUCGGUCUACUUGUCUCGGACGUGAUGCCUAUAUACAUGAUCAUACCUAGAUAUUCUCAUAAAUAUGCUCAAUUAUGUCAAUUGCUCAACAGUAAUUUGUUCACCCACCAUAGAAUUAUUAUGCUCUCGAGAGAAUCUACUAGUGAAACCUAUGGCCCCCGGGUCUAUCUUUAUCAUAUUAAUCUCCUACUACUUAGUUAUUUCCUUUGCUUUUUCCUUUGCCUUUAUUUUACUUUUCAUCUUUAUCACAAAAAUACCAAACAUAUUAUCUUUAUCAUAUCUAUCAGAUCUCACUCUCAUAAGUGGCCGUGUAGGGAUUGACAACCCCUAUUCGCGUUGGUUGCGAGGAUUUAUUUGUUUUGUGCAAGUACGAGGGACUCGCGCGUAGCCUCCUACUGGAUUGAUACCCUUGGUUCUCAAACUGAGGGAAAUACUUACGCUACUUUGCUACAUCAUCCCUUCCUCUUCGGGGAAAACCAACGCAGUGCUCAAGAGGUAGCAAGAAGGAUUUCUGGUGCCAAUGCCGGGGAGGUCUACGCAAAAGUCAACAUACCAAGUACCCGUCACAUACCCUUAUCUCCCGCAUUACAUUAUUUGCCAUUUGCCUCUCGUUUUCACCUCCCCCACUUCACCCUUGCCAUUUUAUUCGCCCUCUCUCUCUCUCUAUCCUCCCUCUCUUUCUCUAUUUGCCUCUUUUUUCCCGCUUGCUUUCUGUUUGCUUGUGUGUUAGUUGCUUGCUUGUCACGAUGGCUCAAGAUAAUACUAAAUUAUGUGACUUCACCAAUACCAACAACAAUCAUUUUAUUAGCACUCCGAUUGCUCCUCUUACCGAUGCUGAAUCUUGUGAAAUUAAUACUGCUUUGCUGAAUCUUGUCAUGAAAGAUCUGUUUUCCGGCCUUCCUAGUGAACAUGCCGGUACCCACCUAAAUAGAUUCAUUGAUUUGUGUGACAUGCAAAAAAAAGAAAGGUGUGGAUAAUGAUAUUGUUAAAUUGAAGCUAUUUCCUUUUUUGCUUAGAGAUCGUGCUAAAGCUUGGUUUUCGUCUUUGCCUAAAAAUAGUAUUGAUUCAUGGAAUAAGUGCAAAGAUGCUAUUAUCUCUAAGUAUUUUCCUCCUACUAAGAUCAUCUCUCUUAGAAACAAUAUUAUGAAUUUUAAGCAACUUGAUCAUGAACAUGUUGCACAAGCUUGGGAGAGAAUGAAACUAAUGGUACGUAAUUGCCCUGCCCAUGAUUUAAAUUUGUGGAUGAUUAUACAAAAAUGUUAUGCCGGAUUGAAUUUUGCUUCUAGAAAUCUUUUAGAUUCGGCCGCGGGAGGCACUUUUAUGGAAAUCACUUUAGAAGAAUCUACUAAACUCCUAGAUAAUAUUAUGGUUAAUUAUGCUCAACGGCAUAGUAAAAUAUCUAAUAAUAAAAAGGUGCAUGCGAUACAAGAAAUUAAUGUUUUGAGUGGAAAGAUGGAUGAACUUCUGAAAUUAUUUGCUAAUAAGAGUGUUUCUUCUGAUCCUAAUGAUAUACCCUUGUCUACUUUGAUUGAGAAUAGUAAUGAAUCUAUGGAUGUGGAUUUUGUUGGUAGGAACAAUUUUGGUAACAACGCGUAUAGAGGAAAUUUCAACCCUAGGCCUUAUCCUAGUAAUCUCUCUAAUAAUUAUGGUAAUUCCUACAACAAUUCUUAUGGAAAUUAUAAUAAGAUGCCCUCUAAUUUUGAAUCUAAUAUUAAAGAAUUUAUUACUUUGCAAAAGAAUUUCAAUACCUUGAUUGAAGAAGAACCGCUAGGAUGCGUGCUAAGAAAGAUGCCUUUAUAAGAGCGUGUUCUUCUAGUUCCUAUGAAAAUAAUGAUGAAGAUCUAAAAGUUAUUGAUGUGUUCCCUAUUAAAUCUUUGUUUUUCAACAUGGAUCUUGAUAAUGAUGGGAUUGAAUAUGAUCCACCUUUACCUAUAAGGCGUUCCAAGAAUUCAGAAUUUGUUGAUCUUGAUGCUAAAAUUGAUAAAGGUGGGAUUGAAGAAAUUAAAACCCUAGAUGUUGCUAAACCCACUAUUAUGGAUUUCAAGGAAUUUAACUAUGAAAAUUGCUCUUUUAUUGAUUGUAUAUCCUUUUUACAAUCCGUGCUAAAUUCUCCUCAUGCUUAUAGUCAAAAUAAAGCGUUUACUAAACAUAUCGUUGAUGCCUUGAUGCAAUCUUAUGAAGAAAAACUUGAAUUGGAAGUUUCUAUCCCUAGAAAGCUUUAUGAUGAGUGGGAACCAACUAUUAAAAUUAAAAUUAAAUAUCAUUAAUGCUAUGCUUUAUGUGAUUUGGGUGCUAGUGUUUCCACGAUUUCAAAGACUUUGUGUGAUUUGUUAGGUUUCCGUGAUUUUGAUGAUUGCUCUUUAAACUUGCGCCUUGUGGAUUCCACUAUUAAGAAACCUAUGGGAAGAAUUAAUGAUGUUCUUAUUGAUGCAAAUAGGAAUUAUGUGCCUGUAGAUUUUAUUGUUCUUGACAUAGAUUGCAAUCUUUCAUGUCCUAUUAUUCUUGGUAGACCUUUCCUUAGAACGAUUGGUGCAAUUAUUGAUAUGAAGGAAGGAAAUAUUAGAUUCCAAUUUCCAUUAAGGAAAGUCAUGGAACACUUUACUAGAAAGUAAAUUAAAUUACCUUAUGAAUCUAUUAUGAUAGCCACUUAUGGAUUGCCUACCAAAGAUGGCAAUACCUAGAUCUAUCCUUGCUUGUUAUGCCUAGCUAGGGGCGUUAAACGAUAGCGCUUGUUGGGAGGCAACGCAAUUUUGUUUUUAUUCCUUGAUUUUUGCUCCUGUUUAGUAAUAAAUAAUUUAUCUAGCCUCUGUUUUGGUUGUGUCCUUUGUGUUUAAUUAGUGUUGGUGCCAAGUAGAACCGUUAGGAAGACUUGGGGAAAGUCUUGUUACACUUGCUGUAAAAAACAGAAACUUCAGCGCUCACGAGAACUACUGCCAUUUUUAUUUGGAAAGUUCUAUUUAGUUAAUUAUUUCUGCAGAUGAUUAAUAGAUAAAUUCCUCACGUCCAGAAAUUUAUUUUAGAAUUUUUGGGGUUCCAGCUCUUGAGCUAGGUACAGAUUACUACAGACUGUUCUGUUUUUGAAAGAUUUUGUUUUUCAUGUGUUGUUUGCUUAUUUUGAUGAACCUAUGGCUAGUAAAAUAGUUGAUAGACCAUAGAUAAGUUGGAAUACAGUAGGUAUAACACCAAUAUAAAUAAAUAAUGAGUUCAUUAUAGUACCUUGAAGUGGUCUUUUAUUUUCUUUCGCUAACGGAGCUCACGAGAUUUUCUACUUUAAGUUUUGUGUUGUGAAGUUUUCGAGUUUUGGGUAAAGAUUUGAUGGUUUAUGGAACAAGGAGUGACAAGAGCCUAAGCUUGGGGAUGCCCAUGGCACCCCCAAGAUAAUCUAAGUACACCUAAAAGCCAAAGCUUGGGGAUGCCCCGGAAGUCAUCCCCUCUUUCGUCUACUUCUAUCGGUAACUUUACUUGGAGCUAUAUUUUUAUUCGCCACAUGAUAUGUGUUUUGCUUGGAGCAUCUUGUAUUAUUUGACUCUUUAUUUGUUAGUUUACCACAAUCAUCCUUCCUGUACACACCUUUUUUAGAAUACUCUAUGUGCUUCGCUUAUAUCUUUUGAGUUAUAUAGUUUUGCUCUAGUACUUCACUUAUAUCUUUUAGAGCACGGUGGUGGAUUUGUUUUAUAAAAACUAUUGAUCUCUCAUGCUUCACUUAGAUUAUUUUGAGAUGCUUAAUAGCAUGGUAAUUUGCUUAAAAUCCUAAUAUGCUAGGUAUUCAAAGUUAGUAUAAUUUUCUUAAGAGUGUUUUGAAUACUAAGAGAAGUUUGAUGCUUGAUGAUUGUUUUGAGAUAUGGAGGUAAUAAUAUCAAAGUCGUGCUAGUUGAGUAGUUGUGAAAUUGAGAAAUACUUGUGUUGAAAUUUGCAUGUCCCGUAGCAUGCACAUAUGGUAAACGUUGUGUAACAAAUUUGAAACAUCAGGUGUUAUUUGAUUGUCUUCCUUAUGAGUGGCGGUCGGGGACGAGCGAUGGUCUUUUCCUACCAAUCUAUCCCCCUAGGAGCAUGCGCGUAGUACCGAGGUUUUUGAUCACUUGUAGAUUUUUGCAAUAAGUAUGUGAGUUCUUUAUGACUAAUGUUGAGUCCAUGAAUUAUACGCACUCUCACCCUUCCAUCCUUGCUAGCCUCUUCGGUACCGUGCAUUGCCCUUUCCCACAUUGAGUGUUGGAGCAAACUUCGCCGGUGCAUCCAAACCCCGUGAUAUGAUACGCUCUUUCACACAUAAACCUCCUUAUAUCUUCCUCAAAACAGCCACCAUACCUACCUAUUAUGGCAUUUCCAUAGCCAUUCCGACAUAUAUUGCCAUGCAACUUUCCACCAUUCCGUUCAUCAUGACACAUUCAUCAUUGUCAUAUUGCUUAGCAUAAUCAUGUUGUUGACAUAGUAUUUGUGGCAAGGCCACUGUUCAUAAUUCUUUCAUACAUGUCACUCUUGGUCCAUUGCAUAUCCCGGUACACCGCUGGAGGCAUUCAUAUAGAGUCAUACUUUGUUCUAGUAUCGAGUAGUAAUUAUUGAGUUGUAAAUAAAUAGAAGUGUGAUGAUCAUCAUUAAUAGAGCAUGGUCCCAAAGAGAGAAAAAAGGAAGGGCCAAAAAAGGCCAAAUAAAAAAUAUAAAAAAGGGGGGCAAUGCUACUAUCCUUUUUUCCACACUUGUGAUUCAAAGUAGCACUGUAAUCUUCAUGAUAGAGAGUAUCUUGAUUUGUCACUUUCAUAUACUAGUGGGAAUUUUUCAUUAUAGAACUUGGCUUGUAUAUUCCAACAAUGGGCCUCCUUAAGUGCCCUAGGUCUUCGUGAGCAAGCAAGUUGGAUGCACACCCACUUAGUUUCUUUUGUUGAGCUUUCAUACAUUUAUAGCUCUAGUGCAUCCGUUGCAUGGCAAUCCCUACUCCUUGCAUUAACAUCAAUCGAUGGGCAUCUCCAUAGCCCAUUGAUUAGCCUCGUUGAUGUGAGACUUUCUCCUUUUUGUCUUCUCCACAUAACUCCACUCAUUAUAUUCUAUUCCACCCAUAGUGUUAUGUCCAUGGCUUGCAAUCAUAUAUUGCGUGGAAGUUUAUAGGUUUGAGAUCACUAAAGUAUGAAACAAUUGCUUAGCUUGUCAUCGGGGUUGUGCAUGAUGAGAGCGUUGUUGUGUGACAAAAAUGAAGCAUGACUAAACUAUAUGAUUUUGUAGGGAUGAACUUUCUUUGGCCAUGUUAUUUUGAGAAGACAUAAUUGCUCAGUUAGUAUGCUUGAAGUAUUAUUAUUUUUAUGUCAAUAUGAACUUUUGUCUUGAAUCUUUCGGAUCUGAAUAUUCAUAUCACAAUUAAGAAGAAUUACAUUAAAAUCAUGCUAAGUAGCACUCUGCAUCAAAAAUUCUGUUUUUAUCAUUUACCUACUCGAGGACGAGCAGGAAUUAAGCUUGGGGAUGCUUGAUACGUCUCCAACGUAUCUAUAAUUUUUGAUUGCUCCAUGCUAUAUUAUCUACUGUUUUGGACAAUAUUGGGCUUUAUUAUCCACUUUUAUAUUAUUUUUGGGACUAACCUAUUAACCGGAGGCCCAGCCCAGGAUUGCUGUUUUUUGCCUAUUUUAGGGUUUCGAAGAAAAGGAAUAUCAAACGGAGUCCAAACGGAAUGAAACCUUCGGGAACGUGAUUUUCUCAACGAACAAGACCCAGGAGACUUGGACCCUCCGUCAAGACACAAAAGAGGAGGCCACGAGGUAGGGGGCGUGCCUACCCCCCGGGCGCGCCCUCCACCCUCGUGGGCCCCCUGUUGCUCCACCGACGUACUCCUUCCUCCUAUAUAUACCUACGUACCCCCAAAUGAUCAUAUACGGAGCCAAAACCCUAAUUACACCGCCGCAACAUUUUGUAUCCACGAGAUCCCAUCUUGGCGCCUGUUCCGGAGCUCCGCCGGAGGGGGCAUCGAUCAUGGAGGGCUUCUACAUCAACACCAUAGCCUCUCCGAUGAAGUGUGAGUAGUUGACCUCAGACCUACGGGUCCAUAGUUAUUACCUAGAUGGCUUCUUCUCUCUUUUUGGAUCUCAAUACAAUGUGCUCCCCCUCUCUUGUGGAGAACUAUUCGAUGUAAUCUUCUUUUUGUGGUGUGUUUGUUGAGACCGAUGAAUUUUGGGUUUAUGAUCAAGUCUAUCUAUGAAUAAUAUUUGAAUCUUCUCUGAAUUCUUUUAUGUAUGAUUGGUUAUCUUUGCAAGUCUCUUCGAAUUACCCGUUUGGUUUGGCCUACUAGAUUGAUCUUUCUUGCAAUGGGAGAAGUGCUUAGCUUUGGGUUCAAUCUUGCGGUGUCCUUUCCCAGUGACAGUAGGGGCAGCAAGGUACGUAUUGUAUUGUUGCCAUCGAGGACAACAAGAUGGGGUUUUCAUCAUAUUUUAUGAGUCUAUCCCUCUACAUCAUGUCAUCUUACUUAAGGCAUUAAUCUGUUUUUAACUUAAUACUCUAGAUGCAUGCUGGAUAGCGGUCGAUGAGUGGAGUAAUAGUAGUAGAUGCAGGCAGGAGUCGGUCUACUUGUCUCGGACGUGAUGCCUAUAUACAUGAUCAUACCUAGAUAAUCUCAUAACUAUGCUCAGUUCUGUCAAUUGCUCAAUAGUAAUUUGUUCACCCACCGUAGAAUACUUAUGCUCUUGAGAGAAGCCACUAGUGAAACCUAUGGCCCCCGGGUCUAUCUUUAUCAUAUUAAUCUCCUACUACUUAGUUAUUUCCUUUGCUUUUUUACUUUGCCUUUAUUUUACUUUGCAUCUUUAUCACAAAAAUAAAAAUAUCUUUAUCAUAUCUAUCAAAUCUCACUCUCGUAAGUGGCCGUGUAGGGAUUGACAACCCCUAUUCACGUUGGUUGCGAGGAUUUAUUUGUUUUGUGCAGGUACGAGGGACUGGCGCAUAGCCUCCUACUGGAUUGAUACCUUGGUUCUCAAAACCUAAGGGAAAUACUUACGCUACAUUGCUGCAUCAUCCCUCACUCUUCGGGGAAAACCAACGCAGUGCGCAAGAGGUAGCAAGGGUUCCUUUUUGUCGACGAUCUGAUGUUUCAACCUUGUUUUCCAGGCGGCCAACGCAUCGCUCAACUUGGUCAUGGCGUGUUUGUUUAUCUUCGUCAUUGCCAGGUCCUUAUCUGGAUCUUUAUUAUCCUUUUCAUUACGGUCCGGGAACAAGAAUAUCUGGUGCAGCUUCUUUAGGAGGGAGGGCCUCUGGUGCAGCUUCUAUAGUUUCCCAUCGUUGAUCAUGGCAGUUGUCCGUACAAUGCAACCUAUUUGAUUGCCGUAGCACGAUUGCGCUUCCUCGGGUGCUAUUGUCUCAAAAAUACCGUCGUCCAUCUCCGUGACCACCAGUCUAGUACUCAUGAGCUGGUUUAGGCGUCGUGGCCUCUUUGCUUUCGGUUCUAGACUAACUCCGCUAGUCUCGGCGCUGGUCUCAGUCUCAUCGCCGGUCUGCAUGUCGGUAUCAGUCCCUGAUGCGACAACACAGUCGCUGCAACAUGGGUAAGGGAGACCACAUCAGUGCUGGGGGGUCCGAAAAUCGGGACACACUUUCGCGCGUCGCGGGCCGCCUCUCAGACAGCUACUGGGGAGGCGGCGGAGUACCUGGGUGCGCCGCGAAUCCCCGGGAACUCGGUGACCAACUUCCUUCCCGUGUGGCGCAUGGAGACGACAGCGACCCCGGCGAAGAGUAGCUUAGCCGCGAGCUGCACAGCCUCGUCCACCUCCUAAGUUGGGACCUCCGCGCAAGCGUUGCGGGGCCGCCGCUCGGGUGGCUUCUGGAAGGCGGUUGUACAUGGGCACAGGGUGAAUCCCGACUAGAGCUGGCCAUUGGCGCGCGCAAGUAGACGACGACGUCCCCGACGAAGAGCUGCCCGGCCAGCUCGCCUCACUCUCCUUUGAUUAGAAAUGAAAGAUUGGGAAGAAGCAGACUUGAGCCUGCAGAGAAAGGAUAAGGUGACGAUGCAGUCUCCACUCGUUCGGGGCGACACGCGUACUGAAUGUAUGAGAAACGUGACGUGGCAGAGACCCCAAGAUACUCCCUCCAUUUAUUUUUAGUCUGCAUAUAAAGUUUGGUCAAAGUCAAGAUUUGUAAAUUUUAACUAACUUUAUAAUAAAAAAAUAUCAAUAUUCACAAUAUGAAAUCAAUAUUACCAGAUGCGUCAUGAAAUGUAUUUCCAUACUAUAAAGUUUUGGUAUUGUAGAGGCACUCUUCCAUAUAAUGAAGUUUAUAAUAUAUGUGCUUAUAUUGUACUACAAUUGUUUGAAUAGCUUAGCAUAUGUUCAGAUGUAUGAUAUCUGUAAUUUAAGCGCUUGAAUUUUACAUAUAAAUAUUUAUUAAUAAAUAUGUACCCCUAUAAUAGCUAGGCCGUGCAGUUGCACGGGUAGAUGACUAGUGAUUACAAUCUUGUUUGUGUGCAAGUCAAGCUUAUCUAGUUUACACGUAACAACUUGUAGAACAUUACAAAAUUUAUGCUUGCUAAUAACUUCUAGAACACUACAACACUUGACAUGUAAAAGGAAUUUGACGAGUCAUGGCCUACUAAAGCAAGUUACAUUACUAGUCUUAUCUAUCUUAACAGACCACACAAGAUUACAAACUAAGUACCGUGACAGCCAUACUUAUCUAGUUUAUGCGUAACAAUUUGCAGAAAAUUAGAAACUUAGUUUCAGAAAAAUACGCAAUCUAGAUUAGUGUUUGAGCUGUAAAGUGAAUAAGAUGAGUCAUGCAUGUUAUCACACCUUUUUGGUGGUGGAAUGAUAGUGCAACAACAAGGAACUUUAAUGACCAGUCCAAGAAUACACUUGUAAGUAGUGCCACCAAACAGAACAUUCCAAAUGAUGAUUUUUAGAAGCAUCCAAGCACUUUCCACACAAACAAAUGCCAAUUGUGAAAGAGAUCAUUCCAUGGCAGCUAUAAAUAGCCCCAUAGCAUGACGAUCAUCCUUCCUCAUCCAUCAUUCUCAUUAGUAGAGCGCAUCAUUUAAGCCAAGCAAGCUGUGGUCAAUACAAAUCCACCAUGAAGACCUUUCUCAUCCUUGCCCUCCUUGCUAUCGUGGCGACCACCGCCACAACUGCAGUUAGAGUUCCAGUGCCACAAUUGCAGCCACAAAAUCCAUCUCAGCAACAGCCACAAGAGCAAGUUCCAUUGGUACAACAACAACAAUUUCUAGGGCAGCAACAACCAUUUCCACCACAACAACCAUAUCCACAGCCGCAACCAUUUCCAUCACAACAACCAUAUCUGCAGCUGCAACCAUUUCCGCAGCCGCAACUACCAUAUUCGCAGCCACAACCAUUUCGACCACAACAACCAUAUCCACAACCGCAACCACAGUAUUCGCAACCACAAGAACCAAUUUCACAGCAGCAGCAACAACAACAACAACAACAACAAAUCCUUCAACAAAUUUUGCAACAACAACUGAUUCCAUGCAUGGAUGUUGUAUUGCAGCAACACAACAUAGCGCAUGGAAGAUCACAAGUUUUGCAACAAAGUACUUACCAGCUAUUGCAAGAAUUGUGUUGUCAGCACCUAUGGCAGAUCCCUGAGCAGUCGCAGUGCCAGGCCAUCCAAAAUGUUGUUCAUGCUAUUAUUCUGCAUCAACAACAAAAACAACAACAACAACCAUCGAGCCAGGUCUCCUUCCAACAGCCUCUGCAACAAUAUCCAUUAGGCCAGGGCUCCUUCCGGCCAUCUCAGCAAAACCCACAGGACCAGGGCUCUGUCCAGCCUCAACAACUGCCCCAGUUCGAGGAAAUAAGGAACCUAGCGCUACAGACGCUACCUGCAAUGUGCAAUGUCUACAUCCCUCCAUAUUGCACCAUCGCGCCAUUUGGCAUCUUCGGUACUAACUGAGAAGAAAAUAACUCUAGUACUAGAUAUAUGAAACACCGUUUUCUCAGUCCAUGGUUUGGUCAUUGUAGCGUUGAAAAAAUAAUGUGACAUGCACUAUCAUGUAAGAAUCCGAACUAUACUAGUUCAAACUUGGGAAUAAAAGACAAACACAGGUCUUGUCUACAUAUUUAUGUUGCAUCUAUUUAUAUAUUAAAAGUAAUAUAAGGUGAACCAGGAGCAAGGUAAAUAUGCUAGAAAAUUGCACGUUAAUUAGAAAUUACUAGCCCUCGAUCUGGUAAAUCUUAACAAAUAGAAUUAUCUUCACCGUUAGAUUUAUGUAACAUAUAUAAUGCUCUGGGCCUCCAACGACUGUACGUGACACAUCUGAAUGAACAUAUGUUAAAGAAAAUAUAUUUGGUAAAUGGUGGGCCUGUUUAAAAAGAGAACUCACGUACAUGCACCAACUAAGAAAAACACAUACAUGUAAACGGGAAAAGGAUGAGAUUUUCUCACGUACGUGCUCCCUGGCUCCACCCCGUUGAAAAAAUAUACAUCUGGAGGCCACUUUGUUUCCUCAUCAAAAAAAACUUACGUUAAAAAGAUUGCAUGCAUCCCAGGGAAAAUAGUCAAGAAGAAGUCGGACUUUUCCUUACAAAAACAAGGAACGUGUUAAGUUGACUUCAAAGAAAAAAGGAACAUGUUAAGUUAAAAAAAACAAGAAACCUGUUAAGUUAGAAAAAAACAGGGAACGUGGUGUCCUAGGAAAGAUAUGUGUCAAAUCUUACAAAAAAAAAGAAUACACACACGUACGUUCAUGCACUUGGAAAAUAGAAGAAAAAAAAGGAAACAUCACGUAUGUAUACACUUCGGAAACUCAUUACAUGACCAUGUCUGAUAUACUCCUCUAAUGCUUAAUAUUAGUGCCUAAUAAUUUAUAUUUGAAAUUUAAUUUACUGAUCAAAUAUCCCCACUGUUUAAAUUUUAAUUUGGCACAUUGUUUGGCUAUAGUAUGAACCUAAAUUUCCUCUUAUUAUUAUAUAUCAUGGUAAUAAUCCAAAGGCGACUAAUCUGCACCGGGGCACCCGCGCAAUCAAUUCGGCUAGACACAGCGCAGCCGUUUGAUUAGAUUGCAUUUAACCGUCAGAUCUGGAAUCGUUUUCUUUCCAAUUAAACAGAUUCAACCAAACAGCAGAGGGGAAAACAAAGCAGCGCCGCCGCCAACACUAGCCAUGGACGACUGAUGUAGCAAAACCUUGAAGAACCGCCGCCGGUCGCCACCCUCGCCGCUGGUCGCAGCCCUCGCCGUCGGUCACCGCCGGUCGCCGCCCUCGCCGCCUGCGUUUCUCAUCGGCUUCAUGCAUGCAACAACAUGCACUCGUGGUUGCAGGCUUGCAUCUCCGGCUCUGGGGGACAUGGCCGCAUCUCCGGUAGCGCCGGCCGCCGGCCGCAGCACCUGUCGUUGUGGUCGCGCUGUACCUCGCCGUGUGCCCUCCCGAGGCUCUUGCUAGUUCCAACAAAAAACGAUACCUGUUGUAGCAAAAAAGUAUCGCUUCCAGCAAAAAAAGCUUACCGCUACAGCCCGCCAUCGUCAUUGUAGCAAAAAUGUUUACCCGAUGUAGCUUCUGUGGUUGCCGAUUGCAGCAAAAAAUGACAUGGUUGUAGCAAAACACAAAAGAAAAACGCCGGCCGGCCGCUGUGUAUGGUGGUAACAAACCCUAUAGCCGGUGGUAGCGAAAAACUUCAUAGUUUGCAGCAAAAAAAAAUGUUGUCACCCGUCGUCGAGGUUGCAUCAUCUUCAAGAAUUAUGUCGCAAAAAAACGUUGUCGCCGGUAGUAGCAAAUGAAGCCGCCGGUAGUAGCAAAACAAGACACUGGUUCCAGCCAAAAAAAAUCAGCGACAGAACCUUUGGUUGGUUCCAACAAAAAAACUUGUUGGUUGUAACAUCCCUCACCGCCGGAUGUAGCAUCUCCCGGGGCUGGUUGCAACACUCCAUAAAAAAAAGUUGUCUAUGAGCGCAUCCAUGGCGACUGUUGCACCGUCAGCAACGAGGGGAAGAGGAGGCAAUGAAAAUCGUUCGAGUCAUAGCUCCACAGGACGCAACUGCAGCAUGGGGAGUCCAAAAAUCUGUCACAAGCAAGAUGCGCCUCGCCAUCCUCCUGCGCAGGAGAGAGAAGAAAAAGGAAUAAGAGGAAGAAGAAAGGAAACGGGAGAAAGAAAAAAGAAACGAUUGAUGGUUGGCUCAGGCAAUUAGUCAAACGAGGGGCACGCGGGGCCGCAGGAUACAGCGCAAUCGAACGAAGCGUGCGCGUCCGGCCGAAGACUCGGCUGGACUGCCGGCUGGAAACGUUUCCCUAAUCCAAAGGCUUUGUCUGAAUGACAAGUCGUCUGGGUUACCGGCUAACUAGAAAAAAGAUAAAUAUGCUAGAGAAUUCCAUAAUAAUUAAAAAUAUCUAGCCUUUAAUUAUGUAAAUCAGAAAAUCACAACCGUUGGAUUUACUUUAAAGGUAAAUUUCUCUAAAUUCCCACCAUUGCCAGUAUGUAGAAACAUGUGCUGCUUCAAUUCUCCCUUAAUCACCAAUCAAUCAACAACACAAAACAUACCUUAGUUAAAAAAAACUGAACAAAAAAAAAGAAAAAAAGAAGAAAGGACAAGAUACACGCAUGUACACGACAGCCUUGGCUUGAAACACAUCAGUAGAUCAAGUGUCCGCCUCCCUUACACAGAAUAAAUUCUAGGGAAGAAAAUAAUAGUGCAACCUAACCUUAUACGUACUAUUCUAUCCUCGAGUCCCAUGUGGUUUACAAGCCUACCGCCGCCGCAUCAUGCCAUCCUCUCCUUUCAGCUCCCAUGCUCUCCAGCACCCUCCUUGCCGCGCCACUACUCGCCUAGGGAUAUUGCUGCUCAGGCCGUGGAGCUUAACCUGCUUCUUCUUCAGCAAAUAUGGAACUGCUUUAGGAUCCUUCUCACAUCAGCACGUAUGGGCCUCAUUAUACUGCAGCUCCUGGACCUCCUACAAUUGGUUGGCUAUGGCCAGUUGAUCGAUGUGCUGAAGUCCAGGUCUGUUUGCUGGCACAUAUGCUUUGGAAAUAGGCCACUAUGUUUGUACUUCAAAAUUGUUUCUGUAUUCUUGAGUGGUACAUCCUUUUAAGCGCCAGUUUUUUAUGUUAAUUCAUGCUGACAACACUUAACCUAGCCUUUUCAUGUUCACGUAAUUGCUCUGCAUGUUCUACAUAGGAAAAUUUGUCAUGUUCUACGAUCGCACCAUCCCACCCUUCUCUCUUGGUAUGGGCGCCAAUUGAGGGAUUGAUAAAACUGAAACGAAGACGUCACAGGGCUGGAAGUACCGCUAGCCUGGUUCGCACUGCAACCUACCCAACGCGAUUGGAGCAGGUGGCUAUGGAGAUUUUACCCAACAUGGGUGGCAGCAUAAUCUCCGGAUCGGUCCACCAACCGUUUCGACAUAGGCAUAUUGUCGGUCUAUAGGACUCUACUGUUGCCGAAUUGUCGGGUUUUUUUCUUAUCAGAUUUUUUAUGUUUGGCUGUGUGCAUCCUAGUUAUGCAGAGGCCGGGUGGUACUCUAAAUGCUUUGUAUCGCUUGAUGCUACAUUUUGAGAUAAUAAAAACGUCCUUUAUCAAAAAAAAAUUGUAAGUACUACCCCUUGCAUGUGCGUACAUACCUUUGUUGCAUUCUCAAACAGAUAGAACAUGUAUGAUCGGUGCAUGGCUAUUUUUCAUCACAUGACAUCCAGAUAACAAGCAUGAAAGGACUACAUUGGAGAUCAAAAAAUAUUGGUUCCUGGCUAGAGUACCACUACCUAUGGACUUGUCUCCAUAGAAUUUGUUCCCAAGAUGUUAUUUUAAUUAACCUCUUUAGAUUUCUUCCAUUGCAAACGGUGAUGUGCAUCAUGGUAUAUACGUGACCAUCUUGCACAUGUAUACACAAGAGGCUCAGACGGAGGUGCUGGAUUCUGGACGAGGGAAUAUGAAGCAGGAGUGAGCGAAGAGUAAAUAAUGGUGGGAGUACCGAUUGGUGUUAUGAAGAAAAAUGCCAUCCAAAGAUUGAUUAGUGUCAUGGAAGAUUAAUUUCUGAAUGUGAAUAUAUAUGUUACAUUGGUUUCCAUCUUUUUGAGAUAAUUGCACCUAAAUUAGGUUCUUUCUUAUUUCAUGUGUAUACCUUAUUUCAGUAAAAGUUCACAACGAACUUAGUAGGACAAAUAUAAUUUUGUUUGUUCUUUCUGUUGUCCGCCACCAAAGCUCAGUUUGAACUCUCUAGAAAUGGACAAUGAUUUAUGCAUUCUAUAUCUUCUUGAUUGAUUAGCCAUGACAAGGAAAUAAAAGGAUUGACUGAUAUAGCAUAACUUUGGAACGAUCUGUUCGUAGAGGUUACUAUAAAUUAGAGUAGUGUCUGUUGGAAUUUUGCUAGUACGCCUUUGGCCCAAAGCCCAACUAAAAUUCUGAAAUUCUCUUGGCUCAUUUAUGCACACAAGUUAGUCCCACCCCGGAAGUUGAGAGAGAGUUGCACCUCUUUAUAAGGUGAGCUCUUCUACCACUUGUAUGAGCAUGAGAAGAGGAGACCUACACGCGCGCUCCUCCUCGCUCGCCCCGCCGCGCCGCGGGUUGCGGGAUUGAGCCGAGCCGAGGACGUUGUCUAUAUUUUUGCUGCUCGGGAAAAAUUAAUGAGUCAUUAAUUAAUAAUUAAUGGACGCGUUAAUUACUGAACCAUUUCCGAUUCUUUUGGAUCGUAACGACUCGGACGUGGGGUUUACUCCCACGACCUACCCGGCCCGCACUAUAUAGUCAGGCAGACGUCUACCCUAGCCGCCGCCGCUUCGUAUGGUUUCUCACCAUCGUUACAGAUCAUUGCGCCACCAAGCAAGUUUUCUCCAUCCCUCCUUUCGGCGUGCACCGGGAGAAGGGACAGCAGGCCUCCGGAACCCCGCCUCUCGUGAUCCUGUACGGGAGAGGGGCGAUCAGGUUUUUGAGGAGCGCACUCGCACGACUGCUGGCAGCGACGACUUCGCGAACGACGACAUCUUCCCCGGCCUCGGCAACCUCAUCCUCGACGACAUGGGCGACAACGUCAACGCCGGCGGUGCUACACCCACUACACCGUAUGUUAUUCUAUCCUUCUUGUUCGAGAUCGUGGUAGAAUUCAUAUUUCUAGUAUAUGUGCUAUAGAUGUGAUCUGUUCAUCUACUAUGCUAGUUCGCAUGAUUAGUUUAAUCUCUGCUAUUGCUGUCAUGAUCUAUUUCCUAUUUAUUCGGAUUAAAUCUCGUAGUAAUUGGCUCAUUUUUCCAACAAUCCAAAAACCUGAUUAUAGGCAAUUUACUCCGAGUGGUUUUACUGCGCAUCUAAAAGCCGCCUGCCUUUAAGGGGGCGUAAUAUAAGAGGUGGCGCACCAGAGCAGUCUACUGGUUUCAGAUCAUGGGCUGCUAUGAUGCCACCAAGGGCAAGCCUGAGGGCGAUCUUAAUCCAGCACAGCUGGAAGCUUUCAAGGAGAUCAAUACCCUCUUUAAAGGCACUCUUCUGAGUGUUCUUGAUGACUCCAUUGUAGAUUCGUAUAUGUCAUUUGACAACGGCAAGAACAUGUGGGCUACGCUCGAGUCCAAGUUUGGUGCCUCAGACGCCGGCAGCAAGUUCUACGUCAUGGAGCAAUUCUAUGACUCCAAGAUGACUGAUGAGCGCCCUAUUGUACAGCAGGCUCAUGAGAUACAUUCGCUCGCAAAAGAACUUGAGUACUUCAAGUGUGUGUUGCCGGACAAAUUUGUUGCCGGAGGCAUCAUUGCCAAGCUUCCACCUUCGUGGAACAAUUUUGCUACUUCCCUGAAACACAAGAGACAGGAGUUUUUCAUUGCGGAUCUCAUUGGUACUCUUGAUGUUGAAGAGAAGGCGAGAGCAAAGGAUACACGUGCUCGAGUUGCUGAGGGAGGUUCUAGUGCCCACAUGGUACAGAAGAAGAACUUCCAGCCCAACAAGUUCAAAAACAACAAGAACAAAACUUAGGGCAAAGGCAAGUUUGAUACAAAGAACAAGCCAUCACAUUCUACCAACUUCAAGAAGAACUCUCAUAAGAAGGGGAAGGGACUUUGCCAUGUCUGCGGUGAUCCUAAUCACUGGGCUCCGAAGUGUGCUAACCGCUUUGAGGAGCGCGAAGAUGAGAAGAGCCGCAAGUCCGCUAAUGUUAUCAUCGGUGAUACUGAUAUGAAGGAAUCAGGGUACGGUAUUUUUCCUACCAUCCUUUCAGUAUUCCAAACCCCUGAUUCGUUAAUUGACACCGGUGCCAAUGUACAUGUUUGUGCUGAUGCCUCCAUGUUUUCUUCUUACCAGGCCACUGGGACUUCUCCCGUGCUAUUGGGGAACGGGUCACAUGCCAUCGUUCGAGGUGUUGAUACGGUCGAUCUGAAGUUUACUUCAGGGAAGACCGUGCGUCUGAAGAACGUUCAUCAUGUGCCGUCCAUCAAUAAAAAUCUCGUUAGCGGUUCCCGUUUAUGUCGAGAUGGUUUUAAGUUGGUUUUCGAAUCCAAUAAAGUUGUAAUUUCUAAGUAUGGACAAUUUGUUGGAAAAGGCUAUGAGAGCGGAGGCUUGUUUCGCCUGUCUUUGUCAGAUAUUUGCACUAAAGUUAUUAAUAAUGCUUGCCACAACAAUGAGUCUGAUAUUUGGCAUUCACGACUUUGUCACAUUAACUUUGGUUGCAUGACGCGGCUAGCCAAUAUGAAUUUAAUUCCGAAAAUCUCUACUAUCAAAGGCUCUAAGUGCCAAGUAUGUGUGCAAGCUAAGCAACCUCGCAAGUCCCAUAAGACUGCAGAGGCAACAGACUUGGCGCCACUAGAGCUUAUACAUUCUGAUAUUUGUGAGAUGAAUGGCGUGUUGACAAAAGGUGGAAAGAGAUACUUCAUGACGUUGAUUGAUGACUCCACUAGAUAUUGUUAUGUGUAUCUUGUGAAAUCAAAAGAUGAGGCUUUGGCUUUCUUCAAAAACUAUAAAGCUGAGGCAGAAAACCAACUUGAUCGAAAAAUUAAACGGCUUAGGUCCGAUCAUGGUGGCGAGUAUUUUUCCAAUGAAUUUGAUCUGUUUUGUGCGGAACAUGGUAUAAUCCAUGAGAGGAUGCCUCCCUACUCACCCCAGUCAAAUGGGGUAGCCGAAAGAAAGAACCGAACUCUAACUGAUAUGGUUAACACCAUGUUAGACACUUCGGGUCUAUCCAAGGAAUGGUGGGGGGAGGCGCUAAUGACUGCGUGUCAUGUCCUAAACCGAGUUCCCACAAAGCAUAAGACCAUGACUCCAUUUGAGGAAUGUGAAAGGAAAAGGUUGAAACUCUCUUACCUAUGUACUUGGGGUUGUUUGGCAAAAGUCAAUAUAUCAAUUCCCAAGAAGCGCAAGCUUGGACCAAAAACCGUGGAUUGUGUUCUUCUUGGCUAUGCUUUUCAUAGCAUCGGCUAUAGAUUUUUGAUAAUAAAAUCUGAGGUAUCCGACAUGCAUGUUGGUACGAUUAUGGAGUCGAAUGAUGCAACUUUCUUUGAGGACAUAUUUCCUAUGAAGGAUAUGUCGAGUUCAUCAAAUCAGGAGACACCUACUCCAUCUAGUGAGGAGUUCACUGCAAUUCCUAAACCCAUCAUUGCGAUGGAAUACGUUGAGAAUCCUGUUGAGGGUGACAAUGGAACUCCUGUGAGGAGUAAGAGACAUAGGGCUACAAAGUCCUUUGGUGAUUAUUUCAUUAUGUACCUCGUGGAUGACACACCCAGGACUAUUUCAGAAGCCUGUGCAUCUCUUGAUGCUGACUACUGGAAGGAAGCUGUACGUAGCGAGAUGGAUUCCAUCUUAGGUAACGGAACCUGGGAGAUCACUGACCGUCCUUAUGGGUGAAAACCUGUAGGAUGUAAGUGGGUGUUCAAGAAGAAGCUUAGACCUGAUGGUAUGAUUGAAAAGUAUAAGGCACGGCUUGUGGCCAAGGGUUAUACCCAGAAAGAAGUUGAAGACUUCUUUGAUAGUUACUCACCCGUGGCUAGACUGUCCACAAUUCGGGUGCUACUAUCACUUGCUGCCUCACAUGGUCUUCUCGUUCAUCAAAUGGACGUUAAGACAACUUUCCUCAAUGGAGAGUUGAAGGAGGAAAUUUACAUGGAUCAGCCAGAUGGUUUUGUAGUACCUGGUUAGGAAGGAAAGGUGUGCAAGUUAUUAAAGUCUUUAUAUGGCCUUAAACAAGCUCCUAAAGAGUGGCAUGAGUAGUUCGAAAGAACAUUAACUACUGCCGGCUUUGUAGUAAACGAUGGUGACAAGUGCGUGUACUAUCGCUAUGGUGGGGGCGAAGGAGUUAUUCUUUGUCUGUAUGUCGAUGACAUAUUGAUCUUUGGAACCAAACUUGAUUUAAUCAAGGAGGUUAAGGAUUUCUUAUCUCGCUAUUUUAAGAUGAAGGAUCUAGGAGUAGCUGAUGUUAUCUUAAACAUCAAGCUGUUGAGAGAUGAGAAUGGUGGGAUCACACUGCUUCAGUCUCACUAUGUGGAAAAGGUCUUGCUUCGUUUUGGGUAUAGCGACUGCACACCUUCUCCAACUCCAUAUGAUGCUAGCGUGUUGCAUCGAAAGAAUCGAUGGAUUGCUAGAGAUCAACUAAGGUAUUCUCAUAUUACUGGCUCGCUUAUGUAUUUGGCGAGUGCCACGAGGCCUAACAUCUCGUUUGCUGUUAGCAAGCUGAGUCGGUUUGUGUCAAAACCGGGAGAUGAUCAUUGGCAUGCGCUUGAGAGAGUUAUGCGCUAUUUGAAAGGCACCGCGAGCUAUGGGAUUCACUACACCGGGUAUCCAAGGGUACUGGAGGGUUAUAGUGACUCAAACUGGAUAUCUGAUGCUAAUGAGAUUAAGGCCACAAGUGGUUAUGUUUUUACACUUGGUGGUGGCGCUGUUUCUUGGAAGUCCUGCAAGCAGACCAUCUUAACGAGGUCAACUAUGGAAGCAGAACUCACAUCAUUAGAAACUGCCACUGUUAUAGAAGAGUGGCUUCGUGAGCUCUUGAUGGACUUACCUAUGGUUGAAAAACCAAUACCCCCUAUCCCGAUGAACUGUGAUAAUCAAACUGUGAUCGUCAAGAUAAACAGUUCUAAGGACAAUAUGAAGUCCUCAAGGCAUGUGAAGAGGAGACUGAAAUCUGUCAGAAAAUUGAGGAACUCCGGAGUUAUUAUGUUGGAUUAUAUCCAAACGUCAAAAAAAUUAGCAGAUCCCUUCACAAAGGGUCUAUCACGUAAUGUGAUAGAUAAUGCAUCGAUGGAGAUGGGUCUGAGACCCACCGCAUGAGUUGUCCAUAGUGGUAACCCACUCUAUGUGAUCGGAGAUCCCGUGAAGUAGAAGUGGGAGACAAGUUGUUGGUCAGCUGGGAGGAGAGUAUCCCUAUAUUACCUAUCCCACUUCAUGAAGAUGCAAUACUCUCCUAAUCUGCAUGGCAGGUUGAUACUUAUCUUAAUGUGUUCCAAGUGGCUUAUUCGGGUAAGCAGAGAUGUUGUCCUGCAGAACAUCUUCUAAGAAACACAUCUAUAUGAAUUUGACUGUUAACAUUGCAGUCUGUGAGAAUUGGGUGUUCUCUAAUAAAUUCAUGAAAAGGCCCUGGAAUAUGACGUAUACACUCCACCCGCGGGGAAGCCUUGCGGCAGCCCAGUAUCGGUCAAGAAUUUAUGUGAAACUAGUCUCGCAGAAAAUUUUUAGUUCAAGGCAUAGUCCACUAUUCAAGUUGUGAUCUAGUGUAGCAUAAAUCUCUAAGUGGAAGUUAAACUUCACAGUCUCCACUAAGCCCUGGUAUAUAAACAAUGUUUUGGAACUAAAUGAUGAGAUGUGCCCAUGAGACUUUGUGGGGGAUUGUUGGAAUUUUGCUAGUAGGCCUUUGGCCCAAAGCCCAACUAAAAUUCUGAAAUUCUCUUGGCCCAGUCAUGCACACAUGUGAGUGGAGUGAGUGAGACUAAAGUUUAGUCCCACCCCGGAAGUUGAGAAAGAGCACAUCUUUAUAAGGUGAGCUCUUCUACCACUUGUAUGAGCAUGAGAAUAGGAGACCUACACACGCGCUCCUCCUCCUCGCUCGCCACACCACGCCUCGUCACGACGCGCCGGCCGUGGGUUCGGGAUUGAGCCGAGCCGAGGACAGAGCUAUGCACAUUGUCUAUUUUUUGCUACCCCGGAAAAAUUAAUGAGUUAUUAAUUAAUAAUUAAUGGACGCAUUAAUUACUGAACCGUUUCCGAUUCUUUUGGAUCGUGAUGACUCGGACGUGGGGUUUACUCCCACGACCUACCUGGCCCGCACUAUAUAGUCGGGCAGACGUCUACCCUAGUUGCCGCCGCUUCGUAUGGUUUCUCACCACUGUUCCAGAUCAUUGCGCCGCCAAGCAAGUCUUCUCCAUCCCUCCUUUCGGCGUGCACCGGGAGAAGGGACAGCAGGCCUCCGGAAUCCCGCCUCUCGUGACCCUGUACGGGAGAGGGGCGAUCAGGUUUUUGGGGAGCGCACUCGCGCGACUGCUGGCAGCGACGACUUCGCGAAUGACGACUUCUUCCCUGACCUCGGCAACCUCAUCCUCGACGACAUGGGCGACAAUGUCUACGCCGGCGGUGCUGCACCCGCUGCACCAUAUGUUAUUCUAUCCUUCUUGUUCGAGAUCGUGGUAGAAUUUAGAUUUCUAGUGUGUGCCCUAGAUGUGAUCUGUUCAUCUACUAUGCUAGUUCGCAUGAUUAGUUUAAUCUCUGUUAUUGCUGUCAUGAUCUAUUUCCUAUUUAUUCGGAUUAAAUCUCAUAGUAAUUUGCUCAUUUUUCCAACAGUGCCAUCUAAUAGAUGAUGUAAAUCUCCUCAAGUUUGACGUUGUUGAGCUAAUUUACAAAAAAAAACUCAUCAUUAUUGGACGUCCUUAACAGCUCAAGAACAAGUUGGGGUCGAACUAAUGGAUUUUAAACUUUUACAUAAAAGGUUUAGCUAAAGCUAGCAGGUUUUUUUAAACCUGAAUUUUUUUCCUCCUGAAUUUCUUUGUAUUUUCUUAUUGACACUAUUUAUACAAUCAUCUGACAAAGAUUAGCUAAAGCUGUUUGUAGAUACGUUGAAACCUGAAAAGCUUCUUUGGUUAUCCUUUUAAUAGUUCUACGUUUAUUUUCUCAUAGGUCUUAAUUCUUAUGUAAUACCAAGAUGCAUUGUGGUAGUGUACAUGUGUUAAAUUCAGGUUGUUAUUCACAAUUUGCGACAAAAUUUAGCUCACGCUACAUUUAAAUAUGUUGAAAUGUGAAAGCUCUUUUUCUUCUCCUUUCUACACCUUGCAUCGGAUUGCAUCCCUUUAGUUAUCCAACAUUUUGUACAACAUGUAGAGAUUAGGAAGUUCAUCAUAGUUUGUCUAUUUCCGUGCAAAUAAAUGUAUGAAAUCUGCAUUUCCAAGCUACUAGGACAAGUAAAAAAUAAUAAUUUUACUAUAGGAUUCAAAAACAGCAGUUCUGAAGUGCACUUUAUUUAUUUGUGAAAGUGAUCACAUUUUGUUUCAUUUUUCUAUAGACAAAUCUACUAAUACAUACUCACGAUAAAACUAUAAAAGUUCUAGUCCGCACAUUGGGCGGGCCACCCGGCUAGUUAGUCUAAAGAUAACAAAAUGAGUCUGGUGUUUGAAUUAAAUUGAAGUAUUUUCUUGGACUUUCAAAUUGAGUAUUAUUAAAGUAGUAAGGACUAUUCACAUCCUUGGCUUGCCCCUGAUCAAUUAUUUCCAGAGAAGCAUUCAAUUCAUCAAUCAAUUACAUUGAUUUUAGUGGCUGGUACUUCUCCUCAACAUCAGUAUAUUCACCGUGGCCACUCCAAAUCGGCAAGAAUGAGGUACCAGUGCUCUGGAGCAGUGCAAGCUAAUUGCUUCUCAUGUGAAGGGGUGCGGGCGCAGGAGAGGUAUUUCUGGUGGGCCAAGGGACUAAGAAGCGACCGUGGCAGCGGUACAGACGCCCGCAAAGCCCCAUAGUUUGUUUUUGGUUUACAGGAAAAAUGCACAUCCAUACCGGCCUGGGGAAUAUAGGACCGUAUUGGAUGGAAAACCAUGUCCGGAUGGUUGCGAGCGGUUUGAGGGUUAGCUUUUGUAACGCCCGGUUAGUUAUGCUAUAGCAAUUCCCUGCUAAUGAUGUCACGUCACCACGAUUACUGUUGUUAACCUCACAAUGAUUCAAUCCCCUUCAAAUUCAAAUUUAAAAUAAAGGCAAACAUAAAAAGUUUUCAAACAUUAAAACUAAAAUCUUUGAGAGGUGACAAAUAAUGCAUAAGUAAUUAUGAUGGAGAAACCACACUUUAAUCAAAUGUUUAAAUACUCUAAAAUGAAAAAAAACAGUGGCUUAAACUAUUAUUUAAAUGCUUUUAAAAUAGUAAAAAUCUUCUAACUAAAUUAUUUGGGUACCAAACUUUUGGUGGCAGUGGUAUAUUUAGUAGAACUAAUUUAGAUGCUAAUUAUAUAAUUUACAAAAUUAGAGUAAAUUGAAAAAUAGGAUAAAACGGAAAAGGAAAGACAAAACAAUAAAAGCAAAAGGGGGCAACCCCUUGCUGGGCCUCGGCCUAGCUGGCCACUAGGCUAGCUAGGCUGGCCCCGCCGCCUCCCUUNNNNNNNNNNNNNNNNNNNNNNNNNNNNNNNNNNNNNNNNNNNNNNNNNNNNNNNNNNNNNNNNNNNNNNNNNNNNNNNNNNNNNNNNNNNNNNNNNNNNNNNNNNNNNNNNNNNNNNNNNNNNNNNNNNNNNNNNNNNNNNNNNNNNNNNNNNNNNNNNNNNNNNNNNNNNNNNNNNNNNNNNNNNNNNNNNNNNNNNNNNNNNNNNNNNNNNNNNNNNNNNNNNNNNNNNNNNNNNNNNNNNNNNNNNNNNNNNNNNNNNNNNNNNNNNNNNNNNNNNNNNNNNNNNNNNNNNNNNNNNNNNNNNNNNNNCAUCUGGAUCGGGGAGGGUAUUGCCCCCAUUGUCCCCGUUGCCGUCGCCGGAUCGCCCGCCGACGUUGCCAGGCCUCCUCCCCGCCGCCCGUCUCCGGCUGACCUCCCCUCUUGCUCCUCUUCCCCGACCCGAUCUGGAUCGUGAACGAGCAAUGAGCUCGAAGCCCCCCUUCACCGGCGCCAUCACCGUGCGCCACCACCACCGCCUGAAGACCUCACCGUCGCCGAACCUUGCGUCGCCUCCUCGUAUCCCUCCCCUACUCGCGUCCUCAAGCCAGGCCGAGCCCCUUCUCGGCAACGCUGUGAGACGCCCCCGUUUCCCUCCUCUUUCCAGCGCGUUCAUCGCGCUGCCUGCCGUGCCCCUCGUCGUGCGCACGCCCACCACCGCACCAGCCCCCGCUCCGCGCACGACCCUACCCGCGCCCGCGCCAUGAUCCCCUUUUCCGCCCUACCUUCCCGCGCUCGCCGCGAUCCUGAUGCUCCCCCGCGCCCUCUUUCGGGGGCGCCGACUGCCCCUGUCCCGGUGCUCGCCGCCGUGCCUCGCCACCGCUCUACUGCUACGUUACUACUGCGCUGCGGCCGCCGCCUCUUCCCGCUGCUCCGCUAGCGCCGAAGCUCCCGGUUGGCUCCACCACUGCUCACGUUAAACCGCCGGCCUAAAUGGCCUAACCCCCGGCUAAUGAACCCCCACUAACCCACUGACACCGGGACCCACAUUCCCUAAUUAACCAUUUAAUAAAUUAAAACUCUUAAAUUAACAUUAGUGUAUGACAUGUGCUUCCCCUGUUAAUUAAUAAUUUUACUGCUAGUUUUAUUAGUUUCUGUUUUUUCUGCAUAUUUCUUUUGUAUUUGAACAGGCUUUAUACAAUAAUAUUUAGCGUAUCAUACACAUACAAAUGUAAUCAUAGCAUAUACAUACAAAUAGUCUCAUCAAAUAAUGUCAUCAUCAUAAUCAUCAUCCAUCACAAAGUGGUCUCUCGUCAUCAUCUCGAAAAUAGCGAUACAAGUCUCGAUUACUUGCAACUACAUCGUCAUCCAUCUAAACAAUGAUAUACGCGAGAAGAGCUAUCACUAUGAGUGAGAGUGGAACUAUGCAGUACAUGAGUUUGUAUCCCUCUCUCACAUUAGCGUGAACCUAAACUAACUACUGGCUAUUGCUCGGAAACCGGAAACCGGUACACCUGGGCCUGACACUCCGGCCACUCAUCGUAUACUCCUGGCGUAGCACUUCUUCGCCAUCUAUGAUCUAUGCACCUGCAUCGUCACAUGAGUCGAUGAUAUGCAACAUAUAUAGUUGAGCAACAGAAAGAGAUAGACUUGGCAAAAAUAGAAGCAACAUAUCAUAAGCAUAAAUAACAAAGUUCAUCAUACGCAAAAUGCCCUAACUAGAGUGAUCUUCGCUAGUCGAGGAGGACGGUUUAAUUACAUCACAAAUAAUGUUUCGUCGUGCAUAACUCAAAGUUCCGUCAUACAGAAAGUAUGAACUAAAUGGACACAUUGUCAUAUUUCGAAAAUCACUCCAACAUGUCGUGCCAUCCAUCCAAGUCAAGGAGAUAGUACCCGAGCUUAGUGAAAGGCUUUAGGUCAAGACGCUGAGCGGCUACGCGUGUUCGGACAUCUUCCCACGACAUUUGUCCUUCAUAGAACAUCCCUGUUUUUUCGACGACCUCCUUCAUCACUGGUAGAAAAAGGGCCUGUUGUCCCGGUUCGUAAGGGCCUGUUGUCCCGGUUCUGGAACCGGGACUAAAGGGUCGGUACUAAUGCCCUGUCCCUUUAGUCCCGGUUCAAUCCAGAACCGGGACAGAUGGGCCUCCACGUGGCCUGUGCGCGGAGCCCAGGCAGGAGACCCUUUGGUCCCGGUUGGUGGCACCAACCGGGACCAAUAGGCAUCCACGCGUCAGCAUUUUUGUGGUUGGGGUUUUUGUUUUUUUGAAAGGGGGGGUGUUGGGGGUCUUGGGGGGUUAAUUUAGGUGUUUCAUAUAUUGUGUUAGCUAGCUAUAAUUAAUAGAGAGAAGUGUCCUCUCUUAUGUCCGUGCUUGGUCGACGCUACGUACUAUACAUACGUAUAGAGAGGACUAGACACGCUAGCUAGCUAGUAAGCAAACGAAGGAAACAGACGAUCGUCAUGAACAUAUAUGCAUACAGAGAGAAGUGAUAUCGAUCACCUCUCCUUCUCCGAGAGAUUGGUCGAACAACAAGUUCUCGUAUAUCUAUCCGACACUACCGGCUACAUAUAUACAAUAAUUAUCACUUACAAAUAUAAUCAUACGGACUCAGGGUCCACAUAGUAUUCUCCGUCUUUAGGGAUCACGUGGUCAAGAAAGAAUGCCGCCAAUUCCUCUUGAAUUGCUCGCAUGCGAGCUGGUGCUAGGAGUUCUUCCCGCUUCCGAAACAUCUAAUUCAAAGAAGGGGGUCAAUACAUAUAUAUAUGAAUGAAUGAAACUCAACACAAAUGAUGGUAAUAAAAUAAAAUUGUGAAUGUUGUUAUUUACGUACUUCAUAUUGUUCGUCAGUGUAGCCCCGCUCACAGGUCAUGUGGCGGAUGGACUCGCAAACGUAGUAUCCACAGAAAUCAUUCCCUUGUUCCUGCCACAACCACUUUACAAGAAAUAGAGGUCAAUCAAACUGAUAAGCAAGAAUGCCAAAUGGUAUUGAUGAAACCAGCGCUUGAAUGACUAGUAGAUGCGCGGAACAUGCUACUAUAGUACUUACUUUCGGGUGUCUAAAUUGCAGCUCCUUCGGCAGUCCCGGAGCUUUUCUGGUGAAUUUUCUCCAAACCCUGCCAGACAAAGAAAACAAUUACUUGAUAUAUCAGGAAAUGAACAAAGUUGCUGAUAUGGUGGAUAAUGAUCGAUUUAACUUACUUCUCGAGUAUUUGAGUCAUGUUUGCAUAGUCCUGGGGAUCUUUUCGUCUUGAGUCUAAGACGGUUACUAGUCCCUGCUCAAGCUUAAUCUCUAGGAGAAUAUAGUAGAAACUGCACACGCAUGCAUAACUCAUCAAUUACAUUACUAUAACCUUGACUAAUAUAUAAGGGAAACCGAACACACACAAGACAGUAACACUCACUUGAAGUUGUAAGGAAAGAGUAUUAUAUCUUUGUUUUCAUUUAUUACCAACGAUCGUAGCAAGUUGGCCUCGGUAGCUAUGGCAUGAAAUUUAACCUGAGUUGCAUCUAUGAGAUAUGUGUUAAUGAACCCAAUAUCACCGACUUAUCUUUUCUUCAAUUCGGCGAUCUUCAAUCUGCAUAAUAUAGUGAGGAUGAUUAUAAAUACAUGCAAUGAAAGAGCUGAGCUAUAUAUAGAGACUUAAUGACAGAAGUAGUACUACUUACAGACAGUAGCAGGCGACCGUUGUUUUAUCGAGGGCCAAUUGAUUGAAAAACUGAUAGAACUCCUCAAAUGGAACAGGCAACAGUUCAAUUCCAACGAGGUCAUGCUCCUUUUUAACUUUCACAUACAAAGUACUCCUCCCCCCAGAGUCUUUGCAGAUUUUCAAGUACAAAUCAUGCACUCUUCGCAUCAUCGUUGAUAGAGAUAUUUCAUCUUUGAAGAGAGGCUUCCCGUACUCGUAUCUUUGUAUCUGCACCUUCAGGGGUUCAUAAUGUACAUCGUCGGGCAGGUAAUCUGCAAGAUUGCUAUAACCGGGCACCAUGCUCGGACCAUUAGCGACAUUGUGGCUAGGCACCUUGAGCGGGGGGGACGAUUGCUUCGCUUGUUCGCCGAGUUGGGCAAUUUGUUUCCCAGCUCGUCGUUCUUUCAGCCUUUGAUCACUGACAGUACUUCCCGACCGCUCCGCUUCGGCAAAUUCCUUUCCAAUAAUGCACUCAUAGUUUCCUUUCGGCGGAGACUUGGGUGGUUUUGUCAUGGCAGCCAGAGUGUGCUUCGCUUUCACCGGAUCUACCUUCUCCUCCGGAAGUGGAUGUCUCUUUGCUUUUAACCCUUGAAACUAGUCAUCCACUUCGGUUCGUGCGAUCUCGGCGUUCUCCUCCGGGGUCCUCUCGUAUGGUAACUUCUCUGGAGUCUUCAGAGAAGGGCCGAAUCUAUAUGUCCUCCCGCCUCUGGCUGUACUGCUAGACGCCGGCCGAGCAGACGGAGCGGUUGUCUUCUUUACUUGCUUACGAGGCGGAGGAGAAGGACUAUGAUGCGCCGGAGAAGCCGGAGCGGCGGCAGGUCUCUUCCGCCCUUGCUGACGAGGCGGAGAAGGAGGAGGCUGGCUGCUCGGGCGCGUCAGCGCAGGCGGAGAAGGAGGCGGAGUGCUGCCACGCGCUGGAGAAGGAGCCGGUCGAGUGCCCUGAUCGUCACUCGCCGGAGGAGGAGGCGGUGGAGGAAGCGGAGUGCCCUGACUUGCCGGAGGAGGAGGCGGAGGCAUCCAGUUCGGAAGGUUGAUGAGCUCCUUCCGCCAUAGGCAUGGAGUCUUUAGAGCAGACCCCAGCCUAGUCUCCCCUUCACUGGUAGGGUGGUCAAGCUGGAGGUCCUCAAAUCCCUCCGUUAUUUCAUCCACCAUCACCCUAGCAUAUCCUUCUGGAAUCGGCCGGCAGUGAAAAGUUGCGUCGGGUUCAGUAGGAUAAACAGAGCCAACAGCCGCCUUGACCUUCAAAUUCAUCCAUUGUGUCAUAGUAAUUUCAAAAAUUUCCUACGCACACGCAAGAUCAUGGUGAUGCAUAGCAACGAGAGGGGAGAGUGUUGUCUACGUACCCUCGUAGACCAAAGCGGAAGCGUUGACGCAACAUAGAGGAAGUAGUCGUACGUCUUCCCGGUCCAACCGAUCCAAGCACCGUUACUCCGGCACCUCCGAGUUCUUGGCACACGUUCAGCUCGAUGACGCUCCCCGGGCUCCGAUCCAGCAAAGCUUCGGGGAGGAGUUCCGUCAGCACGACGGCGUGGUGACGAUCUUGAUGUUCAACCGUCGCAGGGCUUCGCCUAAGCACCGCUACAAUAUGACCGAGGUGUAAUAUCGUGGAGGGGGGCACCGCACACGGCUAAGGAACGAUCACGAAGAUCAACUUGUGUGUCUAGAGGUGCCCCCCUGCCCCCGUAUAUAAAGGAGUGGAGGAGGGGAGGGCCGGCCCUCUCUAUGGCGCGCCCUAGGGAGUCCUACUCCCACCGGGAGUAGGAUUCCCCCGUUCCUAGUCCAACUAGGAUUCCUUCCAUGUAGUAGGAGUAGGAGACAAGCAAGGGGAAAAGAGAAGGGAAGGAAGGAGGGGGCGCAGCCCCUCCCCCUACUCCAAUUCGGACUAGGCCUUGGGGGGGCACGGCCUGCCCUAGGCAGCCCCUCUCUCUUUCCCGUAUGGCCCAAUAAGGCCCAAUACUUUUCCCCCGUAUUCCUGUAACUCCCCGGUACUCCGAAAAAUACCUGAAUCACUCGGAACCUUUCCGAUGUCCGAAUAUAGUCGUCCAAUAUAUCGAUCUUUACGUCUCGACCAUUUCGAGACUCCUCGUCAUGUCCCCGAUCUCAUCCGGGACUCCGAACUCCUUCGGUACAUCAAAACUCAUAAACUCAUAAUAUAACUGUCAUCGAAACCUUAAGCGUGCGGACCCUACGGUUCGAGAACAAUGUAGACAUGACCGAGACACGUCUCCAGUCAAUAACCAAUAGCAGGACCUGGAUGCCCAUAUUGGCUCCUACAUAUUCUACGAAGAUCUUUAUCGGUCAGACCGCAUAACAACAUACGUUGUUCCCUUUGUCAUCGGUAUGUUACUUGCCCGAGAUUCGAUCGUCGGUAUCCAAUACCUAGUUCAAUCUCGUUACUGGCAAGUCUCUUUACUCGUUCCGUAAUACAUCAUCCCACAACUAACUCAUUAGUUGCAAUGCUUGCAAGGCUUAAGUGAUGUUCAUUACCGAGAGGGCCCAGAGAUACCUCUCCGACAUUCGGAGUGACAAAUCCUAAUCUCGAAAUACACCAACCCAACAUGUACCUUUGGAGACACCUGUAGAGCUCCUUUAUAAUCACCCAGUUACGUUGUGACGUUUGGUCGCACACAAAGUGUUCCUCCGGCAAAUGGGAAUUGCAUAAUCUCAUAGUCAUAGGAACAUGUAUAAGUCAUGAAGAAAGCAAUAGCAACAUACUAAACGAUCGGGUGCUAAGCUAAUGGAAUGGGUCAUGUCAAUCAGAUCAUUCAACUAAUGAUGUGAUCCCGUUAAUCAAAUAACAACUCUUUGUCCAUGGUUAGGAAACAUAACCAUCUUUGAUUAACGAGCUAACCAAGUAGAGGCAUACUAGUGACACUCUGUUUGUCUAUGUAUUCACACAUGUAUUAUGUUUCCGAUUAAUACAAUUCUAGCAUGAAUAAUAAACAUUUAUCAUGAUAUAAGGAAAUAAAUGAUAACUUUAUUAUUGCCUCUAGGGCAUAUUUCCUUCAGGAAGCCACGCUGCUUCUCCGCUGAGAUGGCGGGGUAGCUUCGGGGGAAGCUUCGGCAGUACAUUUGCUGCGAUUUGCUUCUCGUUCCUCUAUCGCUUGUACCCUUGCUUGCAUCGCCUGCAUUUGGGUCUGCUGCACUUUUUUCCUCCUCUCAUGGGAUUUGUAACCGCCUGCGUCCGGAAACCCAACCUUCCACGGAAUGGAGCCUGGCGUGCCUCGUGUCCGUCCAGGGUGCUCAGGAUUCCCGAGGGCCAUUGUGAGCUCGUCGUUCUCUCUGUCUGGAAAGAACGUCCCUUGCUGCGCUGCUUCGAUAUAGUGCUGAAGCUUCCUGACUGGUAUGUCCAUUUGAUCGUUCGUCCAAAUGCACUUCCCUGUUACAGGGUCCAAGCUUCCGGCAGCCCCGAAGAACCAAGUCCGGCAACGGUCUGGCCAGUUAAUUGUCUCUGGUUCGAUCCCUUUAUCAACUAGAUCAUUCUCAGUCUUGGCCCACUUAGGCCGGGCUACGAGGUAGCCACCUGACCCCGUGCGAUGGUGAUGCUUCUUCUUCGCAGCAUUUUUCUUGUUUGUCACUGACAUCUUCUUACUCUUUUCCGAUGUCUUGUGGGCCACAAAUGCGGGCCAGUGAUCUCUGAUCUUCUCAUAUCUGCCCUUGAACUCUGGUGCCUCAUUAUUUUCGACAAACUUAUUCAGCUCUUUCUUCCACCUCCUGAAUAGUUCUGCCAUCCUCUUAAGAGCAAAAGACUUGAUUAAUUGAUCUUUAACUGGCUUCUCUGGAUUAUCCUCUGGCGGUAGGGUGAAAUUUGACUUUAGCUCAGUCCAAAGAUCAUUUUUAUGCAUAUCAUUGACAUAAGACACCUCAGGGUCUUCUGUAGCCGGCUUAAACCAUUGCUGGAUGCUGAUCGGGAUCUUGUCCCUAACCAAAACCCCGCACUGAGCAACAAAUGCGCUCUUUGUCCAGAGGGGUUCAAUCAGUUGGCCGUCGGGCGUGAUUGCUAUGAUCUCAAACUUUUCAUCCGAGCUCAACUUUUUCUUCGGGCCUCGUCUCUUUACCGAAGUUGUGCUCGAUCCGGAGGGCUAGAAAAAAGAACAAAGAUUUAAUUAAUAUGUGUACAUACCAAAACAAUGAAUGCAUCAAUUAGCUAGUCAGCAGAAGCUUAACUAAUAUAUAUACCUGGCCGGACUCGGUUCGGUCACCGGAGACGUCAUCACGGUCUCCUUCUUGCACCGGCAUUGGGUCACCGGAGCCGUCCUCACGGUCUCCUUCUUGCACCGGCAUUAGCUCACCGGAGCCAUUAUAAUCAGCUGAUUCCAGACCAUCGGUCUCGUUGAGAAACAACGAGCAGAUGGCAUCACUUCCUCGUGCGAUUAUGUGCCCCAACAACUCUUCUUGUACUUCGUCUCGGGCGGUGUCCAUAGUUUCUACAAAUAUUGACAACAUGGCAAUUAUUAUUCAAACAUGAGAGAUGGAUAUAUUAGUGGCAAAAACGUAGAACUAAUAUUAAUUAGUGGCCUCGACGGUGCUUCUCUAGGGUUUGGGGUGGCCUCGACGCUGCUUCUCUAGGGUUUGGGGUGGCCUCGACAACGCUUCAAGGAUAAAAAAAGAAGAGGAAGAAGAAAAAAAAGAGGAGAAGAAAGAAUAGAGGAGUAAGAACUCCUCUAUUCUUUCUUCUCCUCUUUUUUUCUUCUUAUUCCUAUUUUUUUAUCGGGAACAAGGGUCGUCGAGGGUCACCGAGCGAUAGAGGAAACCCUAAAUAGCAAGUAUCGUGGGUGUGAGAUACAUGUGGCCGUCGGUGUCGGACAUUCAUCCACGUCCCACAAGUGACGUGGGCGUCGAAGCCCGCGCCACUUGUGGGACGUGGAUGUAGUGUCCGACACCGAGGGCCACAUGUAUCUCACACCGACGAUACUUUCUAUUUAGGGUUUCCUCUACCGUUCGGCGACCCUGACCCUCGACGACCCUCGUUCCACAAAGGUCGUCGAAACCAUAGAAAGAAUAGAGGUUGCCUAGUGUCAAAGGAUUCAACAAAACCAUGUCUUCAUCAUUAGGCGAAAGUAACAGGUGCAUGAUGGUACGAAGCUCUCCAAAGUUAUUUUGGAACGGAGUCCCAGAUAAGAUAAUUCUCUUUUUGGUACAAAGUUCAGCAAGAACCUUCCAAAUGUCGUUAUUUGGAAGGCCUUUGCUGAAAUUCAUUCAAAAAGGCAAAUUAUCCUAUCCGAGACACCAUUCCAAAAUAACUUUGGAGGACUUCGUCAUGCCCUGGUUACUUCCGGCUAAUGAUGAAGCCAUGGAUUUCUUCAAUACUUUGACACUAGGAAACCUCUCUCGACCCCUCGGCGAUCCUCGACCCCUCGACGACCCUGGAACCCUCGACCCCUAGAUGACCCUAGAACCCUCGACCCUCGAUCCCUCGACCCUCAAUCCCUCGACCCUAUAGAACCCUCGAAGAAAGGAAUAGCUAGAGGAGAAGAUCGAAGAAAAAAAAGAAGAAAAAAAAGAGGAGAAGAAGAAAGGAAGAGUGGAGAAGAAGAGAAAAUAGAAUAUUCUAUUUUCUCUUCUUCUCCACUAUUCCUUUCUUCUUCUCCUCUUCUUUUCCUUCUUUUUUCUUCUUCUUAUUUAUUUCUCCUCUUCUUUUCCUCUCCUCUUCUUCUUUCUUUCCUCUUCUUAUUUUCUUCUUUCAUAUCCUUCUUUUUCUAAAAUUGUAACUUUUGCAUAUAUAAAACUUUUCUAAAAUUGUAACUUUCUAUAUAUGAACAAAAAACUUUCUAUGAACAAAAAAACAUUUUUAACAUAUAUAUCUAGCAAAUUCUAGCCACAUACAUCACAUACACAUAUACAUUGUAGCCACAUACACAUAUACAUCACAUAUGAACAAAAAAAUANNNNNNNNNNNNNNNNNNNNNNNNNNNNNNNNNNNNNNNNNNNNNNNNNNNNNNNNNNNNNNNNNNNNNNNNNNNNNNNNNNNNNNNNNNNNNNNNNNNNNNNNNNNNNNNNNNNNNNNNNNNNNNNNNNNNNNNNNNNNNNNNNNNNNNNNNNNNNNNNNNNNNNNNNNNNNNNNNNNNNNNNNNNNNNNNNNNNNNNNNNNNNNNNNNNNNNNNNNNNNNNNNNNNNNNNNNNNNNNNNNNNNNNNNNNNNNNNNNNNNNNNNNNNNNNNNNNNNNNNNNNNNNNNNNNNNNNNNNNNNNNNNNNNNNNNNNNNNNNNNNNNNNNNNNNNNNNNNNNNNNNNNNNNNNNNNNNNNNNNNNNNNNNNNNNNNNNNNNNNNNNNNNNNNNNNNNNNNNNNNNNNNNNNNNNNNNNNNNNNNNNNNNNNNNNNNNNNNNNNNNNNNNNNNNNNNNNNNNNNNNNNNNNNNNNNNNNNNNNNNNNNNNNNNNNNNNNNNNNNNNNNNNNNNNNNNNNNNNNNNNNNNNNNNNNNNNNNNNNNNNNNNNNNNNNNNNNNNNNNNNNNNNNNNNNNNNNNNNNNNNNNNNNNNNNNNNNNNNNNNNNNNNNNNNNNNNNNNNNNNNNNNNNNNNNNNNNNNNNNNNNNNNNNNNNNNNNNNNNNNNNNNNNNNNNNNNNNNNNNNNNNNNNNNNNNNNNNNNNNNNNNNNNNNNNNNNNNNNNNNNNNNNNNNNNNNNNNNNNNNNNNNNNNNNNNNNNNNNNNNNNNNNNNNNNNNNNNNNNNNNNNNNNNNNNNNNNNNNNNNNNNNNNNNNNNNNNNNNNNNNNNNNNNNNNNNNNNNNNNNNNNNNNNNNNNNNNNNNNNNNNNNNNNNNNNNNNNNNNNNNNNNNNNNNNNNNNNNNNNNNNNNNNNNNNNNNNNNNNNNNNNNNNNNNNNNNNNNNNNNNNNNNNNNNNNNNNNNNNNNNNNNNNNNNNNNNNNNNNNNNNNNNNNNNNNNNNNNNNNNNNNNNNNNNNNNNNNNNNNNNNNNNNNNNNNNNNNNNNNNNNNNNNNNNNNNNNNNNNNNNNNNNNNNNNNNNNNNNNNNNNNNNNNNNNNNNNNNNNNNNNNNNNNNNNNNNNNNNNNNNNNNNNNNNNNNNNNNNNNNNNNNNNNNNNNNNNNNNNNNNNNNNNNNNNNNNNNNNNNNNNNNNNNNNNNNNNNNNNNNNNNNNNNNNNNNNNNNNNNNNNNNNNNNNNNNNNNNNNNNNNNNNNNNNNNNNNNNNNNNNNNNNNNNNNNNNNNNNNNNNNNNNNNNNNNNNNNNNNNNUUUUGUUUCUACUUACAACAAAAUACUUAUUGUUGCUAUUUUUUCCAGUUUUUUUGUUUUGUUUUCUGCAUUUUUUUUGCUUUAUUUUUUUAUUCUUUUUUCUUUUAGUUUUAGAAAAAUUAUAAACUUUCUGUUAGUGCCUUUAUAAACUUUUUGCUUUUAAUUUGAAUUCUUUGAAAAUUGUUUGAAUCACAAGUUUGUGAUUAACUUACUAAAAAAAUGAGAAUAGAUGCGCUUAUAGAGAAAAUUCAACCUAAAUUCCUAGUAAAUUUCUAUGAAUUUCAGAGAAAUUCACUAUGAAUUUAGGUUAAACUUUUCUCUAUUAGGGCAUCUAUUUUCACUUUGAGAGGAGCUCAACAAGGCAGAGAGGGAAGGGCUUAUAAACUGGUGUGAGCCCCCUUCGGUUGGCGAGGUGGGACUAAACUCUGCCUGCAACGACGACCAACCCUUUAGUCCCGGUUUGUGGCACAAACCGGGACUAAUGGUCAUGGGCCAGGGGUGAGGAGCAAAAUUAUAAACUUUCUGUUAGUGCCAUUAGUUUUAGAAAGUUGAAAGUUGAAAGUUGGCAUGGGCCAGGCACUAAUGGUCAUGGUAUUACGAGGGCCGAACCAUAAGACAUGAAAGCAUUUCAAAUGAACUCUGAAAAAGUUGAAAGUUGGCAUGGUAUCAUAAUUUCACCCACAUAGCAUGUGCAUGUACAAAACAGACAAUGGUAGCAUGUUCGUGUGUUACAAAGUUGGCAUGGUAUCAUCAUAAUAGUUGCGGGAGAAAGUCUUCACUUUUUCUUCGCUUGCGUCAUUUGCUUAUUGCGCUGUAAUCAUGGAUAAUCUUCAUUGUUUAUCAGGAUGCUUGGGUCAGCCUUGACAUUGAAGGGAGGAAUUUCAUGAAACUUUUCAUAAUCUUCAGACAUGUCUAUCUUGCCGUCCACUCCCAGGAUGUCCCUUUUUCCUGAAAGAACUAUGUGGCGCUUUGGCUCAUCGUAUGAUGUAUUCGCUUCCUUAUCUUUUCUUUUUCUCGGUUUGGUAGACAUGUCCUUCACAUAGAUAACCUGUGCUACAUCAUUGGCUAGGACGAACGGUUCGUCAGUGUACCCAAGAUUUUUCAGAUCCACUGUUGUCAUUCCGUACUGUGGGUCUACCUGUACCCCGCCGUCUAACAGAUUGACCCAUUUGCACUUAAACAAAGGGACCUUAAAAUCAGGUCCGUAGUCAAGUUCCCAUAUGUCCAUUAUGUAACCAUAAUAUGUGUCCUUUCCGCUCUCGGUUGCUGCAUCAAAGCAGACACCGCUGUUUUGGUUGGUGCUCUUUUGAUCUUGGGCGAUUGUGUAAAAUGUAUUCCCAUUUAUCUCGUAUCCUUUGUAAGUCAAUACAGUCAAAGAUGGUCCCCUGGACAACAAGUACAACUCAUCACAAACAGUGUUGUCACCUCCGAGACGUGUUUCCAAGCAACUACUGAAAGUCCUGAUGUGUUCACAUGUAAUCUAGUCGUUGCACUGCUCCGGGUGUUUGGAGCGCAGACUGUUCUUGUGUUCAUCGACAUACGGGGUCACCAAGGUAGAGUUUUGUAGAACUGUGUAGUUUGCUUGAGACCAAGAAUAUCCGUCCCUGCAUAUUAUUGAGUCUCUUCCAAGAGUGCCUUUUCCAGUCAGUCUCCCCUCAUACCGCGAUUUAGGGAGACCUAUCUUCUUAAGGCCAGGAAUGAAGUCAACACAAAACCCGAUAACAUCCUCUGUUUGAUGGCCCAUGGAGAUGCUUCCUUCUGACCUAGCGCGGUUACGGACAUAUUUCUUUAGGACUCCCAUGAACCUCUCAAAGGGGAACAUAUUGUGUAGAAAUACGGGCCCCAGGAUGACAAUCUCGUCGACUAGAUGAACUAGGACGUGCACCAUGAUAUUGAAGAAGGAUGGUGGGAACACCAGCUCGAAACUGACAAGACAUUGUGCCACAUCACUCCUUAGCCUUGGUACGAUUUCUGGAUCGAUCACCUUCUGAGAGAUUGCAUUGAGGAAUGCACAUAGCUUCACAAUGGCUAAUCGGACGUUUUCCGGUAGAAGCCCCCUCAAUGCAACCGGAAGCAGUUGCGUCAUAAUCACGUGGCAGUCAUGAGACUUUAGGUUCUGAAACUUUUUCUCUGGCAUAUUUAUUAUUCCCUUUAGAUUCGAUGAGAAGCCAGUCGUGACCUUCAUACUAAGCAGGCAUUCAAAGAAGAUUUCUUUCUCUUCUUUCGUAAGAGCGUAGCUGGCAGGACCUUUAUACUGCUUCGGAGGCAUGCCGUCUUUUUCGUGCAAACGUUGCAGUUCCUCCCGUGCCUCGGGUGUAUCUUUUGUCUUCCCAUACACGCCCAAGAAGCCUAGCAGGUUCACGCAAAGGUUCUUCGUCACGUGCAUCACGUCGAUUGAGGAGCGGACCUCUAGGUCUUUCCAGUAGGGUAGGUCCGAAAAUAUAGAUUUCUUCUUCCACAUGGGUGCGUGUCCCUCAGCGUCAUUCGGAACAGCUAGUCCACUGGGACCCUUUCCAAAGAUUACGUAGUGUAAAUCAUUGACCAUAGCAAGCACGUGAUUACCGGUGCGCAUGGCGGGCUUCUUCCGGUGAUCUGCCUCGCCUUUGAAAUGCUUGCCUUUCUUUUGACAUUGAUGGUUGGUCGGAAGAAAUCGACGAUGGCCCAGGUACACAUUCUUCCUGCAUUUGUCCAGGUAUAUACUCUUAGUGUCAUCUAAACAGUGCGUGCAUGUGUGGUAUCCUUUGUUUGUCUGUCCUGGAAGGCUACUGACAGCGGGCCAAUCGUUGAUGGUCUCAAACAGCAAUGCCUUAAGGUUAAAUUCCUCCUGUUUGUGCUCAUCCCACGUACGUACACCAUUUCCAUUCCACAGCUGUAAAAGUUCUUCAACUAAUGGCCUUAGGUACACAUCAAUUUCGUUGCCGGGUUGCUUAGGGCCUUGGAUGAGAACUGGCAUCAUAAUGAACUUCCGCUUCAUGCACAUCCAAGGAGGAAGGUGAAGGAAAUAUGCCCUAGAGGCAAUAAUAAAGUUAUUAUUUAUUUCCUUAUAUGAUGAUAAAUGUUUAUUAUUCAUGCUAGAAUUUUAUUAACUGGAAACAUAAUACAUGUGUGAAUACAUAGACAAACAGAGUGUCACUAGUAUGCCUCUACUUGACUAGCUCGUUAAUCAAAGAUGGUUAUGUUUCCUAACCAUGGACAAAGAGUUGUUAUUUGAUUAACGGGAUCACAUCAUUAGUUCAAUGAUCUGAUUGACAUGACCCAUUCCAUUAGCUUAGCACCCGAUCGUUUAGUAUGUUGCUAUUGCUUUCUUCAUGACUUAUACAUGUUCCUAUGACUAUGAGAUUAUGCAACUCCCGUUUGCCGGAGGAACACUUUAUGUGCUAUCAAACGUCACAACGUAACUGGGUGAUUAUAAAGGAGCUCUACAUGUGUCUCCAAAGGUACAUGUUGGGUUGGCGUAUUUCGAGAUUAGGAUUUGUCACUCCGAAUGUCGGAGAGCUAUCUCUGGGCCCUAUCGGUAAUGCACAUCACUUAAGCCUUGCAAGCAUUGCAACUAAUGAGUUAGUUGUGGGAUGAUGUAUUACGCAACGAGUAAAAAGACUUGCCGGUAACGAGAUUGAACUAGGUAUUGGAUACCGACGAUCGAAUCUCGGGCAGUAACAUACCGAUGACAAAGGGAACAACGUAUGUUGUUAUGCGGUCUGACCGAUAAAAGAUCUUCGUAGAAUAUGUAGGAACCAAUAUGGGCAUCUAGGUCCCGCUAUUGGUUAUUGACCGGAGACGUGUCUCAGUCAUGUCUACAUUGUUCUCGAACCCAUAGGGUCCGCACGCUUAAGGUUUCGAUGACAGUUAUAUUAUGAGUUUAUACGUUUUGAUGUACCAAAGGUUGUUCGGAGUCCCGGAUGAGAUCAUGGACAUGACGAGGAGUCUCAAAAAGGUUGAGACAUAAAGAUUGAUAUAUUAGAAGCCUAUGUUUGGAUAUCGGAAGUGUUCCGGGUGAAAUCGGGAUUUUACCGGAGUACCGGGAGGUUACCGGAACCCCCCGGGAGCUAUAUGGGCCUUAGUUGGCCUUAGUGGAAGAAGAGGAGAGGCAGCCAGGGCUGGACCGCGCGCCCCUCCCCCUAGUCCGAAUAGGACAAGGAGAGAGGGGGCCGGUGCCCCCCUCCUUCUCUCUCCCUCAUUUCCCACCUCGCGAAUCCUAUUCCAACUAGGAUUGGGGGGAAGUCCUACUCCCGGAGGGAGUAGGACUCCUCCUGGCGCGCCCUAUGAUGACCGGCCGGCCUUCCCCUCUUGAACCUUUAUAUACGGAGGUAGGGGCACCCGUAGAGACACAAGUUGAUCCACGUGAUCAUAUUCUUAACCGUGUGCGGUGCCCCCUGCCACCAUAAUCCUCGAUAAUAUUGUAGCGGUGCUUAGGCGAAGCCCUGCGACAGUAGUACAUCAAGAUCGUCACCACGCUGUCGUGCUGAUGGAACUCUUCCCCGACACUUUGUUGGAUCGGAGUCCGGGGAUCGUCAUCGAGCUGAACGUGUGCUAGAACUCGGAGGUGCCGUAGUUCCGGUGCUUGAUCGGUCGGGCCGUGGAGACGUACGACUACAUCAACCAAACGCUUCCGUUGUCGAUCUACAAGGGUACGUAGAUCACACUCUCCCCUCUCGUUGCUAUGCAUUACAUGAUCUUGCGUGUGCAUAGGAAAUUUUUUGAAAUUACUACGUUCCCCAACAGUAGCAUCCGAGCCUAGGUUUUUAUGGUUUGAUGUUAUAUGCACUAGUAGAACACAAGUGAGUUGUGGGCGAUAUAAGUCAUACUGCUUACCAGCAUGUCAUACUUUGGUUCGGCGGUAUUGUUGGACGAAGCGGCCCGGACCGACAUUACGCGUACGCUUACGCAAGACCGGUUCUCCCGACGUGCUUUGCACAUAGGUGGCUUGCGGGUGACAGUUUCUCCAACUUUAGUUGAACCGAGUGUGGCUACGCCCGGUCCUUGCGAAGGUUAAAACAGCACCAACUUGACAAACUAUCGUUGUGGUUUUGAUGCGUAGGUAAGAUUGGUUCUUGCUUAAGCCCGUAGCAGCCACGUAAAACUUGCAACAACAAAGUAGAGGACGUCUAACUUGUUUUUACAGGGCAUGUUGUGAUGUGAUAUGUUCAAGACAUGAUGCUAAAUUUUAUUGUAUGAGAUGAUCAUGUUUUGUCACCGAGUUAUCGGUAACUGGCAGGAGCCAUAUGGUUGUCGCUUUAUUGUAUGAAAUGCAAUCGCGCUGUAAUGCUUUACUUUAUCACUAAGCGGUAGCGAUUGUCGUGGAAGCAUAAGAUUGGCGAGACGAAAACAAUGCUACGAUGGAGAUCAAGGUGUCGCGCCGGUGACGAUGGUGAUCAUGACGGUGCUUUGGAGAUGGAGAUCACAGGCACAAGAUGAUGAUGGCCAUAUCAUAUCACUUAUAUUGAUUGCAUGUGAUAUUUAUCUUUGAUGCAUCUUAUCUUGAUUUGAUUGACGGUAGCAUUAUAAGAUGAUCUCUCACUAAAUUAUCAAGAUAAAAGUGUUCUCCCUGAGUAUGCACCAUUGCCAAAGUUCGUCGUGCCCAGACACCACGUGAUGAUCGGGUGUGAUAAGCUCUACGUCCAUCUACAACGGGUGCAAGCCAGUUUUGCACACACAGAAUACUCAGGUUAAACUUGACGAGCCUAGCAUAUGCAGAUAUGGCCUCGGAACACUGAGAUCGAAAGAUCGAGCGUGAAUCAUAUAGUAGAUAUGAUCAACAUAGCGAUGUUCACCAUUGAAAACUACUCCAUUUCACGUGAUGAUCGGUUAUGGUUUAGUUGAUUUGGAUCACGUGAUCACUUAGAGGAUUAGAGGGAUGUCUAUCUAAGUGGGAGUUCUUAAGUAAUAUGAUUAAAUUGAACUUAAAUUUAUCAUGAACUUAGUCCUGGUAGUAUUUUGCAAAUCAUGUUGUAGAUCAAUAGCUCGCGUUGUUGAUUCCCUGUGUUUAUUUUGAUAUGCUCCUAGAGAAAAUAGUGUUGAAAAAUGUUAGUAGCAGUGAUGCGGAUUGGAUCCGUGAUCUGAGGUUUAUCCUCAUUGCUGCACAGAAGAAUUAUGUCCUUGAUGCACCGCUAGGUGACAGACCUAUUGCAGGAGCAGAUGCAGACGUUACGAACGUUUGGCUAGCUCAAUAUGAUGACUACUUGAUACUUUAGUGCACCAUGCUUAACGGCUUAGAAUCGGGACUUCAAAGACGUUUUGAACGUCAUGGACCAUAUGAGAUGUUCCAGGAGUUGAAGUUAAUAUUUCAAGCAAAUACCCGAGUUGAGAGAUAUGAAGUCUCCAACAAGUUCUAUAGCUAAAAGAUGGAGGAGAAUCGCUCAAGCAGUGAGCAUGUGCUCAGAUUAUCUGCGUACUACAAUCGCUUGAAUCAAGUGGGAGUUAAUCUUCCAGAUAAAAUAGUGAUUGACAGAAUUCUCUAGUCACCAUCACCAAGUUAGUAGAACUUCGUGAUGAACUAUAAUAUGCAAGGGAUAACGGAAACAAUUCCCAAGCUCUUCGUGAUGCUGAAACCGACGAAGAUAGAAAUCAAGAAAAACAUCAAGUGUUGAUGGUUAACAAGACCACUAGUUUCAAGAAAAGGGCAAAGGGAAGAAGGGGAACUUCAAGAAGAACAGCAAGCAAGUUGCUGCUCAAGUGAAGAAGCCCAAGUCUGGUCCUAAGCCUGAGACUAAGUGCUUCUGCUGCAAAGGGACUGAUCACUGGAAGCAGAACUGCCCCAAGUAUUUGGCGGAUAAGAAGGAUGGCAAAGUGAACAAAAGUAUAUUUGAUAUACAUGUUAUUGAUGUGUACUUUACUAGUGUUUAUAGCAACCCCUCAGUAUUUGAUACUGGAUCAGUUGCUAAGAGUAGUAACUCGAAACAGGAGUUGCAGAAUAAACAGAGACUAGUCAAGGGUGAAGUGACGAUGUGUGUUGGAAGUAGUUCCAAGAUUGAUAUGAUCAUCAUCGUACACUCCCCUAUACUUUCGGGAUUAGUGUUGAACCUAAAUAAGUAUUAUUUGGUGUUUGCGUUGAGCAUGAAUAUGAUUUGAUCAUGUUUAUUGCAAUACGGUUAUUCAUUUAAGUAAGAGAAUAAAUUGUUGUUCUGUUUACAUGAAUAAAACCUUAUAUAGUUACACACCCAAUGAAAAUGGUUCGUUGGAUCUCGAUCAUAGUGAUACACAUAUUCAUAAUAUUGAAACCAAAAGAUGCAAAGUUAAUAAUGAUAGUGCAACUUAUUUGUGGCACUGCCUUUUAGGUCAUAUUGGUCUAAAGCACAUGAAGAAACUCCAUGCUGAUGGGCUUAUGGAAUCACUUGAUUAUGAAUCACUUGAUGCUUGCGAACCAUGCCUCAUGGGCAAGAUGACUAAGACUCCGUUCUCCGGAACAAUGGAGCGAGCAACUGACUUAUUGGAAAUAAUACAUACUGAUGUAUGCGAUCCGAUGAAUAUUAAGGCUUGCAGCAGGUAUCAUUAUUUUCUGACCUUCACAGAUGAUUUGAGCAGAUAUGGGGAUAUCUACUUGAUGAAACAUAAGUCUGAAACAUUUGAAUAGUUCAAAGAAUUUUAGAGUGAAGAGGAAAAUCAUCAUGACAAGAAAAUAAAAGUUUCUACGAUAUGAUCGCAGAGGUAAAAUAUUUGAGUUACGAGUUUGGCCUUCAAACAAUGUGAAAUAGUUUCACUACUCACGCCACCUGGAACACCAUAGUGUAAUGGUGUGUCCGAACGUCAUAACCGUACUUUAUUAGAUAUAGUGCGAUCUAUGAUGUCUCUUACCGAUCUACCACUAUCGUUUUAGGGUUAUGCAUUAGAGACAGCUGCAUUCACGUUAAAUAGGGCACCAUCUAAAUCCGUUGAGACGACACCGUGUGAACUAUGGUUUGGCAAGAAACCUAAGUUGUCGUUUCUUAAAGUUUGGAGUUGCGAUGCUUAUGUGAAAAAGUUUCAUCUCGAUAAGCUCAAACUCAAAUCGGAGAAAUAUGUCUUCAUAGGAUACCCAAAGGAGACAAUUGGGUACACCUUCUAUCACAGAUCCGAAGGCAAGACAUUCGUUGCUAAGAUUGGAUCCUUUCUAGAGAAGGAGUUUCUCUCGAAAGAAGUGAGUGGGGGGAAAGUAGAAAACUUGAUAAGGUAAUUGUACCUUCUCCCUUAUUGGAAAAUAUUUCAUCACAGAAAUCUGUUCCUGUGACUACUACACCAAUUAGUGAGGAAGCUAAUGAUGAUGAUCAUGUAACUUCAGAUCAAGUUACUACCAAAUCUCGUAGGUAAACCAGAGUGAGAUCCACACCAGAGUGGUACGGUAAUCCUAUUCUGGAGGUCAUGUUACUUGACCAUGACGAACCUACGAACAAUGAGGAAGCGAUGAUGAGCCCAGAUUCUGAUAAAUGGCUUGAGGCCAUGAAAUCUGAGAUAGGAUCCAUGUAUCAGAACAAUGUGUGGACUUUGGUGGACUUGCCCGAGGACCGGCAAGCCAUUGAUAAUAAAUGGAUCUUCAAGAGGAAGACGGACACGGAUAGUAGUGUUACUAUCUACAAAGCUAGAAUUGUCGCAAAAGGUUUUCGAUAAGUUCAAGGUGUUGACUACGAUGAGUGUUUCUCACUCGUAUCUAUGCUUAAGUAUGUCCGAAUCAUGUUAGCAAUUACCGCAUUUUAUGAAAUCUGGCAAAUGGAUAAACAAAACUGCAUUCCUUAAUGGAUUUAUUAAAGAAGAGUUGUAUGUGAUGCAACAAGAUAGUUUUGUCAAUCCUAAAGGUGCUAACAAAAAUGCAAGCUCCAGCGAUCCAUUUAUGGACUGGUGCAAGCAUCUCGGAGUUGGAAUAUACACUUUGAUAAGUUGAUCAAAGCAUAUAGUUAUAUACAGACUUGUGGUGAAGCCUGUAUUUACAAGAAAGUGAGUGGGAGCAUGACAACAUUUCUGAUAAGUAUAUGUGAAUGACAUAUUGUUGAUCAGAAAUAAUGUAGAAUUAUUCUGCAAAGCAUAAAGGAGUGUUUGAAAGGAGUUUUUCAAAGAAAGACUUCGGUGAAGCUGCUUACAUAUUGAGUAUCAAGAUCUAUAGAGAUAGAUCAAGACGCUUGAUAAGUUUUUUCAAUGAGUACAUACCUUGACAAGAUUUUGAAGUAGUUCAAAAUGGAACAGUCAAAGAAAAAGUUUCUUGCCUGUGUUACAAGGUGUGAAGUUGAGUAAGACUCAAAGCCCGACCACGGCAGAAGAUAGAAAGAGAAUGAAAGUCAUUCCCUAUGCCUCAGUCAUAGGUUCUAUAAAGUAUUCCAUGCUGUGUACCAGAUCUAUUGUGUACCAUACACUGGGUUAAGAGAGGGAGUACAAUAGUGAUCUAGGAGUAGAUCAAUGGACAGGGGUCAAAAUUAUCCUUACUGGAAUAAGGAUAUGUUUCUCGAUUACGGAGGUGACAAAAGGUUCGUCGUAAAGGGUUACGUCGAUGCAAGUUUUGACACUGAUCCAGAUGACUCUAAGUCUCAAUCUGGAUACAUAUUGAAAGUGGGAGCAAUUAGCUAGAGUAGCUCCAUGCAGAGCAUUGUUGACAUAGAAAUUUGCAAAAUACAUGCGGAUCUGAAUGUGGCAGACCCGUUGACUAAACUUCUCUCACAAGCAAAACAUGAUCACUUUUUGGGUCUUAAUCACAUAGCGAUGUGAACUAGAUUAUUGAAUCUAGUAAACCCUUUGGGUGUUAGUCACAUGGAGAUGUGAACCAAUCACAUAAAGAUGUGAACUAUUGAUGUUAAAUCACAUGGCGAUGUGAUCUAGAUUAUUGACUCUAGUGCAAGUGGGAGACUGAAGGAAAUAUGUCCUAGAGGCAAUAAUAAAGUUAUUAUUUAUUUCCUUAUAUGAUGAUAAAUGUUUAUUAUUCAUGCUAGAAUUUUAUUAACCGGAAACAUAAUACAUGUGUGAAUACAUAGACAAACAAAGUGUCACUAGUAUGCCUCUACUUGACUAGCUCGUUAAUCAAAGAUGGUUAUGUUUCCUAACCAUGGACAAAGAGUUGUUAUUUGAUUAACGGGAUCACAUCAUUAGUUCAAUGAUCUGAUUGACAUGACCCAUUCCAUUAGCUUAGCACCCGAUCGUUUAGUAUGUUGCUAUUGCUUUCUUCAUGACUUAUACAUGUUCCUAUGACUAUGAGAUUAUGCAACUCCCGUUUGCCGGAGGAACACUUUGUGUGCUACCAAACGUCACAACGUAACUGGGUGAUUAUAAAGGAGCUCUACAUGUGUCUCCAAAGGUACAUGUUGGGUUGGCGUAUUUCGAGAUUAGGAUUUGUCACUCCGAAUGUCGGAGAGCUAUCUCUGGGCCCUAUCGGUAAUGCACAUCACUUAAGCCUUGCAAGCAUUGCAACUAAUGAGUUAGUUGUGGGAUGAUGUAUUACGCAACGAGUAAAGAGACUUGCCGGUAACGAGAUUGAACUAGGUAUUGGAUACCGACGAUCGAAUCUCGGGCAAGUAACAUACCGAUGACAAAGGGAACAACGUAUGUUGUUAUGCGGUCUGACCGAUAAAAGAUCUUCGUAGAAUAUGUAGGAACCAAUAUGGGCAUCUAGGUCCCGCUAUUGGUUAUUGACCGGAGACGUGUCUCAGUCAUGUCUACAUUGUUCUCGAACCCGUAGGGUCCGCACGCUUAAGGUUUCGAUGACAGUUAUAUUAUGAGUUUAUACGUUUUGAUGUACCGAAGGUUGUU
rnacentral:lncRNA from 1 species